UCUUUUCUUUCUUUCUUUUUUUUUUUUUUUUUUUUUUCUUUUUCUUUUAAUUUUUUAAUUUGUUUUAUUUGUUUCUUAAUUUUAUUUUUCACAGAUCAUUGAUUCAUGGGAUAACGAGAUUUCUUACUGGAAAUUCCUUUUUUUAAACCUUUUGUUAUUCUUUUUAUAUUUUCCUUUAACAGUAAUUCGUAAAUAUCUUAAAAGAAAAUUGAGUUUUUUUUCUCAUUCUUGUUUUUCUCUUUUGUCUUAAUUUUUUAAAAUUUUUAUUUGGAUUAUUUUUAGAUAUUUUUUUUUGAAAUAACGAUAUAAACCAACUUAGUUAUAAAUAUAAUAAAAAAUACAUUGAUAAACAUUGAUAGGUGUCUCGCGAAGUACUCAUGUUUUGGAAAGGGAAAGGUGUUAGACUACAGUGGAGUGGGCAUGGUGGUCUUCAAUGCGCCGUGGUCGUUUGGGCAUGGUGAGGUCAAAAAUAAAAUAUUUCUUUUAUUAAAAGUUUUAGUUUACUUGACCUUUUCUUCGUGAACCGAUCUCCACGCUCGAUUACGUUUUCAAUGGAAUGACUUCAUGUGUUACGCAUAGAACGAACGCAUUUUUGUGGUUGUUUUCAUAAUUACUUGCACAAACAAAUACAAAGUUGUAGAACAUCUUAAAGGGAGUGAGUUUCGCAACUCGAUCCUUAACAAGUUUGUGUUUUUUACGUUUCUAUGAAUGACAGUUCAUCUGAUAUUUUCAAUAGAUUCCUACAACAACAAAAACAAAUAAACUUAUACAUGAUAGUGAAUUCAAUUGUUUAGCCUCGUGAUAGAGGGUAAUUGAUGCCAAAUUUUGGCUAGAGAGGACGUACUUGACUAGCUUCCAAGUGACAUCAGCAGUAAAUUUGUAAUUUUAUGGAAAAGUAGACCUGCAAAAAAGAGAAAAAAAAAAAAGGCUAUAGUGCCUGAAUAAGAGAAUUAUAUAAUAACAUAGUUUAUGAAAUAAACUAAAAAUACAACCCAAUAUUAAAAUAUUACAAAAAAUAACAAAUUUGGGUGAGCCAAGUGGUAAAACUUUUUUAAAAUGUUGAGUCUGCUCUUCCGUGCAUGGUUUCCUUCUCUUUUUUCUCACUUUUCUUUCUCCAUUGCAUAUGAAUUUCAAGAUAAAGGAGAACCAAGUUUGCCCUUCUCAUGUGUGCUCUUUCUCCUUUCUUCUUUUCUUUCUUCUUCAUUUUCUUUCUCCGUUGCAUGUACUGUUCCAACUUUUCUCCCUCGCCUCUAUCACUGCCACACAUCAUUGUCGCCUUGUUACCCUCCUAUUUCUCUCCUGGCCUUGUUUGAACAACCAUGGGAUCCUAACCUCAACUAAAUCGUCGUUCUCGACCAUGCUGCCCAAACAAUUUUCAUUUUUUAAGGUCGCAUUCUUGAACCUCUUGUUCUUAGUUGGACGGAUUGACGGGUUGUGGAUUUAGAUCAGGGUUGAUGGGGGUCAAGCUUCGACAACUAAAUUUCAUUUGGUACCACCAAUUUCGCAACGAGUUAACUUAAAGUUAAUGGUUCCAUAUAUCGACUCUGAUAACUUCCUAAAUAAUUUUGUAUAGUCAAUCAUUGAUAGUCACUAUUAAUGGCUAUCAUUCAUAAAAGUUAUUACUGAUAGCCACUAUUAAUUAAUUGAAUAUCGAGCCUUAGUGGCAUUGAGUGACGAGUGCCAUCGGGAUGAAAACUUAUGCUUAUAUAUAUAUAUAAAUAACAUAUUAAAAAAUAAAGUGGUUUAGUUCGAUUUUAUAAUCUAUUUAAUCUUAAUGCAUGCAUGCAUUCGUUUUGGUUUGGUUUCGAUUCAAUUACCUUCGAUUUGGAUUUUAACCAUUUUUUUUAACACCAGUAAGUCAGAAUGUCGAAAUUAGUCAAGAUAGACAAAAAUGAUAGAAAGUAAAAAUGUUGAUUUUUUGUUUGAAAAGUCAAAUUUUGACUUUGACUACAUGACCAUUUUGCCCUUUGACUAAUGUUAUUGGAAACAUCAAACAUUUUGUUGGAUAAUCACACUAACGCUUGUGGGCUAUGUGUUACCUUAUUGUGAGCCCACUAACAUUUAGUGGGUGAUGUGUUGGGAGGUUUUAUUUAAAUAUUGUAAAUGAAAGAAAUAUUUAGAGAUUUAUUGUAGUUUUAAAAUUAUUUAUUAUAAUAUCGUAGUUUUUAAAUGACAUGUUUAGUGGAGGGUUUAUGGAGAUUAGAGUUACCAUAAUCUUUCACUCCUUGUUUGAGGGAGGGUUAACAUAAGAGGGGAUUGGAGUUAUCCUAAUCUCCCUUAUCCCAUUUCAACCCCAUAACCUAUCAUAUCCUCAUAACCCCCUGUUCACAUAAGAUUUUCGAAAAAAAAAUUGAUUUGUGGAGUUGAACUUGAAUUGAUGUUGUAUUUGUGUUGAUUUGAUACGAUGUAGUUCGAUCUCUAGUAUUUGAUCCUCUGAUUCUCUCUCGGUUUGAAGCUUACGCUUGAUUUGAAGAAGCAGAGCACGUGAUGUUCUUGAAAUUGGAGUCUUGGAAGAAAGCUUGUAUCUUUAAAGGAGCUUCAGUAUUCAAGAGCGGUUGGCUUUAAGAGUUAGAGAGUCUUCUAACUCUCGGGAGAAUUCUCUCUAUAUCUUCUAAAGUAAAAAAAAAUUCAACCCUUACAAAUGAGAAUAACUUCUCUAUUUAUAGAGUUCUCUGGUGGCCUUUACGUAACUUAGUCUUAAUCCUAAGUGUAUUAUGAAUUUAUGUUCACAAAAGAUUGUCCUUUGAUUUCUACAAGUGAGAGUGGUUAUUGCCGACUCAAUAUGCUUAUCAUUUUGGAGACAAGACCAAGUGGAGAGCUGGAAACAUAAUUACACAAUAUGAAAUUCACUCCUUCCCGACUUUAGGGUAAGUGUAUGAGUAUUCUCUUAAAUGGUGUCUUUAGGACUUGAACAAAUGACCCUACCUUAUAUAUGACACGAGAGGGGUUUCUAUUUAUUGGUUGGAUCAUAAACAGAUUGUUCAUUAGAGGAGCACUGAUAUUUUAAGACUAGAAGUAACUUAGGAUAAAAUGAAAUUUAAUUUAGUCGGUGUUACGAACACUCGUGAAAGAUUAACUUACUGGUAUUAGUCUAUAUACGUAGAGACAUAAAUAUAUCUAUAGUGAGAAGAGUUUAGUUGUGAGUCUUUAGUGGAAUUUACACACAGUUAACGGAUAUUGAUUAAUGUGGUUAAUGUGUUUAGCCAUUUAAUCUCAGAUCGUUGUAGGUUCUGAUCUGUAGGUCUAUUAGGUCUUAUUCCUAGAUCGUAAAAGAUAAUGAAAUUUAUUUAUAUUUGUUGUAAUUUGAAAUGUUCCAAUUUACUUUGGAAAUUAGUAUAAUGUAUGGUGAUACAUUAUAAUAUAAAAUUUAUAUUUUAAUUAAAUUUUAUUAUAUAAAUUUAAUCUUGGAUAUGAUUCAAAAUUAAUUAAUGAGAUAAAAUAUUUGAAUUUGUUCAAAUAUUUGUUUAGUGUGAAUUGGAUUCAUACUAAAAUUAUUGGUUAGGAUAUAAAUUUAUAUUUGAAUAUGAUUCAAAUUUGAGUUAAAUUAUAUUUAAUUUAGUAAUUAAUUCUCAAUUAAUUAAUAGUUUAGUUUAGUUUUAUUUAAUUAUAUUAAAACUAUAAGAUAUACAAUAGAUAUUUAUUAAAUAUGAUUUAAAUGAAAUAUUAGUUAAAUAUGAUUUAAUUAAUAAUUAAUUUGAUAUUUUUAUUAAUUUAAUAUUUUUAAAUUAAUAAAAUCUCAUAAUUCUCUUAUAAAUACUCCGAAGAAAACAUGUUUUUCAACCCAAGCUUUUGCCUCUGUACGAAUUUUCGAAGAGAUUUUCUCAAAAACUUUUUUUCAUUCAAAGUGGUUCCCACAAACCAGUCUCAUUCUAAAGGAUAGGAAGGUCUCUCGCGAGUGGUGUUCCAAAUUCGGUGAUUUGUAGAUUCCGAGACAUCAACGAGAGUAAGUUACUAUAUUAUGUAAUUCUCUAAUCUAUAAUUUGUUUAAGCAUGGUUAACCUUAGUUUAAAUUAUAAGAAAUUUUGUUUAUGUAAUUGUUUGUCAAUGUACAAUAUUUUAAGUUUUUAAUUAAAUUUGACAAGGUCUCCGUAAAACCUUUGCUGCCAAGAGCUUUAAUCUCUUCAUCAAGAAUAUUUCUAGACGAUCUUUGUAUGGAAGGGGUUAUCCAUUAGCUACAAACUUGUAUGCAAUGCCCUUAAUCCAUGCAGGAUAAUAUGGAGCAUAGAGCCCAUCCUUUUUUAUGCAUUGUAACUGAGAUUGAAGACCCAUUGUCCUCAAAAUAGAAGUGGAAUCAUAUGCUUAUUGAAGAGCUUUUUUAGUUUCCAGAUCUCAUAGUUGAAUUUGUAUUUAGUGAGAUAAUAACGUAGAAACUCAUAAUGUUCUAUUGGAUCUUUGUAAAAUCACAUUGAGGAUUAAUUUAAGUUUGAAGAGAAACCGAGUAUUAUAAAGGUUGAGAAAUGAGAAAUGAAGGCAUCUAUGAACUCUCCAGCACCAUAGGCAAUAAUAAAGUGAAGAAGUGCUUUUUUUCCUGAGUAAGUAGUUUUCAUCAGUAAGCUUGAUGGAUAAAAGUUGGUUGAGUGAGGAAAUCGAGUUUGUUUGUUGUGGUUGAGGGUAUUAAGAGAUAUUUCAAGAUCCAUAAUCUUCUUCUAUUAUUUUCCCAUUAUUGUAAGUUGAUUCUAUUAUAAUUUCUUACCAUAUUCAUUCAUUUGUAAUUUGUAUAAAGGUUGAUUCUUAUCAAAUGAGAAAAGCAAGCAAUACAUAAUUAUUUCAAACCUUUUCAUGGUAUCAGAGUCUUCCCUAAACUAAUUUACAUACCUCUCAUAUCUCAUAUCUCUUCAAUGGCCACCCCUGGCUCCCAAUCUGAUCCUAUUGAAUCUUCCAAUCCUGUUCUCGAAUCCUCACCAAAUCCAUCUGUUCCGACCUCUACUCUUUUCUUGCUAUCCAACAUCUGCAAUCUUGUACCCAUCCGACUGGACUCUAUGAAUUAUGUUUUAUGGAAAUAUCAAGUUUCCUCCAUCCUCAAAGCUCAUUCCCUCUUUGGUCACAUUGAUGAUUCCCUUCCCUGCCCUCCAAAAAAAUUAUCAUCGUCGACAGCUGGAACUAAUCCUGAAAUCAACCCUGAAUAUCUCCAAUGACUAUCCCGCGAUCAAGCUCUUAUUACCUUGAUAAAUGCCACUUUAUCACCUUCUGCCCUUGCCCACGUUGUUGGCUCUGUCUCCUCCAAAGAAUCGUGGUUGUCUCUAGAGAAACACUACUCCUCCAAUACCAUAUUUAACAUUCUUGAUUUAAGGGUCAACACUCUACAACAUAAAGAAAACUCCUUCUGAAAGCAUUGAACAAUAUACCUCUUGUAUUAAAGCCCUUGUCAAUAAAUUUGCUGUCGCAUCCGUCUCUCUUGAAGAUGAAGAAAAUCUCAUUCACACCCUAAAUGGGCUCCUCGCUGCCUUCAACGCCUUUUGUACAUCUAUUUGAACCCACAACGACACCAUCUCCCUUGAAGAACUUCACACUCUACUCAUUUCAGAGGAAUCAACUAUGACUAAAACUUCAGCCAUUGAAGCCAUUCCUACAGCCAUGGUUGGGUUCCAACCAUCUCUACAUAGCAGCAGCCACGAACGAGAAGGACGACGUUCUCAUUCUACCGGUAACCUUAAUUUUCAUUCUUCCCCAAAUCCAUCCUCUCAAUUAGCAGCAAUGACGGUAAACUCUAUACAUUCUCAAACCUCGAAUGAAAAUACUAAUAAUUUCUGGUUAUCUCAACCUAUUCAACAAUUAUAAUGGUGAGGCCAUGGUUAAUGUCACAUUGGGUAAUGGCUAACCUUUACAUAUUCAAAAUAUUGACAGUGGUAAACUCUCAAUUCCCUCUCAUACCUUUAAUCUCUCCAAAAUACUCCACACUCUUAAACUUGCUGCAAAUCUAUUAUCUGUUCAUAAAUUUUGUCUUGACAAUAACUGUAUUCUUAUUUUUGAUACUGACUGGUUCCUCAUAUAGGAUAAAGUCACUGGUCGUACUCUCUAUACUGGUGAAAGCAUCAAUGGUCUCUAUCAUAUUCCCAGUACUUCUACUUUAUCCACAUCUACCAUGCAUUCCAAAUCUUUUAAUUUUCAUUUCGUUUUGGUCAUCCUGCUCCAAAAAUUCUUAAUUCUAUUUUAUCUCGCAUUGGUCUAUCUAUGUCAUCUUCCAUUUCUACUUGCAAUUGCAUUAGUUGUUUAAAGGCAAAAAUGACAAAAUUACCUUUUCCUAUGUCUUUAUCAACUUCUCUUACACCACUUGAUCUUAUUCAUAGCGAUGUAUGGGGACCCUCUCCAAUAAUUUCUUCUAAUGGAAAUCGAUAUUAUGUUAGUUUUAUUGACAAUUUUAACAAAUUUACUUGGCUCUUUCCUAUUGCUUACAAAUUUGAUGUUCCAUCUAUUAUUAAAAAAAUUGUUCCCUUUAUUGAAAAUCAAAUAUCUCAAAAAAUGAAAAAAUUUCGAUCAGAUAAAGUGGUGAAUUUUGCAAGACCACCUUACAAUUCUGUUUUGAUUCCAAAGGUAUUUCUCACCAAAAAUCAUGUCCUCAUACUCCUAAACAAAAUGGUAUUGCUUAAUGUAACCAUCGUCACAUUGUUGAAAUUGUAAUGUCUCUAAUUUUUCAUUCAUUUGUUCCUCUGGAAUUUAAACCUUAUGUUUUCUCUACUGCAGUUUUUCUUAUUAAUCGAAUGCAUUAUUCCUCACUUAAAAUGUUAUCACCAUUUGAAAUGUUUUUUGGUUAUACUUCUGAUUUGCAUCAUUUAAAAGUUUUUGGAUGUGCAUGUUAUCCCCUUCUCAAGUCUUACACCAAACACAAACUUGAACCUAAAACCACACAACACGUGUUUUUAGGCUAUCCUCACAAUUUCAAAGGCUAUAUUUGUUACAACCCAUUAACCAAACAAACCAUAGUUUCACAACACGUCAUCUUUCAUCUUUCCUUAUGCAAAUUCCACCACCUCUUCCCCAUCUCAACAUCUAUCUAAUUCUGAUCCAAGCCUAUUACUUAACUUACUAAACAUUCCACAUCAUACACCCUCAAAUUCUGUCUCCAUUCCAAUAUCCAAACCCCACCUCCUCACCCUCCCGUUGUUGACAUUACUCACUCAUCUUUUAUGGAUACUAAUGUCAAUUAUCAGUCUUUGAACAUUUCAUCUAUAGUCGAUAUAGGAAAUGAGUUAAAGGCUGCCACAACCACCUUACAUGUUCCAUCUCCUCCUCGGAACACUCAUGCUAUGAAAACUCGAGCAAAAUCAGGUAUUUUAAAGCCAAAGGCUUUUCACAUUACAUUUUCUCUCCUGACUCCCACAUUAUGCACAUACGCCUCUAAGUAUCUCGAAUGGUGAACUGCGAUGUGUGAGGAAUUCAAUGCUCUUCAAGCACAAGGUACCUGGUCCUUGGUACUUCGACUUCCAUCUAUGAGUGUUGUUGGUUGUAAAUGGGUGUUCAGAACAAAAUAUAAUCCUGAUGGAUAUAGGUAAAACAACACUUAUGACAGAAAAAAAAAAUUAUGAUGAAAUUGGCAACAUUUUAUUAAGGAAAAAUAUGAAUAUUCAUAAAAAAGAUUAGAGUUAAGAAAAAAAUAAAGAAUUAAUACUGUUAAUAUUAAGUUAGUUCUUUCGAUUGUAUGAUCUAAUAUACUAUUUUAAAUUAUAUAUAUAGAAUAUUGUAAAAAUCAAAUAGUUAGUUUAAAAAUAAACUAUUUAAACUACAUGCAUAUAUAUUGAAUAUUGUAAUUCAAAAUUUUAAUAUUUUAUCAUUUGCAUAUUAUUUUUUUUAGAAAGUAUGGAUGAUAAGAAAAAAAAAAGAAAGCAUACUCUACUAUUUCACAAAAUGAAAGGAGAAGAACAAUUGAAUUGUCCAUUCAAUCAAGAAAAAAAAGACAACUCGAAGAAAGUGACAAGCAAAGUAAUAGUAAAAGAAACGUAGAUUUUAGUACGGUCGCACAAGAAACAACAAAUGAAAUCCUAGGUAAUAUUUUAUUAUUACAUUACACCUUAAAUUUCAUAUAUAUAUAAUAUAAUAUAUUUGAAUGUGCUAACUAUUUCACCUCGUUUGAUGUUCAAUAGGAUCAAAAGCUUUAGAACGCCCGUUUCACUCUCCUAUACACGAGCUUAAAAAGAUAGUACAUUUUGUAAGGCAAUAAAAUUUGAGCACGAGACUCCAACAUUUUGUUGCUUCAAUGACCAUGUAUAAUUUUCAAACAAUGAAAUAUUCUAUUAAACAUUUGAGUUAGUAAAUGCAUUCAUUUGUAAUAAUAAUUUUAAAUAAACCAUCCAGGUUCAUCUUGCUGAAACAACAGUACAUAAACACCUUGCUCAUUUGUUCACAACACAGUCUGAAGAAGGAGUUUUGUGUAGGAAGAAUAUUCAGGCUUAUAAUAGUAUUUUCUCUUUCACGUCAUUUGGGGUCAAUUUAGAUAAAGAUCUAGGUUCUUCACAUAAAGGAGUCUACACAUUUAGAGUACAAGGACAAAUAUAUCAUGACCUUCCAAGUUUAUUGUCAUAUGAGAAGCCAAUAUUCUUUCAACUAUACUUUUAUGAUACCAAGAAUGAAAUUCAAAAUCGUAUGGAAAAAUUAAAAGAUGUUGGGUUGAGCGAAAGUCUUACUCAAAGUUGGCAGAAGUUUUAAAAAACAAUCCAUAUGCCAAAUUUUUUAGAAGUUUAAAACAUCUUCAAUCUAUUGAAGAUGCUCAUAUUCAUCUUGCAACAAAUGUUCAAGUUGAUCAACAUGUCUAUAAUCUACCUGGAGUGUAUCAAGUGGCUAUUUGGAUUGAAGGAAAUAAUAACAACAUUCAAUUUAAAAGAGAUAUAGUGGUACAUGUUCAUUCAGGAAAACGCCACAAAAUACAACAUUAUUUUAGUUGUUAUGAUUCACUUCAACAUCUUUUACUAUUACCAAAUGGAGAGGCUGGUUGGCAUCAAGACAUCAAAAGAAAUGUAAGCAAAAUUAUGACGCUGGGUCAAAUAAGAUGUCGACAGAAGGAACAUCAAAUAUUCAAAAAAUCAACAGCAUUGAAGAUACAAAAAAUAAUGAAAAUCAAGGUUCGUUUGCUUUGUCAUUGUGAUUUUUUUAAGAACCUAUAUGUGCUUUAAUUUUUUGUGAGCAUAAUUUUCUUAUUACAUAUAAUUUCUUUAUUCAACAAUUUUGUAGGAAUUUCAAUACGUCGAUCGCCCACAGUUUCGUGCACAUAAUAUUAUUGUUUUAAGUUGCAAAUACGACCAUCUACUAAAUCAAUAUUGCUUAUAGUCGGAAGACUAUUCCAACAAUAUGUUGUUGAUAUGUACAUAAAGCUUGAAACAACGAGACUUGAUUUCUAUAAAACACAACAAUCACAAAUUCGUUCGGAGUUGUAUCAAGGGAUCAUUGAUGUAUUAAAUGCAAGAGAAACAAGGGGAGACAAGGUUGGAAAACGUGUCAUUCUACCUUCAACUUUUAUUGGUGGUCCUAGAGACAUGCGACGUCGAUAUUUAGAUGCAAUGACCUUAGUACAGCAUUAUGGGAAACCAAAUCUUUUCAUAACAAUGACUUGCAAUUCUGAAUGGAAGGAAAUAAGAUAAGAACUUAUGGAAGGACAACAAUCUCACGAUAGACCAAAUCUAACUUCAAGAGUAUUUAGAGGAAAGUUAAUGGACUUAAAAAACCAAAUUGUGCACAAAGAAAUAUUUGGAAAAGUUGCAGCGUUCGUAUAUGUGAUUGAAUUUCAAAAACGAGGUCUUCCACACCUACACAUGUUGGUAAUAUUGAAAAGGGAUUUCAAGAUCAUUAAUGCUGACCAAUAUGAUAAAUAUGUUCGCGCGAAAAUUCCAAAUAUUCAAACAAAUCCUGCACUUCACAAUGCUGUUGUGAAGCAUAUGUUGCAUGGCCCGUGUGGAGAAGAUAACAAAAAGUGUUCGUGCAUGAUCAAUAGAAAUGUAGAUUUCAUUAUCCUCGACAGUUUUCCUCGAAAACAAUGCAAGGAGAGGAUGUGUAUCCAAUAUAUAGAAGGAGAGACGACGGAACACAUGUAUUUAUAAUAAUAUUACUUUUUUAUUGUUUUAUAUUUAUUUCUCUAUAAUGUCUUUCAUAAUAGUGUUAAUUCCCUCAAUUUAUUUGUUAAAAAAUAUAUCUUUGCAAUUAUAUCAGGUAUAAAUAAGAAAAAAGACAUUUGAUAAUCGAUGGGUUGUGCCUUAUAAUCCAUACCUACUUUUGAGAUACAAUUGUCACAUUAAUGUUGAAAUAUGCUCGGGAUUGAAAGUAGUUAAAUAUUUAUACAAGUAUAUUUACAAGGGGCAUGAUAGAGCAGUUGUUUAUAUAUCACAUGAUGGUGACAAUAAAUAUAUUGAUGAAAUAAGAGAUUAUCAAGAUGCAAGAUGGGUAUCAACUCAAGAGGCAUUAUGAAGAAUUUAUGAUUUUAAACUGAAUGAGAUAUAUCCUCUGGUUAUAAACUUACAACAUCACCUUCCAAAUAUGCAUUGUGUUUCUUAUUUGGAAAAUCAAAAUUUGAAGAAAUUUAUUCGUUGGGAUCAUGUCUAAAAAACAAUGUCAACAGAGUACUUUCAUAUGUGUCAAACAUUUGAAACAGCCCGAAAUUUUUUAUACAAAGAGUUUCCUGAACAUUAUGUAUGGGACAAACAACUACUAAUUUGGAAGGAGAAGAAAAAAGGAAUAGUUAUAUCACGCAUUGUAGGAGCAAAUCCAAGGGAAGGAAAAAGAUAUUACUUGCGUUUGCUAUUAAAUCAUGUUAGAGGAUUGACGUCAUUUGAGUCCUUAUUGAUAGUCAAUGGAAAAAGAGUUCAAACAUUUAAAGAUUCAGCAAAAGAAAGAGGACUACUAGAAUCUGAUGAAAGUGUGACAAAAUGUUUGGAUGAAGUAGCUUUGUUUGAGAUGCCUUAUGUUUUUCGAAGACUUUUUGCAACAAUCUUAGUGUAUUGUGAACUUGUAGAUGUUAGAAAACUGUGGAAAAUAUAUUCUCAUGAAUUGUUACAUGAUUAUAGAAAAGACGAGCCAUAUAAUGUAGAAUAUCAAUUGCAACACAGUUUAAGAGAUAUAAAAGUGUUCUUAGAGUCAAUUGGCAAACAAAUCACCGUGUAUGAUUUGCCUGAAAUAAAACAUAUGGCAGAAGGUGGAAACAAUUGCUAUAUAAAAGAAAUAGUUGAUGAAAAAUCUAUUGUAGUAUCAGAUGAAUAUAUUCAAGCUCCUUCAAAGUUGAAUGAAGACCAAAAGAUUGCAUACCAUAUUAUUCUUGACAUAAUUGUGAGUAAUAAAAGUGGUGUAUUUUUUAUUGAUGGACAAGGAGGAACCGAGAAAACAUUUUUGUAUCGUGCUUUGUUAGCUACUAUAAAAUCAAAAAAUAUGAUUGCAAUUGCAACAACAACAUCAGGCGUUGCUACUUUAGUUAUGUCAGGGGACCGAACGACACAUUCUAGAUUUAAUAUACCAUUAGAAACACAUGAGUCAUCUAUAUGCAAUAUUUCUAAGCAAAGUAACAAGGCAUAAUUGAUCAAACAAGCAAAAGUAAUAAUUUGGGACGAGGUGCCAAUGGCAAAAAAAGCCACAAUAGAAGCAGUUGAACUUUUAGAGAUAUAAUGGAUAAUCUAGAACCAUUCGGUGGAAAAAUGGUUGUGUUUGGAGGAGCUUUUCGACAAGUGUUACCUGUUGUCCCACGAGCUAGAAGACAACAAACUAUUAAUGAAAGUUUGGUAAAGUCGUACCUUUGGAAUAAAAUGGAGAAAAUCCAACUGACUAAAAAUAUGAGAGCUCAAAGUGAUACCCGUUUUGCAGAAUAUUUGUUGAAGAUUGGAAAUGGAACUAGACUGUCAACAUACCAAUAUCACUGUUACAUGUGCAAAUGAAGAAGAUUCAAUAUUGAAGUUAUUGAAUAUUGUUUGUCCUAAUCUCAACACGCAUGCUACUUCAGCAGAAUACAUGACCAGUAGAGCAAUUCUAUCAACAACAAAUGAGUAUGUUGACCAAUUCAAUGAAAGAAUGAUUGAGUUGUUUCCUGGAAAAAUGGAAGAAUUCAUGAGUUUUGAUGAAUCAAUUGAUGAUACACAUAAUUAUUAUUAAGAGGAAUUUCUCAACUCAUUGUUGCCUGAUGGUGUUCCUCCACACAAAUUGUUUCUUAAAAAAGAUUACCCAGUUAUACUAUUGAGAAACUUAGACCUAGGCAAUGGUCUAUGUAAUGGAAGUAGAAUGGUUUGUCGUGAGUUUCACAAAAAUAUAAUUUAUGCAGAAAUUGUAAUUGAACAAAAUGAAGGAAAAAAAGUUUUUCUACCACGAAUACCAAUGAGUCUUGCAAACGACAAAGGGUAUCCAUUCAAGUUCAAGAGAAAACAGUUCCCAAUAAGAUUAUGUUUUGCAAUGACUAUCAAUAAGGCUCAAGGACAGACAAUACCAAAUAUAGGAGUUUAUCUUUCUCAAUAUGUCUUUUCUCAUGGUAAACUAUACGUAGCCCUAUUGAGAGGAGUCUCUAUGACAACAACAAAAGUAUUUGUGAAAUCAAAAGAUCUAUGGACAAAAAACAUUGUAUACAAAGAAGUUUUGAAUUUGUAGUUUGAAUUGCUUAAUUUGUUGUAUUCAUCAUUUUAAUAAUUAUUAGUGGUAAAAUUAUAAAAAUCUAAAAUAUUUACGCUCUCAGUAGCAAAUGGAGUGAGUUUUUUCUUUUUAACAUUGUUUUUGGUAAUUUGCAUGAGGUGAAAAUAGUUUUUUCUUUUUAAAAAAUCGUAUUAUUAUUUAUAUUACGUAAAACAAUAGUUGAAAUAUAUAUUUUUUCUAAUUAUUUAACAACCAUAGAUCGUUAUAAAUUAAAUCAAACAAAACAAACUAAUAAAUUAAAUAAUACGUAAUCAAAAUAAACAAAAUCAGAAUUUAAUUUUAUAGAAAUAUAUUAAAUUCGUAUAAACAUAUCAGGAAUACAACUAUUGAAAUAAAAUUUAAAAAUAGAAAAACGUGCAUCACACGUGUUAAUACACUAGUAAAAAAAGAGAAAAAAAAAGAUGACCGAACGGGUUUAGGCUACAACGACGCACUAUUGUCUCUCAAUGUACACCUUUCAAUUUUAAUUUCAUUUAUCGAUUUUCCGGCGAUAACUAUUUGUUCCAUCGCCACCGGAUUCUCAUAGCUGCAACUGGUGGCGGCAGCCAUGGCUAGAACAGUUUGCUCUCACAUUAUCCCCUCUCUUCUUCUCCCUUCAAAGUCAUCCUUCUUCGGGACUCACUCUCUCUUCUCCAGACCUUCUCAGUUCGACCAUGUUAUGGUGCUUGGCCGACGCUUCUCUUCUUCAUCCAAGAUCAGCAUGAGCCUCAGAGCCGGUAUUGUUGGCCUCCCUAAUGUUGGAAAAUCCACUCUCUUCAAUGCUGUUGUAAGCUAAUCUCCGUUGCUCUCUCUAUGUCUCUUAUUAUUUAAUUUAAUGUAAUUUGGAUUUUGAGCCAUGGAGCUGGUGGUUACUUCAGAAAAACUCCAUGGCCGCUGAAGAAUCGUUAUUGAAUUAAUAGUUAGCGUGGAUAGCGAGUUUGUGCAUCAGGAGUUGCGAACUAUUGGAUUUUAUUUUAUUGUAGAUAGUUAUAAACAGUACCGGUUCAUCGAUUCUAGCUCUCCGCGAAUUUUACAGUCUCCAUGCUCUAAAUUAACUUCCAACUACUUUCAACACACUUAAUGGUUUGAUUGGAUCACUUCCUUCUUUAGUUCAUACUUCUAGUUGGAAAUUUACAUCAAUCACACUUGACGCUCAUUGUUUAUAAUGGUUUUACCUUCGUAGGUUGAAAAUGGGAAGGCUCAAGCUGCCAACUUCCCUUUCUGUACAAUAGAGCCAAAUGUAGGAGUAGUUGCAGUUCCAGAUCCCCGUCUCCAUAAACUUUCUGAUCUCAGUAAGUCUCAACGAGCGGUCGCAGCAUCAAUAGAGUUUGUGGACAUUGCUGGGUUAGUGAAAGGAGCCAGUCAAGGAGAGGUAAAGUUUAUUCUCACCUCAGUAUUAUCAUCAUCAUCAUCAUUAUUAUUUAUUCUUUUUUUUAAUGAUUUCUCUAUUUUGACUACUGCAGGGACUCGGAAAUAAAUUUUUAUCCCAUAUUCGUGAGGUGGAUUCAAUACUUCAGGUUGUUUUUUUUAUUUUAUCGUAAUUUAUUUUUUUCCAUCAUUUCAAUUAGAAUGCAUACUUAAGUAGUAGCGGAUUUAAAGAGUAAUAUUAGUUAACAGAUGAACUGGGGGUUUGUUUCCCUGCAAUAUCAACUUUCCGGUGACUCUAAUCUAAGAGAAAGAACAGACUUUAACUUGCUAAUUAUUAGUUUGUUUUCUAAUAAUUGUGUAAACUUUUCUUCUUCUUUUUCAACAUGCACAUUGUUUUCUGUUAUUAUUUUGUUCUAUCGUAGAUUCAAACGUAUCAUGCCAAUUUAGUAUAACAAUGUCAUGAAAGCACUAAGAAUAACCUAAGUGCUUCUUGCGUUUUCCAGUACCCAAUUUUGUGCUGUUGAAGAGUUUCUUAUUAUGUUUCAGGUCGUGCGUUGUUUUGAGGACAAUGACAUUGUUCAUGUGAAUGGGAAAAUUGAUCCAAAAACUGAUAUUGAUGUGAUUAACUUAGAGCUUGUUUUUUCAGAUCUGGACCAGGUAAUAUCAUUGAAAUCUUUUACAAUUCUUUUGACUUUUUUUGGACUGUGGUUCAACAAACAACUUCUUUAUGGAGUACCGAUUACACCAAACACUUCGUAAUUAUAGCCUUUCUAUGAUUUUCAACGAUUGCAAGACCCUUAUGCGUUAGUGCUCUGGGGGAAGGCCCUCUUGUUCCUCGCCCUUAGGCUAUUCCUUUUUGUUCUCUUGAAUAUAUCUGUUUCUUAUAAAAAAAAAAAAAAAAUUCUAUGCAAGUUUUGCUCCUUUUGGAAUGGAGGCUAUAAUCAUGGGAAAUUUUGCAUUCUACUUCCAACAACUUUAAUUCAUCAUAGAUUCAUAUGGGAAAAACAGGUGACUUAAUGAGAUCCCAUGCUUUCGAGUUAUAAAUAGAAACAAAAUCAAGUUGUCUUUAGAAGCUGUUUGUUGAAUGUUUUGCAUUUUGUCCCCCCUUUGAUCUCUUUUUUCCUUGAUGGCUCAGUAUGAUAAAUUGAUAAUAUAAAGGUGAUCUUGGUAGAGGUUUUAUUUCUUCAAUAAAAAGUAUUGUAUAUUAAAAAAAAAAUUAUUGCAAUCGAUUAAAGAAGAGAUGAGUGGCAUAUCUUUUGACAGGAACUGACUUUGGGCUUUCCUGCUUAGGACAUAAGAUUGAAAGUUGAUACAGCUUUUUAAAGUUCAUUUUAUUCAUAGAGUGCUAGUGAUUGAUCACAAAUAUUAUGUAAGGUACACUGAAACUCAGUAAACCUCAACAAUAGCAAACAGAAACCGUCUCUGAUAUGCUUUAUUCAAUAUAAUUCAAGAGUUCACCAACACAGCAAGGCUAAACAACAAGGAACAAGAAUAAGUGACAAUAAUAAUGACACACGACCAGCUCCUUCGAGAAGGCUGGAAACCUCUCCCUAAAAGCUUUAAGCAGUCUUUGCCCAAAAUAAACCCUACUUUUUUAAAUCCCCAAACACUCUUUUUAUACCCACAUCACUGUGAGACCCUCAGGUGAAUUCCUCCUCUUCAGCAGCAUUCGUGGAGGCCUUUGCUUGUGUUAUUCCCUUCUUGCCCUUCAUUUUCUAUGUCUGUAAUGUUGGGGGUCUAACAUAUUACUACUAUCUGUUGUUUGGUUUUUUAAUAUUUUAAAAAAAAUGAAUUAAUUAAGAAAUGACUUUCAGCUAAAAGAAUAAAGUAAAGAGGGGGAAGAUAGGGUAUCCUUCCAACUUAUACUAAAGAAGACCGUGAUGAAAGUUGAAGAAUGUGUUGUCUAGUAGUUACGAUGCAGGUGUGGUUUUGACAUUUAAGCUUAAAAUAGAAAUGAAAAACACUUCAACCAUAGUUAAAUUUAGCUCAUUCCCUAUGUUGAUCAAUGAAACAUUGUUCAAUGUUUACUUUUCUUCUUGAACUUUAUAUUGGAUGCAUACAAAGGUACAAUUAUAAUAAGAGGCUACUUGCGGAAUAGCAAGAUGGUUUCCUUGGGGAAAUUGUCUUACAGCGUAGUUCAUUUGCACAAGUUUUUCCAUGCUAUUCUGCCAUCUAUGUUGUGUGACCAAUUCAUUGGAUUUCAUUGAAUGUGUUAUCUUCCUCCCUUGCCAUUCCGAUGAUCUGAUCAAAUCUAAGUUGUACAUUUUAAAAGUGAUGCAGAUUGAGAAAAGAUUAGAGAAGCUCAAGAAAGGCAAGGCAAAGGAUUCUCAGUCUAAAGUCAAGGUAUGUUGAUCUCACAAGAGUCUGCUUGCUGCUAUAAAUUGUUGUCUCUCCAAUAAUGAUGUGAAUGUAUUGGAUUGGUCUCAAAGUGUGAUUAAAUUUGUUUGUAGACCUGACCUGAAUUUCAAAAUGUUUUGGUCAAAGAAUUAUCAUUAGCAAUGGAAUGAUGAGGUUGUGUGGAAAUUAUUCCAAAAAGCCUAGUUAUUCAUUUAUCUGAGGUCUCUAAUUGAGAUUAUUAUUGCAAAUUCAGUUUGAGUACAAGAUGGAACUCAGACCAUAUAUAUUGAGAACUGAAUUGAUUGCAUGCUCCGAGGGCAUUCACGUUGAAAUUAAAAUGUUUGCUCGGGCUUGCUCCUGUCUUCUCUCAAGAUAAUUAUAUCAUUAUAUGUACACUAGGAUCGUGUCCUUAUAAUGAGAAUCAAUUUCAUCCCACUUAAUAACAUGUCUUUUUAAGACAUCUAUUUGCUUGGGCUUGGUCUUCUGUGGACUAUUUCAGGACCAAAAUAAAAAACAAAAAUGAAGUAAAAAGAUGAAGAGUUGAAGUGAUUGCCGGGAGAAAGGUUACUCCUGUGCUGGUAAAAAGUUGAAGAGAAACAGUGGUGCUGCAUUGGAACGACAAACUUACAAAUCGUAAAAUACUAACUUAAACUUUAGGCGGUUAAGUAACAAACUCAAACCUUUGGGUCAUUUAAGCCAAAAGACCAUUUAGACCAAAGUGCAAUGGACGUAGGUGGCUAUUAGAUGUGAGGCACUAGUGCAAUACUCCAAAAAGGAACUGAGUACUAGGUUGCUAGCUUUAAUAUUGAAUACUGGUCCAAUGGCUAUCAUUUGAAAUUCUUAACAGUCUUUCCUUCUCUAUUAAAAAAACAACUUAAUUUACAAUGAGUUACACUAAUAUGCAAUUCAUAUUAGGAUAUUCAUAUCCCCUUGAAUUUGUAUAUUUCUAAGUUUUAGUUUAUCUUCAGAAUUUGAUUUACUUCACCAAUAUAUUACGUCUAAUGCCCUUCAUAACAAACAGUGUCCUUAUAUUUGUGUAUGUUUGAAUCCUCUCCCACAAUUAUAUUGAUGUGCCUUUUUGAUCACCAUUAUUCCUAUUCCUCAUGAUGCUUCUAUCUCUUCGAAUAAUUUUUUUACCUUCUGGUGAUUCACACUUUAUGUUGCUCUCUUCUUUUCCCAUUAUCUCUUCAAGGAAGAAGCGGAGAAGUCUGCAUUGGAAAAAAUUCAGAAGGUCCUGUUGGAUGGAAAACCAGCACGAUCGGUAACGUUAACAGAUUUUGAAAAGGAUGCUAUAAAGCAUCUUUGCCUGCUUACAAUGAAACCGGUCAUAUAUGUGGCCAAUGUUGCAGAAUCUGAUCUAGCGGAGCCUGCAAGUAAUCUUCAUGUUAAAGAAGUUAUGGGUCUUGCUUCAGAGUUGCAAUCUGGAAUAGUGACGGUUUCUGCACAGGUUGGGCUGGGACAACCUUUUGGGUGUUGGAUCUUUCUCUCAAGUCUCAAUCCUUUUCUGCAAAAUGAAGUAGGCUUCAGGUCAUUGACAAUGUUUAACGAAAAUCUGAAUUGAGGACUUCAUAUUUUCAGGUUGAGUCCGAGCUUUCUGAACUUCCAUCAGAAGAGAGGUUUGAAUAUUUAAAAUCUCUUGGUGUAAGUGAAAGUGGCCUGGGAAAUCUUAUAAGGGCAACCUAUAACCUUUUGGGACUCCGUACAUAUUUUACUUCAGGCGAAAAGGUAGGGUUUUGGACAAUUAUUUUAGUAUUUGUGUUACAAUGUUUAUACUCAUUGAGAUAUUGUUUGUGGGGCCUUUACAGGAAACAAAAGCCUGGACCAUACUUGCAGGUAUGCUUCAAUUCUGCUAAGUUGAGGAAAUUAACUGACAUUGAUCCUAGCAUGCGUGUUUUACGUGUGCUGAAGGAAGAUUUCUAAGUUGAUGUAUGCCAAUUAGUCGCUAUAUGGGACCUGUUCAAAAUCUUUUAUAGCAACUUGGUUUUAGAACUGGCACUGUAACUUACCGUUUAUUCUCAUGGAGUUCACUUUUGAUUCGAUUUACACUUGAUGCAUAAUGAGUAUCCUGUGAAUUACUAUUCCAAGUUCAACGUCACAUUUAUCCUACAACUGCUGUGUUCCUCCAUGGCUUGACACCACCCUCUUUCCAGUGGGCUAUGAGGUCCUUCGUCUGCAUUAGGCAGCUUGCAUGCCCCAUCAGAGUAAAUGAAAGUGUGGUGGGUGGAAGAGUGGAAUAUUAGUAAUCUGUUAUACCUCCAAUAUUAUUUAAAUAUAGUAGGAGAAAGAAGAAGGAGAAGUCAGAAGUUACUGGGUAAUUCUGAUGUAUCUCGGGAUGGAAUGUCUCUGCUCGAGGUGUUCUUGGUGUGGAGUGGCUUUGGCUCGGGGAGAUCUCGGGGUAGCAUGACUUUGGCUUGGGUUUAAAGGGGGAAAGGGUAGUUUAAAGGGGUUGAGAGGAGUCUUUGAGAGAGGGAGGAGUUAUUUUGGUGUGUAGGCUGUUCAUCCUUGAGAGGAGGAUAGCGGAGUGGUUUGUUCUCGUUUUUAUUUUGUGUGUUAUUUCCAGAUUGAUACUCUAUCUAUCUUACUUUGAAUUUGUAACAUCUUGUUCCAAAUUGAAUAAAGAGCUUUUACACUAGUGUUCUAUCAUAAUCUUAGAGACAAAUUUAUUUUUUUAAGAAAAAGAAGUGUGCCAAGUGCCAACUGAGAUAAAUUGGUGGUGCUUAUAGAAUUUCCCUUAAAAACACGUGUGUUUUCUUUUUUAAAAAAGAUCAGAAACCAAAUUUUCAUUGUGAAAAUAUGAAAGAAUACCAAAAAAAAAACUUUAGUUAAAUUGCAACUAAUCUCAAAAUUUAAUUUGGAUUUAACCAUUCAACCUGUAUGUUUUUCAUGCUCCUUACAUAUGGGCUUAGUUACAAUUAUGAUUAACGAAGCUCUACACAUGCCUGAAUUUUGGAAUGCGUUAUAAUUUAUGUAUAAUUUAACUUCUAUUGAUGUACAAUUUAUUGGUUUUAUUUCAUUUUUGAUUUAGGAAUGACUGCACCACAAGCUGCUGGAGUCAUUCACUCAGACUUUGAGAGAGGGUUCAUCCGUGCAGAGACGGUGAGAAUGAAAGUCUUAUUGAAUAUCGAAUAUUCUCUAUUCUGCAUGCUUUUUUUCUACCCCUGAUAACCAAAUUGAUCGGUAAAUCUACCAAAGCUGGCAAGAUUCACGAGGCUCCUUCACUUUAUUCCACUACCACUUUUAGGCUUUCUGAUUGUAUUUUCUGGCUAAUAAAUCGAGAGUUUGAAGAGUUAGAUUUUUUGCAAUCGAACUUAAACAUGUACAAAAGUUAUGUUUUCAUGUGAAAAUAAAGAUGCCUAUUUUAUUUAGCUUUGAAUUGAAAAAGAAAAAGGAAUAAAGUAAUAAUCAAGUAUAAUAUCAAUCCAAGUCCCUUCUGCAGGCUGAGGGGAGAGAAAUUGUAGGCUUCUUCGAAUUGAAAUAAAUUAAAUAAAUAAAAAUUGUAUGCUUCUCUCUUGUUAUGAAUAAGUAGUUAUCGUCCUAUAUGUUUCAUUUUGUGGUUCAAUGAAAUUAUUGAAUGCGAAGUUCUUGAAACAAAUGUUACUUUUUUCAACUCUGGAAAAAUGGACUUAUCUCACAAGAAUUUAAAGCUGUCUUUCACUUUUCAAAACAAAGAGAAGGCGCUCAGAAACAAAUGAAUGGAUGAGAAAUUAAAGAGCUGUCUUUUACUGAAAAGAAUAAUCAAACUUUAUUAUGCAACUUAUAAAAUAAUGUCAUUAUUACCUUAUCUAUCUUGAUACAGAUUAGUGAAUUUUAUAUUCAAGAGAAAAACAAAUGAACAAACUAAUACCAAAUACCAAUAAGCCUGUAAGCUAAGAAAUUACUCAUAUCCUUUAUAAUUUACUCAAAAGUGAUCUAUAUUUUUGGUGGUGAUAAUCUGUGUUUCCGAGCUUCCAUUUUCUUUUGUUUUGUCUGCAGAUUUUGUGUUGCUGAAUUUUUAUUUUGUUUUAUAUAGGUGGCUUAUGAUGAUUUUGUUGCUGCGGGUUCAUUUGCAGCAGCAAGGGAGAAAGGACUUGUAAGUUUGUAGUUUCAUUACUAUAUUUUUUAAUUCUGAAAAGGUAUGCCUAAAAUAUGACACGUUCACUGUUUUACUGUAUAGGAUCUUUAACUCAAGUUCAGUGAUUAAAUUUUCGACUGAACAGAAUCUUUUGUGCUAAGUGCAUGACUAAGUCCAAGUCCAUAUAACAUUUUACUGUGGAAAGUAGCUCAGGCAAUAUCAUAUUUCAAGCUUAAAAUAUAGCUUAGAGGAUGUAGCCCACUGGAUAUAAUUAUAUGUGGCAGCUUUCUUUUCCUAACUAUUGUCAUAUCAUGGAAGAAUAUGAGAAAGUAAAAGCUGCUGAAAUGUAAUUUUACUAACGGAACGACUGGAUAACUCUGUGUCCUGCCUAUGAAUGGCCAAAUUUGUAAGAUGGACAUGGACACAUGGUUAUGCGAAGUACAUGGGACAAAUAUAUAUUUUUCUUGAUUUUAAUAUGGAUCUGAUUUGAAAGAGAAAAAUCACCAUUAUUAAUAGACCUUGUCGAUUAAUUAUGCAUAGGCUGGUUUUUUCCUUUCAUUUUGUGAAGUAGUUAGCUUCAGAGGAACGAAAGGACUUUUGAUAGUUGGAGAGACCUUUUGGGAUUCCAUGUAUAUUUUAGAGGGGUCGAGAGGUCUUUGGAGGAGGUGUGAGAGGGAGUGAGGUUUACUGCUUCUUUAUGGUAUUUUUUGUAAUAAUAAAAGAUGCAGAUUGGUUUUGGUAUCAGUCUUUGUUAGUGGAGUUUUGUAGUUUUUUUCUCCAUAAAACUCUGGUAUUUUAUACCAUUUUUCUUUGUGAAAGCUCAGUUUCUUGUUAAAAAAGAGAGGGUUAUUUAGGACGCUUUCUUGUGAUUUUAUCAUCAAAUUCUAAUUGCACUCCACUAAAAUGCCAAGUAAGUUAACGAUCACAAGAGAUUCAACUUUUAAGUUUCUAACUUCAAGUUUUUUGUUUUUUUUUUUUAAUGUUUGGUUAAAAAAAAUAGCUAUAUUUUGUUUUUGUUUUUAUUAUCUUAGUUUAACAUAUAAUUGAUUUGGGUUUAAAUUUUGGAUUCAACAUUAAAGGUUGGACCAUUUUCUCUUUUAAACAAACUUUCCAGACAUGUCUAGGAAGUGUCCCAAACGUGUCCGGAAUAAAAAAAAAAGAUAAAUAAACAUAGGAGAUGGAACAUUGCUUGUUGAACACAUAUCUGGAUGUCCAAACGUGUCCAUGUCUACGUUCAACAUGUUUCUCAUAUGGACACUAUCUAAAAUAAAGUCUGCUUCAUAGAUUUUUACACAGCUUUAUUUAGCAUUUUCAAUUCACAAAUAGAAAAAGUCAGGAACUCUCGGAGAGCACUAAUGCUCCUUCCCCAUUCCUUGAGAAGCUCUAUGUCAUUCACUCCAAAGAAACCAGCCAAGGCUUUGAAGGGCAGGUUUAGUAGCCAUUUGAAAGGGAUAAAAUCACUUUAAUCAUGUUCAAAAUCACUCCAAAAUAUACGUCUGAUAAUUUAAAUCAAUUUUGAUGGUAUGAAAGUUGUGUUUAAUGAUUAAUGAUAUGUUUUGAAGUGACUUUGAAUAUAACAAAAGUGAUUUAGCCAUUUCAAAUCAACUCCUAAACAUGUACUUUUGAUUUUUUAAUUGUAUUUUCACUACUUGUGAAGUUUGUUUCCUUGAGCAAUAGUCUCUUUUCAUUUUGUUAAUGAACAUUUUGUAUUUUGCUCCCAAGCGAGUUCUAACAACGUUAACCAAAGGACUCAGCUUCUGCUAUGAAAAACAUGACAGUAUAAAGCUUGAUCACAAAAGUUUUCGAAGUCUCAAGGAGAGCAGUACAAGAAAGAUUGAUAAGAUAUCAAUCUGGAAAAGAAAACACAAUAGUAAGAAGAAGAAACUACCAUCUUUGUUAUCAUCCUCCCAGGGAUGAACAGCCCACUCACAAAAAUGAUUCCCCCUUCCCUCCUGACUAACUGUGGGGACCAGAACUACUAUUAACAUUCUUAAUCACAUGCACUUUCUCUUUCUUCCCUCUCCUACUAUAUUGUAAUAUUAUUGGAGGUCUAACACGUACCAACAGGCAACAACAUAAGGAAGUUUUUUUAGUUAACACUCUGGGCAGGUUUAAGUAGCUCUGUGUCUGACCCAUAUUGAAGCAUAGCUGUCAUAUCGAAAGAAAUCAUAAUGAAGUGUUUGAAGGCCUCUGUAUAUUCAUAUCCAAAAUAAAAAGCUCUGUUUUUUAAUCUCAUAAAUAGUGAAAGCAGUUCCUCCCCUCACUGAAGCUUACAUGUUAUUGCAGUUGAGAGCCGAGGGUAAAGAAUAUAUCGUCCAGGAAGGGGAUGUCAUGCUCUUUCGUUUCAAUGUUUAGCAGCUGCAGAGUUUGACCAAGCUGUCUGAGAACCAGAAAAUAUAUUGGUUUUUUCUUUUUGCAAGGUCGAAGACUUGCAGUUGAUUUAUCAUUUUGAUGUUUUUGGGGAUUCUCAUUGUUUAAGUUCGUCUUUUGUUGGUCAAUGGGAGCCAGAACCAGGUAUGAGUUAACAAUUUUGAAUGUAGAGUGCAUAGUUCAGAGCAUAAAAAGAUAUAAAUAGGCUGCAAAAGACAAACAUACACAUAAAAAGUUAGGGAGAGUGGGUUGGUGGUGGAAAGGGAUAUGUACCUUUAAGUAUUGACCACAAAAUUAUAUAUGAGCACUUCAAUUUCUUCCUUCUAUUGUUUGAAAAUAUAAUCCCUUUUUCUUACCCAGGAAAUUGGGGUGUUCACAGUCCAGUUCAAUUUGGUUUUUUUGUUUGAACUAAUAAGCGGUUCAGUUUGAUUUUGGUAAAAUCCAAAAUCAAACUAAACUGAAAAAUUUGGUCUCCUUAUAAUUUUAAACCAAACAGGCGCUUCAGUAAAAACCAAAAUCUAGAUUUGGCUAGCAAGGGUGAUGACAGUUCCAACUCAUCUCAAUAUGCACCAUGUGGAAAUUUCCCAAGAUCUAUGAACUCGUAGUUGGGGAGCUCUUGGUGAAGAGACCUUAAGAUAAGUUGCUAAAUAAACAGGUGGGGAGGAUCGACCUGUUCAGUUAAAGGAAGCAUAGUAUCUUGUACUUGUUUUAGGAUUGAGGAAAACUUCCAGUACUAGUACUUAUAUACGUGUCAUGUUAUGUGUGUGUUGUAUGGCGAAAUCACUUCAGUAAAACAACUGAAGGUUUACAAUACUCGGCCAUACAACCACAUACACUAAAAGCAACCAAAGCCAGAACAAUAAUUACUUCCAAAUGAAAAUAUUUCGACAAUAACGAAUAAAAGAACAAAAAAGAAGCUGAGAAGCACUUAAAAAACCAAAGCAAAUUGCCAAAUGAACCAAUUGAAGUGCGACAUAUUCCAGACUUCUUUCCAGUUUCCAUGACUUCUCCAGUCCUUGUAGAGUCUCUUAUGUAUCUUUGCGACCAAAUACUCUAAAAUAUUAGGGGGAGACCGACCUUUUAGAAAACUUUAUUUUCAUUCUACAAAGGGGGUGUCAACCUAGUUGAGAUGUCCGAGUGUACCUCCUGAUCCCCCAGGUUCCGUCUUUUAGACUUCUUUAUUUCCCUCAUUGUAUAACUCACUUGUACUCCGAAUUCUUAUUAAUUAAGAAGUUGUCUCCGUUUCAACAAAAAAACAAUGGGUGAAUGAAAAAUAACUUUGUUCAUCUUCAUCACGUUCCAACCAACCAGUGUUUUACAUAGUCCAUUGGUGCGUUUUAAAGAACCAAGGCUCUCUUAAUGAUGCCUCCUUGAUUCACGUGCCUUAGCGUUUGUAGUAUGUGCCUCAAUGCUUCAAGCACGGUUUUCUAUUUUUUAUUUCUGAAAUUUUCUAAUGUUUAGUGAAGAAAUUCACAAAUAUUCUUACCAUUGUCAAUAAAAGCUCUACUUUCCUGAACUUUUUAUCAUCUUAUUUUUUUUUAUCAUACUGUGUUUCUUCAUAUAUUAAACAUUUACUUCAAUUGUUCUAUUGUUUGCCUAAUAAAAGCGUUUUUUUACGCAUCACACUUAAGCCUUAGUUAGCCAUUGUAGAACUUUUGUAAGCCUUGAGCUAUAGAAGACACCAGUCCCAACAAAUCUGGGAGCAAGUAGUACCUGCUUACAUAGAAUUUAUAGUAUUGAUUCUUCACAAGGCAACCAUCUAAUAGAAGAAUGUCUCCUGCGCACUAAAAUCUUAAAAAUGUUUAGCAAAGAAAGCAGACUGGGGACUGAUGGGCACAGGAUGUAAGAUGAGUUUACAAAAAAUACACCUGAAGACUCUUUAUUUAUUCAAUUUGGGAAUAGUUCAAAACCCUGGAUGAUGAAAAGCAAGGAAGUGAACUCUCCAGUUCCUUGUUAGAUAAGUCUAUUGUGAAGUGAAAAUUGAUGGAGUCAUACAACCCAGAUGAAACGAAGGAAGGAACUAUUUGCCGAUUCUACAGUGUUCCCAAGAUAAAAUAAUGGAGCUCUUUAUUUGUUAUUCUGUUUUUUUAGAUAUUGGUGAUGUGACUAAAUAUAGAUGAGCACUGCGGAUGUUUUCCUAUCGUUGUAAUUUUGAAAAAUUAUCACGAUGGAAAAUUUUGUUCUUCAAUUUCUAUGGUAUUUAAGACACGUUUGAAUUGAUUCUUUAAGUAUUUGAAUUAGUAUUUUUAAGCACUUGAAAGGUCAGGUUAGGAAGUUCUCACAUGGAUUAAGAGGAGGACCAAGUCCAUAAUUAUUAGGUUCAAAUUAUUGGGAGUUUGAGAGCUAUCAAGAAAAAUGGAAGUAACUCGAUUAGCAUCCUUGGCUCUGGAAAGGUGUCAACUUCACUGCAUGUUCACCGUUGAAUUUGAUUUUUAAGCAAUAUUGUACGUUCUUUUUUUAUUGAUUAUAUAUGUAUUUGGUUGUUAUUUUUGAGGAAAUUUCUAUGCUGAACGAAAAAUGUCACGCUGGAACACUCGGCAAAUGCAUUUUAAUAAGACGCUUUGUUCUUCAUUUAUUUUCCUGUCAGUAGUUCAAAGUUAGUAUGAAUGCACCCGAGUUCCAGUUUAUUUUCUUUGAUAUUGAUUUUUAUCAUGUUCAAAAUAUAUUUUAAUAGUUUAAAGUCGAAUUUGAUAUUGGAAAAUUGGGUUAAAAGUUUUGAACUUCUCCAUUUUGAUAGACCUUGAACUAUGAACUGUUUACUGGACUAAUGACAUGUUCUAUCUUGAAGUUUCUUUGGGUUCUUGUUAAUUGAUAAUUCCAACCACAGUAAAACUAAAGUACCUCACAGAUUGUACAAUGGGUUCGGAAUCCUAUCAACGGCUGAAAAUUUGGCUAGACAGAAACAGGUAUGUGAAUUAUUCUCAUAGACUUUAGAUUUGAUGAUGUCAGUGUCCAGAAGAAAUAUUUGAUGAUGAAUUAUUUUGAAAUACUUUUUUACAUUUUUUUAAUUGAUGAUGUCAGUGUCCAGAAGAAAUGAAACGAUAAGUAUCCUAACUAGAUCAUUAGUCCUUGUCUAAUAGUGAUUUUUGCUUGACUUCAAUGGCUUGCUGUCUUAGCAAUAUUAGAAGAUGUAUAUAACAAUGCCUUUUUGCCUCUAAGCAAGACAGCCUGGAUGUUUAUUCUUGGUAAUUAAGUUUUAAAAUGAUCUGUAGAGCACUGGUCAAAAGUGCAACUUAAAGAUGAUCCAUCAAAUUGAAUGGACUAUUUGAAAUUUAAAGGAAUAUGUUGUUGAACAAAAAAUAACAACAGAAAAUUACGAUAGUUUUUAGGUUUAUAUACUAUAGUAUGUUUACUUUCAAUUUUUGUUCAUUUUAAUUCUGAGUAAUUUCAAUUUUGGUCUUCGUCCUUUCAAAAAAUCAAUCUGAAUUUGAGUUUAUUGAGUGACUGUUUUUAGUCUCAUCAUUUUUAUUAUCGUUAUUAUUAUUUUUUUUCAAUUGAAAUUUUAGCCUAACACUUUAUUCACUAAAUAUGUCACAUCUUUUUCCAUAAAUUCGUAUUGAAAGUUUUCCAUUAUUCCAUUAUGCAACUUUUAUGUUUUUUUUUAUUGGCUUUGUACUUUGAGCAUUUGUUUCAUUUGGAUGAAAAGUUCCGUUUCAUUUUCAUACAAAUAUGCAUUGAAAUGGUCACUAAAGUAAGAUAACUAAAUUGAAUGUUUUUGAGAAGUAGAUAACCGAAAAUAGAAAAUACAUGCACUAUGUAGUAUUCAAAUCUAGUUUUUAUUGUACUCAUAUAUGAAUGUUUGCGAAACAUAAAAAACUUUGGCCAUGUGUGCUAUGAGGCAAAGUAACUUUUCCAUGUUAUUGUUAGAUCUUGUCCAGUGUAAAUUGUGUAUGCCGUAUAUAUUACUAUCAUACUAAAGAGAUGUAGAUUGUGACCCCACUAAAGGUAGACAAGAAGCAAGCAUGUUGACAAGGUGUGAAUUGAUAUGCAAGAAGCAAAAUUAUUUGUAGUCCUACAAGGUCAGGUCGUUAUCAACGGAUUAUUUAUAGUUUUUAAGGUAGAUAGGUGCACAGAUGUCGAACCAAUGAAAUGCUUGGAAAUAUAGAAAUUAGUAACAAAAAAGAUAAAAAUUGAAAAUGAAUUGGGGAAAAUUGUAGAAGGGAAUGAGAAUGGAAAUUUGGUAUGCAAAACAAUUCACAAUAGAGUGGGUACUAGAUAUUGAAUUCCAAGAUGGUAAGUGAGGAAUGAGCUAGGCAUACAUCAAAUCUUAUCAUUGAACUAUGCAAAUCUAAAAAUAGAUUUUGAUUCAAGAUUUUCUUGGGAUCAAAUUACUCUUGGAAGGAAUUCUUGAAUCAAAACAAGUAAAAAAUUUCAAAGGGUUUAGUUUGAUCAUUGCAAUUAUAAUGAAAUUCAUUAUUUUUUAAAAAAAAAAAAACACAAGAUGGAUCAACAACUUUAUAUUCAAGGAAUAAAAGAUAAAUUAAUUUGUGCACAAAAAAAUAUGCCAUUUAAUUUCAAGAAUUAUAUAAAAACAAUUGAAAUCCAAGAGAGGCAUUACACAAUUAAUUCUAAAAUUGGGAGAUAAAAUGAAGGAUUCAUGGAAAUUUUGUAUAUAAGCAAGUAAAACAACUAAUCUUGAAUUAAUUGAAAUACUAGGAGUAGAUUGCUUACAAUGUUGAACCAAACAAAUCAUAAAAUCAAGAAUCAAGAUUACAAAAUUUAAUAAAAUUACAUGAAAAUCAAAGACUAAUUAAAAGAAAACUCUAAUUAAUCAAAUUGUCAAAGAUCGAAAAUGCCUAAGCCCAAUUUACUUAAAAGAUUAGCCUUCCAUCUUCAAUAUUUCUGGAAAAAGGGUGGAAGAUCAAAAUUAUAGAGUGAGGGUAGAGAAAUUGGAAUUUGGGAGAAAUUAGGAGUAUUUUUUUUUGGAGGGAAUAGUGAAUUGUCUUCAAAUUAGGGGUUAAUUAAGGUAUUUAUAGGGAGAAAUAGAGGAAAUGGGCCAAAAUUAUAUUUCUAAGCCCAUAUCCCAAAAAAAUAUGAAAAUUGGAGAAAUUUCGGAAGUUUGGAUAUUAGUUACAAAAAUCCGUGUGCUGAGAUUGUGCCACGUGGCACACAGAGAGCGGUUGGGUCGCUGAAGACACGGAUUGAGGAAAAAUGGAUGGUUAAUAUUCUGCGUGAAGUAAGAUUCGAACCCGUGAUCCGCACGAGUAAGGAAAACGACGUCGUAUUUACCUUAGGAAAUUUGAAUUAAAAACACGUCUGGAGAGGUUCGAACUCGUGACUUCGAAGCUAGGUGUGCACGACUGAGCGACUGACACCUGUCAAUCUUCUUCAAUAUUUAUAAAAAUGCCCUUUAUGUUUAAUUUGCCCGUUCUCCUUUGUUUGAACUCCUCGAAUUAGGUGAUUUUCAUGUCGUUGGGUUCGUAUCAGAGUCUACUUUAUAUUCUGUAUAAGAAUAUAAAAAUAGUGAAAAUAUGCAUGAUAAGGAUUGAGAAUAGACUAUCUUUAAACAUGUCAAUAUUUAUCCCAACACAUGUCAAUACGUGAUCAACAUAUACGACACAUAGCAAGCAAGCACGAUGACACAUGAAAGGGUGUCACUCUUUAAGCCAAAAGAGAGAGUUGAGAAGUGAAGUGUCAUGAUAUGAUCGAGGAAGACAUGCAUUAGUGUCAUAGGAUGGUGUUAGUGACAAGCUCGAUAGGAUCUAGAUGGGCCUCGAGUUGUGAUCUCAAAAGUUGGGGUUCCAUCGUGAGUUUUGACGAGCGGUUUUGGAGUUAGAUGCAUAUUGAUAUAUGCUAGCAAUUUAAAUUUCAUUUCAAUUGGAGUUUAGGCGAGCACUCUAUGUUGGUGUGUGACCGUUCGCCACAACUGAUGUGCAAGGGUGGAAGAAAUAAUAUUGUUCAAAAUGUACUAUAGGAUGAAGGAUGGUGUUGGCUCUCUACUACCCUUGAGCCAUGGUGUGUAAGUGAGCCACCCCAUCGAUCAUAAGUGUGUCAUGGUAUGUUUGUAAGGAUGAGUGUCACAGGAUGAGUGUCUCAGACAACUUUAUGUAAGGAGGAGUAACUCAAGAAUAUGUUUGUCACGACGUGAUCGCUAUGCGGAGCGACUGACCUUCAUUGUUUAUUUAAUUUUAAUAAAUAAAUAAUUUUGGAGUUGCCACCAACCAUAUUAUGGUGUGAUUGGUCACUCAAAAAAAGAAAAAAAUGGUUUGCGUAAAUUGAGAGAUUUAAGUUCGGGAGUCAGUUGUGUGUAGGAAAGGUGUUAGCAUCCUACUACACUCACAAAAUGAUUAUCCAAUUUUAUCUUUUAAAUUAAAUUAUAGAGGUUUACAAAACAAAGUUUUUUAUUUAGGUUUUGUUUAAAUGUCUCAUGUUUAUCAAUUCAUAUCGAAGAAAGUAAAACCUAAACAUGAAUUGAUAAUUAUGGGUGGCAUAAGAGCCAUUAGAAAAAUGAAGUUUAUUUUUGUUUUAAAAUAUUUUUAUUCACCUCAAGAAUAUUAAGAUACCAAAAUUUAAUAUUUUAAUCUUUAUCAUAGGUGUUUAAUGAGAAAUUUCAUGUAUUUAAGAAUUAAUAAAUUCAUAGAAAACAUUAAUCAGUCUCAUUUAAAACAUCAAGUGUGUUUAUUUAAAAACAAUCUAUUAAUUAAAUUUCAAAUGAAAGAAUUUGAUGUAUUCAUGAAAUUUAAAUUAUAAAAUCCAUAAAAUCCAAUAUUUUUUUGAGUUUACAUUUUUAUAUUUAAAUUGAAAAAUAAAUAAUAACAAUAAAAAAAAAACAUUAUGAAAUUUGAGAAAUAUUUGAAGGGUAAUAUGCUGAGAUAAAAUAAAUACAUAAAAUAAAUACAGUGAUAAUAUAAGCAAUAUGCAAAAUGUACAGAAUGAUUAAUUAAUGUAAGAUGCAAAAUAAUUAAUUAAUACAACACGUGCAAGAUAAUUAAUUAACGUGGAAUGAUGUAAAAUAAUAUGCAAAAUAAUUAAUUAAUGCAGAAUGAUGCGAAAUAAUUAAUUUAUGCAGAAUGAUGCAAAAUAAUUAAUUAAUACAGAAAAAUGCAAAACGAUUAAUCAGAACGGGGAUGCCAAAUGAGUGUCAAAUAAUAAUUAACUAUAGAUAGGUUUAAGGCAAAAUACAAAUAAAUAAUCACAGUAGCCAAAUGGAUGUCAAAUAAUUAUAACAAGAUGCAUGUUAAUUAAUUAAUUAAUACAAAAUGAGAUUUUUUCUAAAAAUAAUGUAAUAUUUGAAACAUAUAUCAAAACUAUGGUGGAUGCAAAACUAUUUUUAAAAAUAGGUGAUUUGGCACGACUUCCAUGCAGUGGACCUCACAUAUUUUAUUUUUUCCUUAUUUUUAUAUUUAUACAACAUUGGGCCCCACAUUUUUUUAUUUUCUCAUUAUUUAUAUACGUGGGUCCCACACACUUCACUUUUCUCAUUAUUUAUAUAUACAUACUCACAUAUAAUAUAAUAUAUAUAUUAAACAUUCAAAUUCUAAAAAUAUCUUUCUUUAUUAAAUUAAUUAAUUUUUUAUUUUUUCUUUAUAUAUAUAUUUAAAUAUCACAAUCUUCAAUCUUCAAUUUUCCUUAUUAAAUUCAUUUUUCUACUUUAAUUUAAAUUUUUCUUAAUCAAAAUUACACAUAUCUUCUUUUCCAAUUUUUAAUUUUUUAAACAAACUCAUAUAUUAACAAAUAUGUUAUUAAACAAAUAAAAAUAGAAAUAAUAAUAAUAAUAUAUAUAUAUAUAUAUAUAUAUAUAUAUAUAUAUAUAUUUAAUAUCUCGAUCUUCAAUUUUUCUUAUUAAUUCAUCUUUUCUAAUUUAAUUUAAUUAUUUCUUAACCAAAAUUAUAUAUAUCUUUUUCUAAUUUUCUGUUUAAAAAACACAUAUAUUAACCAAAUAUGUUAUUAAAAAAUACAUUAAACAAAUAAAAAUAAUAAUAGUAAUUGAAAGAAGUUGAAACGUACUCUAAAAAUAAUAAUAACAAUAAAUUUGUAAUUGAAAAUUAUCCAUUUGGCUAUUGUGAUUAAUUAACAUGCAUCUUGCUAUAAUUAACAUGUUACAUUGAAAUAAAUAAUCAUCUCAAAAUCAAACUAAUGUUUAAGAAUUCACUCGUAUAACCUGAAAUACAAGUGACUAAGUAGCAACAAAAAUGACAAAGUACUUGCAACAAAGUGACAAAUGUGUCCUAAGUUCCACGUAAUGAAUCACCACCACAAAAGUUACAAACAUGUUCAAAGUUCCACAAAAUGAACCAACUUUCAAACUACAAAGAAGCAAGAAAAAGGCAUAUAAAGUGCAAACUAAGCUUCUCCCUUUUAAAUCAAACUAAAAUUCUUUCAAGAGUAUACCAUGCAUAAAAGACGUUAUUUAAACAUAGAGAUGAAUGUCCAUAUUACACAAACUUGGUAAUAUAAAAGGACAAUUGGAGCACUCAUAUACCCUACCCCACCGCAAAAGCUACAAACAUGUCCUCAGUUCCACAUAAUGAACCACCAUUUCAAGAGUAAACCACACAUAAAAGAGGCUUAUUGAAACAUAGAGAUGGAUGCAUUCAUAUUUAAACAUGCUACCAUUGUAGCAUAGCCACACAAGUUAAGUUUGUAACUAUACUAAAUUGCUCAUACUUGGCCACUAUAACUACAGGAUAGCCAUAUUCCUAACUCCAUUAACCAUAAUUCAAAGUUUUUAUAACGUACCUAAUUGUCUGAAACUUCACAUUCUUGCCUUUGUUGCGCAAUAAGCUGUCUCGUGAUGUUAGUCAAUUGAUCUUAGAAGCCCGAAAUUGUUGACUUCAACAUGACAUUUUCCUCCUUUAAGUUUGUCACUUUCGCUCAAAGCUUUUCAUCCUUGUCCCCAAUAUGUUUCUCAAACACACAUGCCAAUGUACCACUUGUUGCUACAUCGGGGGUUGCCUUCCAUGCAAGACUUAUAGUAUGACCCGAACCUUUUUUCAAAACCCGUUCACAAAUAUUUGCCUCUAGGGUUGGUUCAGAUCCAUCUUCUGAUUUCUCAUCUCCUCUUGCAUUGCCAACUAUAUUUGUAAUGCUUUAGAUGUUAAAUAUUAUACACAAGGGUUAGUAUAAAAUUACAAACAUAUCAUACAAUAUAACUUACAUAUGCUUAUUUGGCUGACUCGCCUACCUACCCAUCCUUCUCUGGAAAGUGAGUUUUGAUAAACAACUCCACUUGGCCUACUUUCUCACCCUUAUCAAUCGUCUAUAAUACAAUAAAAAAAAUUUCUUUAGAUACAAUGAGAAUGAAUAAAAUGAUAGUGAAUUUGUUUCCUAUCAUGCUAAUUCAUUCUGCACUUGAAGAUAAUGGGUUGAAAUUUAGACCUUCUCUAUUUUUUUUGUUCUUCUACCUUUUUUUUCCUACACAAAAUUUAUAGUUUAUUAGUCAAAUCAAUUUGUGAGCACGAUAUACGUACAAUAAACACAUAAAACUUACCUUUCAUUCAGGGGUCUUUCAACAAUCACAAAGAAUCUCUCAAUCUUCUUUGCUCGCUAACUUGUCCGGUGGGCUUUCACGAGCAUUAAUAGGAUUCUCAAACGAACAAUAGUGUUUAUGUAGUUUUGAUUUAUAUUCUCUAAAUGAGUUUUGUAUUUACUUAUGUAUGUACUUAUUGAUGACCAUUGAGGACAUAUCCAAAACAAAACGUGUCUAAAUAUUCAAUAAAAAUUUAGGCAAGUAUGAAUACGAGAUUAGCACAAUAAAAGUUUAGGUAAGUAUGAGAUUAUCAUGAUAUAUGUGCUUACUUAGAACAACGCAAUGAAAUGGUGUCCCGAGUCACAGUCUCAAUAGUGUUGCUAAACUUUGUAGCAAAAACGCUAACUGGUUUUCCAACCAUCUCACCAAUUGUAAUUGAAAUCUUUCUAUGUUGUUAUAUGUACAUGUCUAAACUAAUGUUUUGACCAUGCACAUGCACAUGCCCACACUUCUUUGUUGUUUCACAAUUUGAUCUUGCAUGUGUAACAAUAACAAAUAUACUAUCUAAAUUAUAAGUUACUAUAAUAUUUAGUUCAACAUAAGAUACACUAUGCUAUCACUUGAUGCAGGGUGGUGAGGUAGGAUCAAGUUGAACAACUAAAUAUUAUAGUAACAUCUAAAUAAGGUAGUAUAUUUGUUUUUGUUAAACGUAGAAUCAAGUUUUAAAACAAAAAAGAAGUGUGAGUGUUAGUUUAGACAUGUAUGUAUAACGACAUAGAAAGAUUCCAAUUAUAAUGGAUGAGAUGGUUGAAAAACCUGUUAGCACUGUAUGUACAAAAUUUAGCAACGCUAUUGGAACCGCAACUCGAGACACCAUUUCAUUGCGUUAUUCUAAAUGAAAGAAUAUACCUAGUGAUGUCGUUGUUAAUAUAAAAGCUCAUGUACAAGUAAGUACAUAUAUCGUGCUAAUCUCAUACCUACCUAAACUUUUAUUGUGCUAAUCUCGUACUCAUACUUGCCUAAACUUUUAUUAAAUUCAUAGACACGUUUUGUUUUGGAUAUGUCUUCAAUGUCGUCAAUAAGUACAUACGUCGACAAAUACAAACCUCUUUUAGAGAAUAUAAAUCAAAACUACAUAAAGACUAUUGUUCGUUUGAGAAUCCUAUUAAUGCUCGUGAAAGCCCACCAGACAGGUUAGUGAAGAUGGGGCGAUUCUUCGUGAUUGUUGGAAGACCCCUAAGAGGUGAGUUUUAUGUGUUUGUUGUACGUAUAUUGUGCUCACAAAUUGAUUUCACAAAUAAAUUAUAAAUUUUGUGUUCGAAAGAUGGCAAAAGAGCAGGAAAAGUAGAGAAUAUCUAAAUUUCAACUAUUAUUGUGGUUCAAAAUCUUUUCUACAAGUGCAAAAUGGAUGAUAGAAAACAAAUUCAUUAUCGUUUUAUUCAUUAAGAACAACUUUUUAUUUCAAUAUUUCAUCGAGAUCAAACAACUAAACUUCGUGAUGUUGUAAAUGAUUCACAUGUCUUUAAUAUAUGCACUGAUAAUGAAGGUACAUGAAGAACCCACAUUAUAUGUAUAUUGUACCCAUUGUACAUGUGCCAAUUCAAAGAAGUCGUGUUUGAGUAUAAGAGUCCGAGUUUGAUGAAAUUAGCACAUGAAAAAAGUCUCAUAUGACACAAACAUAAAGCUAGACCGAUUAUGUUAGUUGAAUGAUGAUGUUAGCCUUCAGUAUGGAAUAUUAUGAUUCUGGGGUCAGACUUCGGAACAAAAUACUAUAAUUUUGACGUCGAUCCAUCAUCGUCAAACUUUGGAACAUGAUUUUGGGAUCAAUCCAUCACCUUCAUACAUGCAUGAACACAAGCACAGUCGUGGAGAGCAUAACAAAUAUUUGUACUAUGAAGUGCCUAUAGAGGUACUCGAGCAAAAACAAGACUGACAAUGACUAGAGAAUCGGGAGGGACUAGAGCACCACAUAGUUCAAAAUCAACGACGAAAACUAGCUCGUAAUCGACGACGUUCGGUUUGUGAGACACAUUAAUUUUUAAACGAACGAAAAUUAUUAAACUAUUGGGUUAAUUUAAACCUUAUAAUUUUCAUUUAAUUAAUUUUUAAGUAUAAACAAUUACUAAAAACUACAGCUGAAAAUUAAUAUAAAUAGAACGGAUUAUAAGCAUAAAUUUCACUCAAGUAAUGAAAUUUGGAUGAAUGGUUGACGAUUACUAACCGAGUGACAAAUGUACAAAUAAAUGGAAAAUUUAAAAGAAAAAAUGGGAAGAAAAUUCUCCAAUUGAAAAUAAAAAGAAUCCACAUUUUUAUAAUAAAUUUCAAAUGAUUUCCAUAAUAAGAUUCAAUAACAAUAUUAAACUAAUUUUCCCAUAAAGAAAGUGGAAGUGAUGUUAGGUUUUUUAUUAGAAAGAGAAAAAGUAAAGAAAGUAUUAAAUUUUAAAAAUUACAUACGAAUUUCAAUUAAAAAAGAAAAUGAAAGAAGUACUAAAUUAAUAUGUACAUACACAUACAUACUGGUUGGUCCAGUAUUCAAUACACACCCUUUCAAAUUUAAAUACAAAGCUUGAAUUCGUUAUUUAAUUAAAACAAACCAAAUACGAUAAAAGUAGUAUUUAUAAACUUAAUUUAACAAACUAUUAUCUAAACCAAAUUUUAGGUUUUAACCUUUUUAUUUUACUUUUAUUAUUUUUCCACAUUAGGGUGGAGAUUUGAAUUUAAGAUCUACUAUCUUUAGGUCCAAACGCGCGUGAAUUGAACUCAUUUGUGGUAGGGCACGUAAUGAUGUAAAAUAAUUUUUUUCUAUUUUGGUGCACCUCAGAUUUCUGCCUUAUCAUUAACUAAUUCAAUUUGACUUAUAGAUAUGUUGGUUAAUGGAGUAAUGUUACAUGUGGAAACAGAAUUUCUUUAAUAAUUCAUUAUUGCCUUUUAUAGCAUUAUUGCUUAGGCAUAUGAGUAGUUUAGUAUUUUGAGGAUGGGAUGUUUGUUAGGAACAAAAAUGUGAUAUAUAUAUAUAUAUAUAUAUAACAUAUUAAUAUAAAAUGAAUUUUGCUUUAUGUAUUAUACAUCAAAUGCAUUGAAAUAAUAGAGAUUCAUCUAUCACUAAUAUCUGCAUUUUGCCCAUGCUUGUUUCCACAGUACAAACAUCAUCAUACACUGCUAGAUUUCAUGUUCCCUUUCUUCUAACUAAGAGAUUCUUUUUUUAGUUACUUUUUAUAUAUAUAUAUAAUUAGUUCUAGAAAAUAUCUUAUUUUAUUUCCCUUCAUCAAUUUUUGUAUUUAACUUAGUAGCUACUUUUUCUUUUACUGUUCAAAAUUAUUUCUAAAUACACAUUUUUUUUCAUCUUUUAAAAUCACUUUAGUUUGAUUAUAAUUUCUAUAUUGUUUGGUUUUAUUUUUAUUCAUUUAUUUAUGUUGAUAAUAUGUGGUGGGGAAUUGAACGUCUAACUUCAUCUAACUUCCAUGUGUUCAUUUCGAUGGUUUUAUCUAGUUUAAAAGGGUUUGAAUUUCGGUGAGUUUUUUUUUUUUUUUUUUUUUGGUUUUAUAAAGAUUUAAACAUAGACAACUUUGUGUCGUGGAUAGAAGAUAUUUCUAAAUUUGAGGUUAGGUCUAGCAGCGGCCAAUGAUCGAAAAAUCAACGAGUAAUUUUCUAGAUCGACGUCGUUAGUGUAAAUCAUCGUAUUAGUAUUAACAUAUGACAUUCUUUUAUGUUUUAUGGAUAUCUGUUAAAGAUAUCUAAGUCAUUCUUCAAAAACUGAUGUGAAACUUUAAUUUAGAAGAAUAUUUUAAUCCUUAACAAUUGUCGAUCUACUUAAAAAUUUUCUACGUUACAAAUUUUUUUGAGAACCAAAUGAAGUUGAAAUGCAAUUAAGAGUUUUAAAUUAACGAGUGAUCGUUUAAAUUUUCUAUUCUCGAUUUAUAUUCAAAAUAAAGUAGAGAAGAUGUAGAUGGUAGUAGUGUAAAGUUAAUAUGCACAAACUAAACCAAACAGUUGUAUCUCGAAUUUGAUUGGGUAGCAAGGUGAUUUGAGUUUGGAAUUCCAACCUAAGUAAUUCUAUAAUUCUUCAUCAUCCAUCCCGAUUUGAUUUGAUGAAACAAACAAAACAAAAAACUUUAAUAUAUAUACAUAUAUAUAUAAUAUGGAGAGUUCAUGCACCGAAUUCUCUAUAUACGUGCAACCAAAGUGGACGGAAAAAUGGAUGUCUGUGGUUAUCCUAAAGCUGGGCCAUCUUCCCCUUUAAAUAUUCUUUUUCCCUUUCAUUAUUAUUAUUAUUUAAAAAUUUAUUUCAAAUCACAUUACCAUGACAAAAUUUUAGAUUUUAUUAACGAGAGAUGUUAAUAAAAAUUUAUAUAUAAAAGUACAAGAGUGUAUAUCAUGAAUGGAUGAAAUUUAAGACUUUGUUAUUUUUUUAAUAUUAAGUCAAAAUAUCACAAUUUAUUUAUUUAUAUUUAAAAAGAGAGUAAAAUAUAAAAAAUUAUUUUGGAAUAGUUUGCAAUACGAGAAAUUUUCAAAAAUAACAAAUUUGAUCAAAUAUUUACUACUUAUAUCAAAUUCUAUUACUGAUAGUGAUAAUUCUAAUAGAAUUCAAAAUUUUUGUAUAGCUUCUAGAUAUUUUAAAUUAUUUUACUAUUUUAAAAAUUAUUCUUCUCAUUUUUUUUUAAUUUUUAUUACAUGUACAUUGCAUUACUUCUUCUUUGUUAUAUAUAUAUAUAUAAUCUGCACGUGCAUUCCCUUUGUCCUAAUUUCCACUCUAAACGACAAUAUUUAGAGUCAAAUGACCAUUUCUUGUGGGGCAUUACUCCUCAUGCAGUGCCCAUUUUCACUCCAUUCUUAUAAACGUCUUUUCAUUCAUUACACUUUUUCAUUUUCGGUGCCAAUUUCUAUAAUUAUUUUCCUUUUUAAACUCUAGGGGUGCCCCCUAUCAUUUUAAAUCUGUAUAACUUUUCAAGUUUAUAAUAAUAAAUUCCUUCUAAUAUCUACUUCUUUUAAGUUUUUUAAAAUAAAUUAUUGUUAUUGUUAUCAUUAUUAGGGUUUUUGAGGGAAGAAAAAGUUUUUGGUAAUUUUUAAAGGUUACUUACGUUACAAGUAAUAAGUAGAGACAGAAUAAAAAGUUUUCUCAAGUAUUUUGUAUUGAAGAGUACUUUAGGAAUGAUAAUUGAGUGCAUAGAAUCAAUUAAAAAUUGCAAAUGUAACGUAGUGUAUCUGUUAUAGAGUCUAUUAUUAAUCUAUACCAAUGAUAUGGUCUACCACUAUUAUUUUAUUCUAUAUGAUAGACUUCUAAGACUAAAUUUAAACAAUUUUGUUGUGUUGCUAAAUUCUUAAUUUAAUUGCAAAAACUCUCAACACGAUCAUAAAAGUCAAGCAAUAAAACUCUAUAUUGACUGAUUUGAGUAUAGCGUAGCCACUUAAAUAAUUAAGUUUUAGUCUCUAUAGCUAGAACGAACAUAACUCAUUUGGUUUACACACAUGUGUGAAUGUUCGUAUGAAGUAUGAAUGCCCAUAUAUAUAUAUAUAUAUAUAUAUAAUAAAAAUUCAUCAAACUUUCUAUAGCAAUUUUUGUCAUAUUUUAUAAAAAGAAAUUGCAUUAGAUGACAAAAAAAAAAAAAAAAAAAACAGCUCGUACCAUCACUUUUUUACAUAUUUUAAAUUUGACAAAUAUAACCGUAAACUACUAUUUUUACCAUUUUAAAAACAUAACGAACAUACAGUUUAUUAUCAUAAAUAUUUUUCUAAUUUUACGAACUUUUCCAUUAUAAAUAGUUUCAUUUGUUAUUCAUAACAAAUCCCCUUCUCAAUAAAUAGGAAUGAGCAGCUAAUCGAUAAAAUUAUAUUGGAAUAAAAGUUUGUUCAAACAAACAAAAUCACACACAUGAAUAUGAUCAAUAUAGUUUUUUUCAAGAAUAAUAAUUUUAAAAAAACAAAGUAUUUAUACCAAAAAAAAAGAAACCACUAAAAAGUGUAAAUAUUCUGAAGUAUCCAAAUUUAGCAAAUUUUGAUCCAAUUUAACUACAUUAAUUUAAUACUUUAAAGUCUUGGUAAAUUUGAAAUUAUAUUUAAGUGUGUGACAGGAUAUGUUUUUGGGCCCUUCUAUUGUAUGAAUGGUUUCAUUUUUGUCCUCUAGUUCUUCAGAUUGAAUUUUAUUUCUGAUAUUUUCAGUAAAAUUUAAAAUUUAGUCCAUUAUUGUUUUUAAAAAUAUUAUCUAUUAGCAGUUUCAAUAUUAUAAUUUUGCAUGAAAACUAUGGUUAUUAAAUAACGUAAUUACCAACUUCCAUAAAAAAAAAAAUAGAAAGAGAAAAUAGUUGGGUUUGAUGAAAUAAAUUUAAGAUUUAUUAAGUAAAUGAAGGAUAUUUAGAUGGUGAAUUGUAUUUGGAGAAAAUGUAUAAUUGAAGCCACUUGCUAAGAAGAGAUAAUGUAAAGCACAAAAAGUUAAACAAGUUUUUAAAGAGCUUAUGAUUAAUGAUUAUUGUGUUCUUUUGUUUUUGGCAAAGCACACAGAGAACCAAACCCUACAACCUUCAUGUUAGAUAGAUAAUUCAAAUGAUAUAAAGUAUUCGGUUUGCCAUUUGGAUUUGUAUUACUUUGAGACGUGAGAUGCAAACAAAUUUAGUAAUGAAUUUGUUUUAUUUUCAAGGAUUCUUUGUUAAUUUAAUUUUUUUUUAAAAGAUUCUGACUCAAUUAAUAUAAAUAAAUAAAUUUGUUUUUAUCCUCGUCCAACAAAUAAUUGAGAUUUUUUUAAUUAAAAGAUAAAUAUACGAAAUUAUAUUUUGGGUUACAUAAAUUUAUAAUUUUAAAAUACGAAGAGUUUGCAAAUUUAGCAAAGAAGGGAGCAAUUAGAUUUAAAAUAAUUAAGUAUAUAACAACAUUUUAAAAAAAAUUGUAAAUAUAGCAAGCUUUCGAUUGAUAAGAAGAAAAUUUUAAAUCGUCUCAAAUCAAGUCAAUCACGUAUAUCAACCUUGCUUGCGUAUCAAGAUUGGUUUGUUAGGGGAUUCCAAAGAAUUAAGAAAAUAUGUUUUACCCCACAACCGACGAUGAAUAUCAUACCCAUCUCCAACGCUUGGAAGAUACAUUCAUGGAGAGUUAUUGCUAAUUUUGCAAGUUCGAGACAAAUCUCAACUAUGCUUGAAAUCUCAUGAUUUUUUGUCAUUUGUUCAUAUCACGAACAAUGACACUAACGUUCACUUCAUCGUCAUUACAAAUAAAUCAUUUGCUUUUUUAGUAAAACAGAAGUGUAUGGAUAUUGAAACUACAUAUGUCGUGAUCAAUAAUACUCUCGUAUACCAAUUGAGCUAUGAUCGAGUUGACAUGUAUAAAAUUUAAAACAGAUCAUAUUAAAUCCUUGCUAAGUAUCAUUGUAUUUAUUAUCGUGUACACAUUCCACCUUAUUAGGAGCUUUUGUAAUAAAUAUGUGUGUAACUUUCAUUAAUUUAUGGCACCUUACUUAUAUUGUUUAGCUUCUACUCAACAAUCCUAACCUUUAAAUAAAUAUAUUUUUUAUGAAAAUCUCUCAUGAAUAAAUAAGUGGGGCAUAAUUUCAAACCAAUUAUAUGACAUAUUAUUCAAACAUAUACUUAGAGUAAACGUUUUUCUUUUAAUCGAAUUAUUCAAAUGUAAAUAUAAGAGUAUAAUGAUGCAUAAUAUGAAUCAUCAUGGUAGAGUCAUUUUCUUUUUUUAAUAAAUGUUAGAUGUAUAAAAGAAACAAUUUAAAAAAUACAUAGGUAAUAUCAUUUUAUGUAACAUGUAUUAUUCAAAAGUCGGUAAAAACUUCGCUAUAAAUUUUGUAAACUUUAAACUAUUUUGUCAAAAUUUACUCGUAACAAUAAUUUUAUUACAAAAAAAUAAUAAUAAAAGUGAAAUUAUCGUAAAUAGCAAAAAUAUAUUUACAAAAAUAUAACAAAAAUCCAUAUUCUACCCUACUAUAUUUUAGUUUAUUAAUUUUGUUAUAUUGUGAGAAGUAAGACUCAAAAUCUCUAUAUAUGUAUAUAUAUAUUAGCCGCCACAAAUCCUUGACACAAUAAUUCGUAAUUCAUAUAAUAUAUUUUUACAUUUAAUUUUUUAAAUUGAAGAAAAAAGAAUGAAAAUAUAUAAUUAACCUUUAUAUAUAUAUAUAUAUAUAUAUAUAUAUAUAUAUAUAUAUAUAUAUAUAUAUAUAUAUAACAACUAUGCAAUAUCCUUUAUUUUUUAUAACACAAAACAAAUGGGUGAUAAUCUAGUUGGCCAAAAAGUGGAAAUGAUGUAUUGAUAUAUAUAUCACCAAAAAAUAGGGACUUUCCACCAAAAACCCAACCCCCCCAUCUCUCUUUUCUCUCUCUCUUUUUUCCUCAAUUUCAGAUUCUCCUUCAAGUCUCCUAUAUAAAUCUCUCUCAAAUCAAAUCAAGAAAAGAAAACUUAAAAAGUAAAUAAUGAAAAAAAUAAAUUCUCUAUUGAGAAAAUGCAAAAGCCUUUCAAGGCAAUUGGGAAGAUCUUCAUCAUACAGCAGCUUGAGAUCAAAGUCCACAAGAGAAGAUCUUUGGGUUUGUGAAAAACAAGAAGAAGACUUUGAGCAACAAAUUGAGCAAAAGGUGAGUGGCAGUAAUGUAAUUUUAUAUGUUGGAAGUACAAGAAAGAAAUAUGCAAUAAAUUCAAAAUAUUUGAGCCAUCCUUUGUUAAAUGCUCUUAUUGAUAAAUCCAAGUCUAAGAAAUUAGUUGAUGAUGAUGAUGAUGAUGAUGAUGGACAUGAAGAUGAUGAAGAAUGUAUUUUAGUGAGAUGUGAAGUUGUUUUAUUUGAUCAUCUUCUGUGGAUGUUGGAAAAUUCAGAUCCAAAUAUUACUUUUGAUUCUAAUUUGGAGGAAUUGGCUGAACUUUAUGUUUUUUAGGAUUUCAUGUAUGGAAAUUCAAUGGAAAAAGUUGUUAUGUAUCCGAGUUUCCUUCCCAAACUUUUUUGUUUUGAAAAGAUAGUGAGUAUUCGAAAUUGUGUAUUUACUGUGUAAUUUUUUAUUUUGUAUUUAUGCAUAAAGAGGUUAAUUUUUUGAUGUGAUUUUAAAUAAAUAAAAAAAGUGUAUGUUUCUAUCUGAUUUUGAAAUAGUUAAAAUCAAUCUGAAUUCUAUCGUGAAAGAUAAAUUUAAUUAUUGAAUAGUAUUUAGUUUUUCAACUUUAAUUUUGAAUUCUCCUUUCAACUUUUAUUCCUUAAGUAAAGAAAUUGAGAUAUUAUAUGUGACAUACACAAUUGGAUCAAAUACAAAAGUGAUUUUGUUCUUCUCAAGGUUACUCACAAAUACACUUAAUUAUUUUGAAUAUGGUAAAUUAAAGCAUUAUUCAAUAAAUAAGAUACAGUUGGUGUUGUAUAGAAUUUGUGUUUUUUUAAUAUAAUAACAAUUGAUUUACACUCUCUCACUAAUAAUUUUUAACAAAAAAAAAUAAUAGUGAUUUUGUAUUAUACAUUAAUAAUACCAAGCAUAUAAAUUGAGCUACCAAAAUCCUAUAUUAGGAAGAAAUGAUGCCAACAAUCCAACUACUUAUAUUUAUAUUUGAAGUACCAACCAAUUAGAUCCUAUAUUUCUUUCAAGAGAAUAAAUAAUUAAUUCUUUUGAAAAAAAUAUUAUUAUUAAAACAUACCAACUUUAUAUUCUUCCAUGCUCCAUUUUUGUGGACUUUGAAAGUUGAUAGACCAUUUUGGACUCUUUCUAGAGUUUAUCGUUGAAUCUCGAAAGAUUUAGAUAAAGAUCUAAAUUUAUUAGAAAAUUUCACAAAUGUCUUAAAUUAUUAUUUAUUUCCUUAUUUAGGUUGUCGUAUAUUUUUAGGAAAAUUGUAACAUUAUCAUAAUUAUUAAUCAUAUAUAUAUAAUUUUUAAAUUUUAAUUUAAAUUAUUUCCUUAUUUAUAUUAUACUCAAUUUAUUAUGACUUUACAACUCGCAUUGAGCUUAAAAGAGUGAAAAUAUUCUAUGAAAGACUUGAACUUUCCCCUACACAAAAAAAGUUUCAAAAGCAAGGAUAUUCUAUACUUAAUUCGAGAGUUGGAGUUGGAUAUAAGUCUUUCAAACUGAUUCGAAUAUUAGAUAAAAGAAAAGUAAAAGUUGCAGACGCAUGUCACAUUACUGUUGAAGAAAGCAAAGAUUCCGAAUAGGGCGAAAAAAGUCAAAGUCAAAUAACUAUUUUUUAUCGCAUCACUUCUCUUGUUGCACGUUCUUCAGUGUUCCAACUACUAGUUUCACUCGCCAAUCUGCCUUUUAGAGGUUAAAUGCAACUUCAAAGAAAGUAUAAUUUGCAAGCUCAACUUCGGACACAAGAGAAUCUGCCUUCAAAAGGUUAAAUGUGUCAUUGACAAGAGGUCAAAAGAAACCUUAUGUAGUCGCCUCGAGCAAACAUGGCUUAGCAACAGGGGACGAGGACAUUCACAGUGCAGUUCCAUCCAGAAUGAAGAGAAAAAUAUAUGUCUCAAUAAAUACAGAGGGUUCAUUAAAAGUAAAACGACAAAAUGUUGUUUUUACUCGACCUAAAAAUAAUGAGCCAGAAGAUGAAGUAGAUGUGGUAAGUUGUGGCCAUGUUACGAUAAAGGAGGCAUCCAAUUAUGAGACGUCUAAAGAAGAAGCUAAAGCCACUCCGUUAUCACCUGAGGAUGGGGUCAAUCAACGGUUGAAUGAGUUAAAGGAACUCAGUCUUAGUACAAUAAAAGAUCCUCGUCCAACCUUCAUAAGUUUACAACUUUCUCAUGAUGACGAAAACGAGUAUGUGAGCUUACUAAAAGCAUACAAAGAUGUCUUCACAUGGUCAUAUAAGGAAAUGCUUGGAAUCGAUCCAAAGGUGGUUGUUCAUCAUUUAGCAAUCAAAGCAAAGCAUCAGCCCGUUAAGCAAGCUUAGCGACGAUUUCGAUCCGAACUUAUUUCUCAAAUCGAGGAAGAGGUAAAUAAGCUCAUUGAAGCUGGAUUUAUUCACAAAGUCAAGUACAUGGAUAGCUAAUAUUAUUCCAGUAAAGAAGAAGAAUGGCCAGCUAUGUGUUUGUGUUUAUUUUCACGACCUAAAUAACGCAUGCCCAAAGGAUGAUUUUCUCUUGCCUCUCACGGAAAUCAUGGUAGACGCGACUUUAGGACAUGAAGCUUUAUCUUUCAUGGUAUAAUCAUAUUCGAACGGCUCUUGAGGAUGAAGAGAAGACAACUUUUCGAACUCCAAAAGGUAUAUACAUUUAUAAGGUAAUGCCUUUCGGAUUGAAUACACAGGUGCCACAUACCAGUGUGCUAUGCAAAGGAACUUUGAUGAUAUGCUACAUAAAUACGAUGAAUGUUUUGUUGAUGAUCUUGUAGUAAAAUCCAAAAGUAAAUGUGACCACCUGAAAGACUUGAAACUUGUCCUUCAUCGUCUAAGGAAAUAUCAGCUAAGAAUGAACCCUCUUAAGUGUGCAUUUAGUGUGACCUUUGGAAAGUUUUUAAGAUUCAUUGUGAGGCACCGUGGAAUUGAAGUUGAUCACUCAAAAAUUAAUGUUAUCCAGAAGAUGCCGAUCCAAAAAAUAUGCACGAGUUGAAAAGAUUGCAAGGUUGUUUGGCCUACAUCCGAAGAUUUAUAUCUAAUUUUGCGAGUUAAUGUCAACCAUUCUAGAGAUUGAUGAGGAAGGAUGCAGUUAGGGGUGUACAAAUAUAGAUUGAACCCGAAUAACCCGGACUACCCAACCCAUAUUAUAAGGGUUGGGUUGGGUUAGGUUAAAAUAUGGGUUGAGUUAGGUCAAAAAAAUUUAAUUUUUUCGGGUUGGGUUGGGUCUCAGGUUGGCGGGUUGAGAAAUUCGGUUCAACCCAACCCAAUCCGUAAUGUAAUAUAUAAAUAAAUAAAUAUAUAUUAUUUUAAUAAAAAACAAAUUAGAGGUAUAUAAAUUUUGAAUUUAUUGUAUGAAAGUUUGGAUGUUCUCCACACGUGUCGUUCUAAGUUUGGCAACUAGUCUUGACUUAGAGGUUGAGCAAAUUAAUGAUGUUAAUAAUGUAUUUCUACAUGGGGAUUUAGAUAAAGAAAUCUAUAUGGAACAUCUAGAGGGUUUUGAGCAGAAAGGCAAAGAGCAUCUAGUGUAUAAAUUGAAGAAAAGACUUUAUGGAUUGAAACAGACUCCGAGAUAGUGGUACAAGAAGUUUGAGUCAGUUAUGGGGGAGUAAGGCUACACAAAAACUAUUUCUGGUCACUGUGUUUUGUCCAUAAUUAUUUUAAUGAUGAUUUUGUUAUAUUAUUACUCUAUGUUGAUGAUAUUUUGAUUGUUGGCAGGAAUGUUUCAAGAAUUGAUAGCUUGAAGAAACAAUUGAGCAAAUCCUUUGCCAUGAAGAAUUUGGGGCCAGUAAAGAAAGUUCUUGGAAUUUGAAUAGUUCGAGAUAAAACAUCCAAGAAGUUAUACAUGUCACAUGACCAAAGAGAAAGUACUUGAAUGUUUCAAGACGAGUCAAGCAAAAUAAGUUAGUUCUCCUUUAACUAAUCACUUCAAACUGAGCAGUAAACAAUGUCAUUCUACAUAUAAAAAGAAGGAAGAUAUGAGUAAGAUCUCAUAUGCUUCAGUAGUUGGGAGCUUAAUGUAUGUCAUGGUAUGUAUUAGACCUGAUAGUGCUCACGUCAUUGGUGUUGUUGGUCGUUUUAUGUCUAAUCCAUAAAAACAACAUUGGGAGGCAGUUAAGUGCAUCGUGAGAUAUUUGAGAGGUACUUUUAGUUUGAAGCUCACAUUUGAGGAUGGAAAGCCAGUACUUGUUUUGUAUACUGGCUCAGAUAUGGCAAGGGACUUAAACAGUAAAAAGUAUACUUCUUGUUACUUGAUGAUAUUUACAGAUGGUGCAAUGUCUUGGCAGUCAAGGUUGCUGAGAUGUGUUGAACUUUCUACAACUGAAGCAUAGUAUAUUGCACAGCAGAAGCAUGUAAAAAGACGUUGUUGAUGAAACGCUUUAUACAGGAGCUUGGCUUCAAGCAACAACGAUAUGUGAUAUACUAUGAUAAUCAGAGCAAAGCUUGAGUUUUGAUAUGUUAACAAAGAAUCUACCAAGAGCAAAGCUUGAGUUUUGUCGUUUCACAAUGGAAAUGACAAGUUCAUCCUCAAAGUGAAAUGAGGGAGAUUUGAUGGGCUUACUUCACUUUGUGAAGCCCAACCCACAUUUUCUAGGUUAAUUUUUUAUUAUGCAAAUUAACCAACUAGCUGUGUGGGUGUAAUUCAAUGAGUGUGACGUCAAAACAAUGAGUGAAAAAUAGAAAAAGAAAAUUUCGUGCAGUUUCGUUCUUCAGUCAUUUAUGGAUUGAUCCAUGGUCCAAUCGAGCUAAAAUUUUGACGGUGUAUUAUUGGCAGGAGGAUCUUCAUUAUGAAUGGUGGAGAUUUCAUUUGGAGCUAUCUACAGUCAAAUUCUAGUGGAUAGUUAGCUAUCACAUAUUGUGAGAUCUUUCUAUUUUUUCUUCAUGAUUAUUGUUGUUUGUUGUCGCGAUUAUUAUUCUCGAGAUAUUUGCCUCUAGUUGUGACUAGGAAGAACUUUAAACACAUUAAAGAUUAUAGUGAAGAUUCUAACUUCCGUCCGUGGUUUUUUACUCCUCACGUUGAGGGAGUUUUCCAUUUUAAAUUCAUUGUAUCAAUACUUUAAUUAUUAUUGUUAUUAUUGUUGAUUAGUAUUCUAACAAAUUCACACAAGAGUAUAAUAAUUGAUCCAAAUUAAAGGUGUUUAUCCCCAAUAAAACAAGGGAUCGUUGUAAAUUUAGAAAUCAAACUAAAAGUAUCAGCAUAUACAAAAUAAUGCAAAAUAAUUUGUAGAAAUAGCAAGAUUUAGAGUUACCUAUUGAAGUUCAUAAGUCAUUGACCAUAUAACAGCUAGGAGUUUAUCAAUAAUAAAAAAGUUGAUAGAGGUUGAUCCAUGAUAAGUUUUUGUAAUUCUUAAAAAAAUUGUAAUUACACAUUUUAGGAUAAAUUAUUAGAAAAAAGUGUCUCAAAACUUUGUUACUUUGUGUCAAAAAUACCCAUAAGUUUUGAAAAGUUUCAAAAAUACCCUUAAACUUUUAAAAAAAGGUUAAAAAAUAUUCUUAUCGUUAGUUUUGGAUGGAAAUCAUUAAAGUUUUGAAAGUUUCAUAAUACCCUUAAACUUGUAAAAAAAUUAAAAAAAUAUUUUCAUUAAUCCAAAAUUUACAUGAAAUUUAUUAACCCUAAAAAAACUUCAAGUUUAAACUAUAGUCUUAAAUUUCUGACGUGGAUUCAAUCAAUAAUCCAUUGCAUGUACCUGAAGGACCAAUCACAAGGAACAAGACAAAGAAGAUACAAGAGGCUUUCACAUUGCAUGUUCAAAAGUUGGCAAAUGCACAACGAGAGACCGAGAAUUUUGAACGCAAAUUUUUGUAUAAUGUUAGUUCAGCAAGUCAAGAAGAUAAUGGAGUCAAGAUGGGACGAGAAAGUUGUGUAGUUUGGAAGAUGGCACAUGAGACAAAAAAGUGUGCAAAAUUUGUGAAGGGGUGGCAGUUCAACUUCCAUCUCUUGGAAUUUCUUGAUGUUAAAGGUUGUCAAACGUUGCCAUUAUCAGGAGCAUAUUACAUAUCACAUAUUUAAGACAAUUUAAAGCAAUUCUAUCUUUUAGUUUUUGAGAAAUGGCUACUCGUUUGAUGUGCAAUUAAGUUUUAAGUUCCUAGGUCUUAUUUUCUACAAUUUGCAAUUAAGUGUGUUUGAAUGACUCUUGAGUUCUUUGGUCAAUCCGCGACCAUUUGGCCUUUAAAAUGGCUUGUAAUGCUCAUAAGAAGGCGAUGAUGAAUACUAAAAAGCUUUUGCUUAUUCAACCCCAUAUGGUGUUGUCUUUUCUUUCAAAUCUUGUCUUAGGUUUGAUGUUCAAUCGAUUCAUUGGAUUAGUUUUGAUCAAUCUAAUUCUAGAAUGAGUCGUCUUAGGAUUUAGGAGUGACCAUCGUAGAUUCUAAGUUUGAUUUAAGAGUAAUUCAUCUUCUAACUAAACUCUUGGUUGGAAUCAUUCGGUAAGUUAGUCUCGUUUGUGUCCGUUUACAAGGAUCCUAUAAGGACUUAUAGCUUUGUAAACUUAAAGCAUAUUGGACGCUUGUCAAUUUCCAUCGGUGCGUGGAUAUUUGAUAUUUUCACAUUUCCAUGAGUUAAAUAUUGAUAGAAGGGAAUAGAUAGAUCCAUUACGUAGAAAAAUCCACGAACCACAAAAAAUAAUGGGACAUUUUUAAAAACAACAAAAUAAAUUAAAAUAUUUACAAGCUAUAGCAAAAUUUUGGAUUCUAUCACUGAUAAUCUUUUAUCACUAUAGCAUAUCAAUGACUAUUAGUGAUAGAAUUUGCUAUAGGUUUUAAAUAUUUUAUAAAAUCUACUACUUUUAAAAAUUCUCCAAAAAUAAACAUGAAAAUGACACUAAUAUAAAUAAUAGACACGUUUACUUAUUUGAAAACAAUAAAAUAUAUAUUUACUAUUUUAAAAUUAUUUUUUGAAUUUUCUGUUUUUAUAAUUUUUCAGAAAUAUCAAUCAACAUCAAUAUUUAAAAUCUGGGUUAAAACAUAAAAUUCCACAAAAGCUCACGAGAUUUUUAAAAAUUAUCCUUAAAAUAUAUUAAAUAAUAACUAGACAAAUAAAAAAAAAUCUCACACUAAUAGAUCUAUCAUAUUGUCACUAUGUGUUAACAAUCAAAUACAUUUUUUUAUUUGACAAUUAACUGUAUCCUAAUUACGACAAUAACUAUUAAGAUUUGUUGAGUUGGUGACCUAUCAUUGUGUGUUAAUAGUCAAAUAAAUUAAAAAUAAUAGUUUUAACUUAAAAUUUUGAUUUUGAUUUAGUUGGCGAGAAAAUUGGAGUAAAAUUUGGAUCAAUGAGAAUAUUUCUGAACUUUUUUUUAAGCUAAAGGAUAUUUUUAAAAACUUUUUUAUAGUUCAAAACUAUUUUUGAAACAAACUUUUAAUGGUUUCUAUCUAAAACUAAACAUUUUUGAACCAUUUUCAAAAGUUUAAGAGCAUUUUUUAAGCUUUUGAAAGUUUAAGGGUAUUUUUGACACAACCAUCAAUGUUGGGGACAUUAUUUUUUCUUUUUGUAAAAUUUAGCCUACAUUUUAUCAUAUAAUAUUUAGAAAAAAAAUAUGAUACUAUUUAUUUAAAGAUAUUGAAUAAUGAAUUAGACGAGUAAUACAUUUGUAUACGUUAAUAAUAAUACAAAAGCAAAAAGAAAAAAAGGUCAUUUUAACUCCUCGGUUCGGAUCUAGUUUUUGUGUAGUUAUUAAGUUUCAAAAAGUUACACAUUUGGUAUUAAAUUUUAAGAUUGAUUUUAAUGUAAUCUCUAAAAUUCAAAAUCUUACGAUUUAACUUUAACAUUUGAGUUUUGUUCAAUUUGAUCGCUAGUUUUACCGUCUUUUGGUACAUUUUAAUAAAUUUUACUGUUUUGUUCGAUUAAAUUAAAUUUGAAAAUUCACGUUAUAAUUACUUUAAAACAAUGUUUGUUAUUGAAAAAAUAAUAAUAAUAAAAUAAAAACGAUUGGGCUCAGACCAAACCAAACAGAGCAUUGUGAUUUGAACAGAAAAGAAAACAUAUAGAAUUAGUGGAAGAAUGUAAUCACUGUUGGACACGUCUUCCCACCAUCGGUUAAGCUUUGUUUUGUUAAGCGAAUUAAAAAAAUGCCUCCACUCACUUACUCCCUUUUACCUUUUAUCUUUUUCCCAUCUCCAAUGUCUUCUCUUUCAAACCUUCACUUUUCAAUGUUUAUGUGCAGAAGCCUCAGCUCAGCUCUACUUUUCUGUGUUUGUUCCUCUCUCUGACCAAAACCCAUGCUCUAAUUUUGUUCAAACCUUCAAUGGGUUAGCCUUUCUUUCUAAGGAUUUCACUCUAAAUUCUGCUCUCAGUGCCAUUUUCAUCAAAUUCCUCAUUAUUUGGAGUGAGUUUUAGUUCUCCUUUUCCUUUUUGAUUUGUCAUCUCUAGGUUGCCCUUUGAUUUCUUUCUUUGUUAUUUACUUGUUUGUGGGAUGAUUUGAUUGUUUUUUAUGUUUGAUUGCUGGGUUUGUGAUUAUCUAAUACUGUUGUGUUUUGUGUUUUUUUUCUUUUACUUUUUUUCUUUGAAAUACAAAUUUGUUUACUGCUAUUUUUGUUUAUAGUUUCCUUUAUUAUCUCACGCAUGUUUAUGGUUUUUUUACAUGUUCAUGGUUUUUUCUAAAGGGAGAGAACUAGGAGUACACAAUACCAUCUUGUCCUUUCAUGUAUUGGCUGGCUUUAUCAUUGAGUGUCAUGCUCCAAUUGAUUAGUUUUAUUGUUGCCUUUUGAAAUAAACUAACCAUUAUCAGCUUGUCUUUUGCAAACCACUGCAACUUGUUAAUAUUUUGUUUUGUUUCUUUCAAUUCUGAGUCUUGAAAUUGGAUAUAAUAACUUACUUUUCCCUAUGUGGAUGUUAUUCCUGCUUAUCCAUAAAUUGAGCUACUAUAUAGAAUAUUAGACAUAACUUAAUCAAUCUAUCAGCUUAAGUAGCUUAAGCUUUUAGGUAUUCUGGUUGGUAGUUCAACAUCAUAUUAGAGUAGGAGGCCUUGAGUUUGUAACUUAUCCUCCGGCAUAUCACCAACAGUCUGCUCAGGAUUUGAAUGUCAAUGGUUCGACUAAACACUAGGGUUGCAAGACUUAACCUAACACCUAACUGCAUGAGCUUUCACCCUCAAUUCAGAUUAAUAGUUGAGAUGUUGAACAUCAUGAAUCAAAUGAACAUAUGACUUCACAGGUUGUAUUUUAAAAAACUACACAUUAUCAAUUCCUAUAUACAUAUAUAAAUAUAAAUAUUUUUAUUAUUUUUUUUUUUUUUUGGGGGGGUGUUCUAUUGGUCGUUUAUCAGUUACGUAGUUAUGUUUUGAUUAGUUUUUUCUCAGUUUAUUGCAGUGCUACUGGCUCUUUUCCUUGUCAUUCCAUCAACUGGUUGAUUUACUUUCACUAUUUGUAUCACUAGGUGAGCCAUAUAAUGGAGCAAACAAGACACAAUAGGAGGAUCAACUGCUCUGGUUCGACCCCAUCCGAGGAAUCAGCGCUGGAUCUUGAAAGAAAUUGCUGCAGUCACUCCGAUUUACCUUCUUUCAGCUCACCUACACUUCAGCCAUUUGCAUCUGCUGGACAGCAUUUUGGGUUCAAUACUGCUUACUUUUCAUGGCCUACCCCAAUCCGGUUAAGCGUUGGUACGGAGGAAAGGGCAAAUUAUUUUGCAAAUCUUCAGAAAGGGGUGCUACCAGAUAUCCUUCAUCCUUUACCAAAAGGGCAGCGGGCAAACACAUUACUCGAACUCAUGACAAUAAGAGCCUUCCAUAGCAAGAUCCUGCGUUGUUACAGUCUUGGAACGGCGAUUGGAUUCCGUAUUCGAAAGGGUGUACUGACUGAUAUUCCUGCUAUUCUUGUUUUUGUUUCCAGGAAAGUUCACAAGCAAUGGCUUAGUCCUAUCCAAUGCCUGCCCACUGCUCUGGAGGUCUGAAGAAGAAGCCCUUCUACUUUAUAUUCAAAUCCCUUCCUUAUCUUUCUUGUGAUUGUAAAGUAGCAGUAUUUUAAAUUUCACUUUGAUCUUUAAUAAUUAUGCUAGAUUUUUUGUUCUAUUCAGGGGCCAGGUGGUGUCUGGUGUGAUGUGGAUGUUGUAGAAUUCUCAUAUUUUGGUGCACCCAACCCUGCACCUAAAGAACAGUUGUACACUGAAAUUGUUGAUGAUCUGCGUGGCUCUGAUCCAUGCAUUGGCUCUGGUUCUCAGGUACUUUCCUUUUUCUUUGCAACUAGUGACCAAAAAACUCACAAUUAUACGAAAUAGAAGUGCUUAAAUGGCAUAAGAAAACACGAGGGAAGAUUUGAGAGAUUGAUCGACAACUGGGGCUAAAUGUGAAAUUCCCAACUAAUUAUGCAGGCAUCUUUCAAGAUCAUCUUGUUUCAACAUGAAUCUGUUCCAAGAUACUUUAUCUUGGCCCAAGGAUUAAGUAAUGAGAGUAUAAAUGAUUAUUAGGAUUUUUUGCUCAUGUGUUGGCUCUUUCCUGUUAUAAUCUUUGCCAACGUUAUUACAUAAAGUUGUUUUAUAUACUCGAAAAUGAGGGAUAUGUCCUAAACCCGACGUGUGCAUCUUAACAUGCCUAGCACCAGUUUGAACCGAUUACAACUUUGGGGAGUAAUGGACCUGUACUGAUUAGUGAUAACAUCAUGGGUGAUUUUAGCAAUCUCUGUGCUGUAGUAGUUUCUAAAUGGUUGGCACAAAUGGCUGUUUCAUAAGCUCAAAAGUUGGUAGUACUUGCUCAUUUUUCACGUCCUUUUUGGUAGACUGGAUGUUUUAGGGAAUUUGAUUUCAAAGGAAAGUUUGCCUGCCUAGCUGCCUAAGUUUAUCCUGCGGCAUGGCUUAAAUUCUAGGCAUGUCCUUAUAAAAAAUUCUACUAGUAUCAGUAAACUUGAAUCUAAUUCUACUACCUCAUCAGGUGGCCAGUCAAGAGACCUAUGGAACCUUGGGCGCUAUAGUAAGAAGUCAAACAGGCGGUCGACAAGUUGGUUUUCUCACAAACCGUCAUGUUGCAGUUGAUUUAGAUUAUCCUAAUCAGAAAAUGUUUCACCCUCUUCCACCGACACUUGGGCCUGGGGUGUAUCUUGGUGCUGUGGAGAGAGCUACUUCAUUCAUCACUGACGAGCUUUGGUAUGGAAUUUUUGCUGGAAUAAACCCAGGUAAUAUAGCUUAUGCCAAAAAGAGCAUAAACUCCAAGUAGUACAAAGGCAGAUUAGAAAAGCAAGUUAACUUAUAUAUUAGGUCACCUUAUACAAUCAAAAUGAAAUGGGAAAAUAACUGUGACGAAUCUAGAGAUCAUGUGCUCAAAAACAGAUAAAAGGACAUGUAGCUCAUUAACUCCAAUCUACUCUAUUGUUCUACUUCAUCGCUCCAAACAUUGGCAAGCCCAAGCCCGGUGCACUUCUUCUAAUUUUGUUAAAUUGCAGAGACGUUUGUCAGGGCAGACGGGGCAUUUAUUCCUUUUGCUGAUGAUUUUGACAUGUCAACUGUCACUACGUCUGUAAAAGGUGUGGGACAGGUCGGUGAUGUGAAGUUUAUCGACUUGCAAUCACCUAUCAGUACUCUCAUAGGGAAGCAGGUGGUGAAAGUUGGAAGAAGUUCUGGCUUGACUACAGGAACUGUUUUGGCCUAUGCUCUCGAGUACAAUGAUGAGAAAGGGAUAUGCUUCUUAACCGAUUUUCUCGUUGUAGGUGAGAAUCAACAGACUUUCGAUCUCGAAGGAGAUAGUGGAAGCCUCAUCAUUUUAAAGGGCGAGAAUCGAGAUACUUUGCAACCAAUUGGGAUUAUAUGGGGUGGAACUGCUAACCGAGGUCGGCUUAAGUUAAAAGUCGGCCAACCUCCUGAGAAUUGGACUAGUGGUGUUGAUCUUGGGCGCCUUCUCAAUCUGCUUGAACUUGAUCUAAUCACAAGUGAUGAAGGGCUCAAAGGUUAGGUUUCAAAAGCAUCUAAUAUCCUUCUCUCAAUAACUGAAAAAUUGCAUUGAUCAAGCAUUUGUAUUUCUAAUUUGCUUCUCCCAAAUGUCUCUCUUCUGAGGUAGCACAUAAAUUUUUUAGGUAGCCUUUCAAUAAUGUCUAUAUGUUCUCUCUAAUUUGAAUGGAAUAAAUUAUUUGACUCCAAUCCAAGAAGUCAAUUGUAAGAUACAUAGUUUUUUUAUAUUGGAGAAAGACUUAAUCCAUAAAAAGAAAGAUACAUAACCAAUAUACAAAUGUAGUUAAUAAUUUCAUUUUAUUAACAUAUUUACAAUCAACGGUCCUCCUUAAGCUGGUUUAAAUAUAUCAUCUAUUGUCAGCUUGUCAAUCAUUUUCUAGAAUAUUACUUUUAGUAGUUGUUUAGUCAAACACAUCAACAGUUUGAUCUCUACUUGGAAAAUCAAGAAUACAUAUCAUACCAUUUCAUUUUUAUAAUAGAGUACCUGUCGACUUUGAUAUACUUUUGUCCUUGAAUUGAGUUGUGGGCUAUGUCAAAGCGAGCAUAUCUCAAUUGGUAUACGGGUUGUUAUUAGUCACAAGUUCUUUGGUUCAAAGUCCCUCAUCAUCCUCAUUGUACUAAAAAAAAAUUCUGUUAUUAGCUGUAGAGGUCACAACCUUUUCGUCGUAGGACACAAGUAUGUAUUUUGAAAAACUUUCAAUUUUGUAAGUAAUUUUUUUUAUCCAUAUUCCUUCAAAUAUUUCAUAUGUGAAAGCCCUAAAUUCUGCUUUGACGUUCAUCUAUCCACCACAUUGAGCAAACAAAAGAUUACUUUUUUUUUUUUUACAUUCCACAUUUUGUUUUUUCCUGUUCUGCCAAGUGAACAAUGGCUCUAAGUAGACUUUCUAUCCGUUGUACUUCCUGCCCAAUGGACAUUAGUAUAAAAUUAAAUCAGUAGAUGGUUGUGCAUUUUAAACGACAUACCUUUUCCUCGAGAUUCCUUCAAAUAUAUCAUGAUUCUACACAUAACUUCAAAGUGAACCAGUCCCUGCGAGCGGAAGAAUUGGCUUAUUAUGCUUAUUGCAAAAGCAAUAUCUAGAGAGCUUUGAGCAAAACAUGUGUUUGAUAGAACUCCGUUAUGGAUCUUAUAAUGUUAGAUAAACGACGUUGACUGACAACUGCUUUAGAGGUGUGAAGAGAAGAGAGAGGAUAAGAUGAUAAAAAUUAACUGAAAGUCUGAAAAACCUGGAGAUUAAUGAAUGUAUACUGUUUUUAUUUCAUUCUUUAUGGUCAAUAUAACGUGUUUCUUUGCCUUCGAGGUAUGUGAACUACUUUUUUUUUCAUUUAUCGUUUUAGGUUUUAUAUUGGUUAGUUUCACUCCUAUGGUUGGGUUCUGAUAAACAUUUUUGUUCUGUUUAUUAAUACUAUAUGCAGCGGCAGUGCAAGAGCAAAUAACUGUAUCUGCAACCGUAAUCGGGUCAAUUGUUGGAGACUCCUCUCCUCCCGAUACAACACUGCCAAAGGAGAAGAGUGAAGAGAAGUCUGAGCAGUUGGGUUUUCAGAUCCAGCAUAUGCCUACAGAAGUAGAACCUUCAGCUAAAGACCGGCCACUCCUGGAGACCGAGUUUCAUCUUGAACCAGGGAUGAACAGGGCUCCCAGUGUGGAACAUCAGUUCAUUCCAAGCCUUUUCAGUUGCUCUCCCUCUCAUCAAAACAGCACUUUGGAUCGUGCUGUUUCCCAAAACCUAUCUUUGCUUCGAAGCGACUGCGAAGACCUGUGUGUUUCCUUGCAAUUGGGUGACCAUGAAGCCAAGAGACGACGGUCGGAUGCUUCUGUUUCCAUGGAAGAACUGAAAUAGAUCGUCCGUGUUAGUACGACUAUUGAGAAAUGCACAUUUUUCUGCAUCACUAUGGCUGUAUGUUGAGAUUUUCGGGUCUCUUUCUCUUUUUUCCCCACUAUGUUUCAUUGUAAAUUCACAUGAACUCCGAAAGAAGGUAUAUCUAACUGGUGCCCAAACUGAAAUAACUGUAUUUUGAGCUGUAUGCAUUUCAGUGAGCUUAAAGUUGGAAGCAAUCUUUGCUAGUCUUUGCUUUGGACGUUCAUACUGCUUUCUUCUUGUCUUUGGCACUGGUUUAAAUUUUGCUUUAAUGAUAAAUGGUCACAGAACGACUAUGUUUUUUUUGGCACAAUAAGACGUGGAAGCAUUCAAACUAUAUACUCUUUAGUCGUAAAAACAUAUGACGUGCUUUUAUGCAGAGUCUCUAAGUUUGAGAUAAUAUUGUCAGGAAAUGAGUGUUCAAAAGUUACCCAUUUUAGAUCAUUGUUGUGCCGUGGAAAAUUCACUGUUUUGAAAGUAAAAUUUUACGUUACUUUAGUGUUAAAUUACAAUUGUCAGUUUUUUUUCCAGGGUAUACACAAUUUCCAAACUCAAACAUGCACUCAUCUGCAAGAGCAAAUUUAUAACGGUUUAUGGGGCAUGUGCUCCCUUCACAUGGUCGGUUUUUGUUUGAAAAUACAAUAUAUAUCCAAUUAAUAUAAAAAAGAAAUAUAAUUUAAUUUUCUAAAAUGAAGAUAAUUGUAUUACAUAUUAAAUUAAUUAAUUUUUAAAGCUAAUUAGUAUUUUUUAAAAUAUUUUUUUAGUGUGUUUGUUAUAUAGUGUCCCUAUAUAAAAUUUAUAGAUACACCACGGUUCGCCGGUAAAAAAAGAAAAAUCAAAACUAAGUGGUAUGAAAUGAAAUUGUUUUAUAUAGAGAAAUAACAAAAUAUCGGCUAGUUUCCAACUACUAUGAAUGACUAGUUUCCAACUAUAGACGACUACUUUCCAACAACUAUUUACAAAGAUUAAAACAAACAAGUUGCUUUUUAAGAAAAAUUGUAGUGUAUAUUUAGUUUUAUGAUUUGAUGAUGUGAUUAAGUACUAUGAUUGAAUUGGCCUCCAGUGAGCAAGAUGCGACGAACUUAGAUAAUUGUAUAAGUUUUUAGUGAGUUGUUUUAGAUCAAUUUGUUUUUUUCCACUAAAUAUGGAGUAUGAAUAUUUGAACUUCCAUUGUCUUUUAUCGUUACGCUAAUUAGUGUAAUUGGCGUAGUUUAUAAUAGUAAUUUCUACCAAAUACCAUCGCUCCCUCUAAGUCUUUCUAUUAUUUGGGGCAAAAAAUACAAUAUGUUCAAAUUAACAGUUCUUUGAUUGAAUAUCUUGAAAUGUUUUAAUUAAAAUUUCUAUUAAGUAAAAUAAGAAUCGUGUUAGACCAAUUCAUACAUUAGUUAUUAAUACAAAUACGUUUCAUCUCACGAAAAAAUGAUUUUGCAAAUAUAAGCAAUCUAACAAAACAUAUUCAAAUAAAAUAUUUAACAGUAAUUUAGCUCAACUAUUAAUAAAGUGUAAUGGAGAGUUUUAAUUUAGCUCAACCAUCAAAUUUAGUUGGCACCAUCAAAUUUGCUAGGCUUGAAUCCUCCUAGUUGUAUUUUAGAGAUGUUUUAACGUUUAAAACAAUUUCUCCUUUAGAAAAAGAAAUUAUUUUUGUUUCCUCUCUUUUAACUUUUUGGUCAUUUCACCUCCGCAGAUUUACAUCUCGACUAUUUUUCUGUAUCGCUUUUCCUUUUCAUUGUCUCUGACGGGUUUAAGUUAGGGUUUCAACCUUCACUCUGCACCCAUUGCCGGCCAUGGCGAAACCAAGCAGAGGCCGUCGCUCGCCGCCGUCGGGCUCAGCUUCCUCCUCACGUUCCCGCUCAUUCUCCGGCUCUGAUUCCCGUUCCAGUUCCCGUUCGCGCUCCAGGUCUGCAUCUGUGUCCCGCUCACGCUCUCGUUCCAGGUCCAUUUCUUCGUCUUCGUCUCUCUCUCGCAGCGGUAGUUCUCGGAGCAGAAGCCCCCCUCCUCAGAGAAAGAGGUUUGUCUUUCACUUCAGCUUGCAUUUCUCGUUACGGGGUUUUAAAUUUUGUGCUUGUGUGGGAGGAAGUAUCAGAAUUAGGUUUUUUGUGCCUGGAAAUCUGGUCGAUUCAGCAUUUCCUUUUUUGUCGCCGUUUAUUGGAUGUUCGUGUUCCUGUAUUAGACAUACAAAUUACAUUUCCAUUUGUUUUUCAGUCCGACUGAAACAGCUCGGAGGUCUCGUCCUUCACCUCCUCCAGCUAAACGAAGUUCUCCGCCACCCAGGUUACAACGUCUCCUUCUACAUUCUACAGUCAAAUCCAACUUCUCACUAGCAUUUAUAAGUCUCUUCAUUAUUUGUUCAUGGCAUGCAUUUUCCAAUAAGUCAAACAUUUAUGCUCUGCCCCGGCUUUUUAUGCCCGUCUUUCGUUAAAGACUAUCGAGCCUCUUCAAUGAUUUCAUUCAGCUGUUUGUUUCAUUUAAGUUUCAAGUUAGGGAUGGCUAGGGAACAAUUUAUAGUAUUUCGUUUAUCUUUGUUCAAGUACGAUGCUUCGGUUUGGACUUGCCGUCGAUGGAUUAACACCAUUUGCCUUAAGCUUAAAUAUGGUUUCGUUCGUAAUUUGUUAAUUUAUUUCCUUAAAAAGAGCUCAUUCUCCCUUAUUGUUUAUUCAGUUAAAACAGGGUUCAAUUUAUUAAAUAUCUAUAAAACAGAAGAAAAUCUUUGAAUUUAGUAUUUCUUCAGAACUGUGGUGUGAGUAUUGCAUUAUUUCAAAUUGUAAUAAUUGUCUUCCCUUGUUGAACUUGAAUGUGAUAAACAGUGUUCUAUUAGCUUUAAUUGUCUUGCAAAUGUAAAUUUUAUCUUUUGUAAUCUAUAACCACUUGCAAUUUUUAUGCCCUGACUAUUAGAAAACCGACAUAUGCAUUUUGUUUAUAUUAAUAUUUCAUUUUGUUUAUAUUAAUAUUUCAUUUUGUUGUGCAUUUGUAUAUCAAUGAUUUACAUCCCCUUCUUUCUUUUUGUGAUAUUUUCCUUUUCUGUAAGUCAUAUUUAUAUAAUUUGUUUUUCACACUGUUUCUUUUGGUUUCAGGAAACCAUCUCCUGUACGCGAAUCACUUGUUCUUCACAUUGACGCACUGAGUAGGAAUGUCCAUGAGGGUCAUUUAAGAGAAAUUUUCAGUAUGGUUUUUCACUUGCUCUCUUUAGCCUUCAAACAAUUAUUGUGAUUGAUCAAUGCACUUUUUUGUUUUCAUAUCAUUCUUUUUUAAAUGUUAUAUGAUGAAUACAUCGAUUAAACCAAAGUGUAGGACAAAAUGAACUUUUAUUUCAAGCUUCAUUCACACCAUCUGAAGUAUUCAUACAACACUUCGACUUCACAAAUUUAGUAUUUUGUAUUGUAAGAAAAAACCAGGUAUAUUUGUGUAAACAUAUGUAUUUAUGUAGUAGAUUUAAUUCAAUUUGUUUGUAGUGAUGGUUGACCAUAAUGUUUUUUUUGGAUAGAAAUAACAACUUUGAUCGAGAGAAAAAUGAAAGAAUACAAGGGCAUAAAAAAAAUUACGCCCAUGAAACACCCCAUCUAAAAGGAGGACCAACUAAGUAAAUUUUUUUGUUCUUAAUAGUUGAUAAUUUGUCAUUUCUACUAUUCUUCCUCCUGCCUGAUAUGUAAAGUUACUGCAGCAUGCUCAUUCCUUUCCUCUCAGCUGUUUCUAAACUCCAGAUAGUUUCUUAUUCUUUUCACGAAUCUAUUGUAUAGAAUUAGUUGUAAUUUUGUUGGUCUCAUUCAAUCAAAGGGUUCACCAUCAAAUAGAAUUUUUCCUCCAAAAACAUCCUUAUGGUUCAGUAGGUUUGAUGUGUAUUAGAUUUAAUAGGUAAUCCUGUUGCCUUUUUUAAAAUGCAUUUUUUUUCUUCUGAAAAAUGGUAUAGCUCUUACGAAUUUCCUUUUUUCCCCUUUCUUGAUACCCUUUAGGUAAUUUUGGUGAAGUCGUCAAUGUCGAGCUGGCAAUGGAUCGCACAGUGAGUUUCUAACAUGUAUAUUGGAUUUGAAGAACUUUUUCUUGCAUAAUAUAUUGAUGCAUCUGUUAUAAUGCUUACAGGUAAACCUUCCUAAAGGAUAUGGAUAUGUUGAAUUUAAAACGAGAUCUGACGCUGAAAAAGCCCAAGUGUACAUGGAUGGUGUAGGUUUUGCAUAAAUGUUCAAGUACUUGAAGUGCAUCUAUUGAUAUAGUCUCGUAACUGGUAAUUGAUUGUGAUAAUUGGCUAAAUGUAGGCCCAAAUUGAUGGGAAUGUUAUACGAGCAAGAUUUACACUGCCUCAAAGACAAAAGAUGCCAACACCUCCAAGGACUGUAGCAACUGUUCCAAAGAGAGAUGGUCCUAAGCCUGAAAAUGUUGGUCCUGAUGCUGAGAAGGAUGACAUGAAAAGACAGAGAGAACGUAUAACUCUCGAUAAUUAUUUUCUCCAAUAUCAAACUGUUGAAGUUUACUAUAUUAUUUUGUUUUUGAUGGUGUAAUGGGCAAUGUCAAACUUAUCUUUAUCUUUUGGUCCCUAUCAGUAUUUUAUUGAUUUAUGUCUGGUUUGUUACAUCAGCUUCUCCUCGUCGAAAACCUCCUUCACCUAGAAGGCGCUCUCCUGUUGCUCGACGAGGUGGGUCUCCUAGAAGACAACCUGAUUCUCCACGUCGUCGUCCGGACUCUCCUCCACGCCGCCGCAUAGAAUCUCCUUUUCGUCGCGAUUCUCCUCCUCCUAGAAGGAGGCCUGCAUCACCCAUGAGGGGUGGCCGUUCCCCAUCGCCUUUGGCAAGACGACAUAGAUCUCCUCCAAGGUUGACCACCGUCCCCAAACUCUUCAACCCUCCCAGCCACACACACACACACACACAAUCUAUCUCCUUGUCUUGAAAUGGGGAAACUUGGGAGCAUUGACAUUGUUUAACUUUGGUUGAAUAGGCCCUCCCCAAGAAGAAUUCGUGGAAGUCCUGUUCGAAGACGUUCACCACCACCUCCUAGGCGCCGGUACUAUGCAUUUGAGUUGUCUUUUCUUUUGCACUGUGAAUGAUACACAAAGAUGUUUAUAGUUUCUAACCUCACAAAUCUAUCAUAGAGUGUAAAAGUUGACUAUUUAUGGCUUACUGCACAAAUUAUUAUAAUGCUAUUGCAGACUUCGAAUGAAGUAUUAGCUAUAGUGUAUCUCUUCAUGUGACUUUUUAAAAUUUUACUUGCUUCCAUACAAAGGUGUCCUAUAGUUUAAUCUUAGGUAAUUAGAAGACUGGUGACUGAGGGCUUGAUUACUUUCUAAUUAGAAGCAUGGCAGUUAGAGCUUUUAAUUGGUUGUUCACUGUGAUUGAGCAAGUUUUUUCUUGAAAGUGGUCUAGUCUAACUCAGUGGUUUCAGUUACGUUUUUACUUAGGUAUAUGAGAGUUGCAUAGUUAAAUUGUGUUUCUUUCUCAGCACACCACCUCGACGUGCUCGUAGUCCUCCAAGAAGGUCUCCAGUAGUUCGUAGAAGAAGUCGUUCGCCUAUUAGAAGACCAGCUCGAUCACGCUCCCGAUCGUUUUCACCACGGAGGUAACUUGAUGCCUAAUGUAUUUUUCUGUCACGACCAGCUAACUGCCUUUUAAAGGAAGACUAUUAGUAUCUAUAGAUCUAGACAUCUAAUAUAUUUUUUUCCUAAUCAAAUCCCUUUUUAAGUAAAUUUUUGCCAACUCUGUGUUUGUGGUGCAUAAAUUAAAUGAUGAAGUAGAUCACAGAAGCUUAUCAUGGGCAUUGAUCAAAAAAGAAAAAUAAUCACAGUGAACCCUUUCUGAACAUCCACAAGUGAGAGCUAUAAAACAAAUGUGAUGAUUCCCCUUGCUCCUCUAAAUUUCCAUCACAGAGCCUUGCUAGCACUGAGCUAAAAAUUUUUACUGGUGUAGCCAUGUCGAAAGUUAGUGAAAUUUUUGUGAAGUUUGUGAUUUGUUCUCAUUUUUUUUGGAGUAUUUGCUAUCCAAAAUCCUUUUAGAAAACUCUUGAGUUACUCUAGGUUUCGGCUUGUAAGUCAACUGCCUGUUUUUCAGCAUCCCAUAUUCUAUAGCCUCCGUUGGGCCCUGAGGGAUCCUUUCAAUCUAGACAAUGUGGGGGGGGGGGGGGGGGGGGGGGGUGUAGGCUUAAAAUGCUUUGAUGUCUUGUCUAGUGGUCAUGGGGUUUUAUUUAGAUAUUAUAAUGAUGUUUAGAAACUAUGCUUUAAAAUAUCUCAAUUUCCUAUUAUUAAAAUAUUACCUAAAAUUUUGUUUUAGAAACAACAAUCAGAAAUAUCUCCAAAUUCUCAAAAAAUAUAUGUACACAAUUGCAUAUUAAUGGAUAACAAUUAUAUUGUAAAGUUAGCUUUCUGCGAAGGAUGCUAUGAAAGUGGAUCUGUGGCUAGUUGGCUUGUUCAAUGUCGUAUCCUUUGUUCCAUUUGUGGGGUUUUUGAUCUGAGAAAUAAUAGAAUUUCCUGGGGUGGGUAAGAUCUCUUAGCGUUGUCUGGUCCUCAUUAGAAACUACAUUUCUGCUUGGGCUUUAGUGACUCGGUCAUUUUGUAAUUACUCGCUUAUUAUAUUGAGGUGGUCCACUUUCUGAACUUCGUUGCCAGGCUUCUCUUUUUUGUGGUCAUUUUUUUAGUUGGUGUAUUCUUUCAUUUCAAUGGAAGUUUGGUAUCUCAAUUUAAAAAAAUAAUGAUAUCAUUUUCUACUUUACCCUUUCUGCGAUGGUUUACUUUUCCUUAACCAUAUUUUAUUCCACAGUGCUAGUACCCUUGUUUUUUUUAAUGCCUGCUAUAAUCCAUUUAUUUAUCUUUGGAUUUUUUUAUGGUGAUCUCUCUAUGCAGAGGUCGGCCAGGCGCUGCCGGUAGGCGUGGGAGAUCAUCAUCCUACUCUGCAUCACCUAGUCCACGCAAGGUUUGAUCUUUGCCAUUCUUACUCUUUUUAUUGCUUUACUUUUCCCUGCAUUAAGUCCCUUCACUUUUCUCUAUUUUAUAUUUACAGGUCCCCAGGAGGGUAUCUCGCAGUCCAAGAAGGUAAUCAUAAUCCCAUGCGUCACAUAAAAUAUCAGUAUAUCUUGAAAAUAUUUUGAAAAUGCUCGAGGUUUUUGGAGACCCAGUUUGCUUCAAGUUUAAAUCUCAUAAAAUACAUAGGUGCAUCCCAGCCUUCACCUAUCUUUUACCUAUCUGUCAUGUAGCUCACUUUAUUUUUUCCUAUUUUAUUUUUUUGCUUGUGUGUGAUGCCAGUGGGAUGGAUACAAACAAAUAUUUUUCCAAGUCCAUACAUAAACUGCUAGGUACCUUUUUUUUUUAAAGAAACAAUUUCAUUGGUGUAUGAAAUAGCAAAAAUGGAGGGGGGAGAAGCCCUGGCCCAAAGAGUUACAAAAGACAUCUACAGUUGGUCAUUAGUGAAUUUAGACAUAAACUAUAAACUACUGGGCACCAUUAAACAUGGAUAUUCUUUCUACUGAGCGUCUAGGUAACUGAAUGAGUAGGUGCUUGAUUUGUAGUAACUAGUAAGUUGGGAAUGACUUUUGAAGUUCUUCAAUCUCGACCAUCUACCCAAACACCAUUAAGUCUCUCUUAAUCUUAUAUAAUUAAUAUACAUAUAUACUUAACUAUUGUAGUAUUAUUGAUGUGCAGGCCUUUGAGAGGAAGAAGCAGCAGCAGGAGCAGUAGCAGUAGUUCGCCACCUCGUAAGCCAUAAACAACUCUUCACAUCUCUCUCCCUCCCUCUCUCUAAAUUCUCUUGUUCAAUGUGUAUUCCGAAAAAAUGCGACGUUUUGUUUUCUUCCCGACCUGGUAAAGAGCUUUCUUGUACCGAAAAUAUUUGGAUUUAAUCCCCAUUUUGGUUUGUUUGUAGUUAGUUUGUUUUUCUGUUACUAAUUGGAUUAAAAACAUUUAGAUAAUACUUUGUUCUAAAUGCAGUCUGUAGUAUUAUUACACUCCUACUAUUGAAAGGUACAAACAUGGAGCGUUCCCCUUUUCCUUGUGGGUUUUAGAGACUAUAUUCCUUUUCUUAUAUAUUGUUUUUGUUAAUUCUCUCUUAACAUUUCUAGUUUGUGGCUGUUUGUUCGGUUUUUGAAUUUUUAGAUUUGUCUUAAUUUUGUGUUUAAUAGAUUUCUAAAUUUUGAUUUGUGUUUAAUAUGCCUUUGUUCUUUUCAAUGUUUGUUCAAAGUUUGCUCCUACAAAACACAGGUAUAAUGUUUAUGGUCCUAUUGGAUAAAACAAGUUUUUAGAUAAUUUAAAUAUGUUUGAGAGUGACUUGAUAUAAAAUUUAAGUUAAGGAUUUAUUAAACAUUUUUUUUAGUUUAAAUAUCAAAUAAAUAUAAAAUUAAGAAACUUAAUAGAUACUUUAAAUAUUGUCAUCCAACCAAAUUAUGUCUAUCAAUUUUUUUUAUAAAAAAGAAAUCCCAUUUUAACCCAUCUGUUUGAGUUUUCAGAACGUUUCUUUAGUUUUUGGUAUAUACUUUGUCACUUCUGCUUGGAAAUUUGAACGUCAAAGAUGUAAGAUAUCUUGAGAGUUAAUUAAAAUAGAAGUAGAAGUUAGAAAUUUAAGAUCAAAUUUAGAAAUAUUACAAAAUGUAGUUCUUAUAAUAUAAGUCUAUUCGAUAUUUGUUAAUUUUCUUUUCUAACCAAAAUUCUAAUUUGAUUUUUUUUAAAAAAAUCUUGCAUAGAAAAUGAACAUUAAUAUAUAAAUGUGAUGGAUGGAAUUAUAAAUUAAAGUAAAUUUAGAAAUAUAGGUGAAGAAAAAAAAGACAAGAAAGAAAAAUUAAUAUGGUUGUCAAGUAAGGACUCAAAUUUUCAAAAGCAAGUAUUUUCUUGUUCUUGAACUUAAUAUUUUGGUGAGUAUUGAAGAUUCAUAUUUUAGUUUCUAUCAUGAAACCUCAAUCAUUUUGAUCAAUGUAUACUCAACUUAUUCGUAUUACAUACCAGCAUACAUAUUUUAAGUAAGAUCUUUUAAUAAAAAGGUUAGAGCUAUAACAUAUUAAAUAAAAGUAUUGUUUAAUAAAAGUAUUGCAAUAAACACUUACAAAGAAACAGCUAAAGCAAACAUUGUGUUUUAGACUGAAAACUAGAGUUGAAGGAAGGAAUAAAUAAUGUGGCAGAUUGACCUGAAAAAUGUAGCUGAAGUAUAAUUUCCCAUGGUUUUUUAAAAUAAGGUUUUAUAACCAAACUUAUUUCAAUUUCUUAUUCCUUAUCUUUAGUAUUUUUUUUACUUUAAAUCUCUUUCCUCAUGGCUUCUUCUUCUAAAUCCCUUUGUUGAAGUAUUUCUCCAACGAACAACGUUUCCUUCCUAUAUCUCGCCUAUGAAGAUAAUUCCAAUGACAAAUAGUUUUUUCCUUCAAUCAACAAUAAUGUACAUAGUCUUUUUGAUUGCUAAAUAAACAAAAGCACACAUUACGAGAGUAAGAAAACAUUGUGAAAAUUGUGUUUUAAAAUAAAAAUAGAACCAAAUAGAACUAUUUCUAAGGAUGUAAAAAAAAAUGGGCCUAAAAAUUCAAAUGAUAUGGAUUUUUAAAAAAUGUCAAAUGAUCAUUUGUUGAUGUCAAAUUUGAGUGAAACUACCAAAACAACUAUGCAUAUGUGGAAAAGCCCAACUUGCUCUCGCUCGUGUGCUCUUCUUUCAUCAUUCUCUCUUUGUAAGGUCACUUCCUCUCUUGCCCGUCUCACUCUAGCCUUGGUCACAUACCGUUGGGUGGAGAAACUCUCACUCUCUUUCGUUGUCUUGCAAAUAAUUGGUUAGAGCUAGUCGGAACAUUGUUGGUGAAAACUCCAUGGUUGUGAAGAAGAAGGAAGAAAUGGGGGCAGAGCUUUUUGAACAACUGAGUAUGUGAAGGAGGAAGAGAAGAGAAGAGAAGAGAAAAGAAAAGAAAGGGCAAAUGUGUAAAUUCACGUGCUUGUGCACAUUAGCAAAAACUUAUUAGAGAUUUUAGUUUGAAAAGCGGAGUCAUUUGGCAUAUGGAGCCUUAAAAAUAGGUUGUUUUGUUGCAAGUAAUUCCAGCCCCAGGGGGAAUAUGAAUAUCAAUUGGAAAACAAAAAUUAGGUCAAUCUUUACAAAAUUCCCUCGAGAUAUCAAUAUCUUUGGGAAAGUGGAAAGUCUAUUUUGCAGAUUUUGCCCAAUGAUUUUACCGAAAACGCCAUUUCGGACAGUAACCCACCAAAUGAAAGGGAAGAAAACGGCGCAAAGUUCUUGGUCAAUUUGACUCUCUCAACUCCCAAUUCUCCUCCAACUCCUUUUCUCAUCCUCUCCCUUCAUUUUCUUUUUCUUUUUCUUUUUCUUUUUUUGGCGCUAAUCUUCCUCUAAACCCUCUUAAAUUUCCCAUCAGCUCGAUUUCCGUUCUUCCGCUCAGUUGCUGUCAAGAACGUCAGGCAAACACCUCGCUCCAGCGAUUUAGGACGGAAAUUUCGUUGUUUUCAGGUCUGUUUUUAAGUUACUCAAUAUUUGGCCAUGGAUUUAGGGCUUUGAAUUUUAUCCAGACCCGACCUUUUGGAUGUUGCUCUAAUCGAUGGGUUUUGUUCGGUUUUACAUUUUACAAUCGGUUAUCUUCUGUUUGGUCGCGUGACUUGGGGAUCAUACUGUUAUUUGCCUCGUGUUGAUUCUGCAAAAGUUUUUAGUUGUUAGUGAUAGAUGAAAUGAAGCAUGAGUAGAGAUUUGUUUGAGUUGGGUAUGAUAAAAUAUAUGUUUGUUACUAAUAUUGAUUAUUCUUUUCGUAUGUUUAGUUGACUUUUAAAUUCCAGGUUUUAAGAUAUAUAUUAAACCGCACUGUAGUACAUAACUCCAUGAAUUGGUAUUUGUUUUUGCCCUCACUGAUUGGGCUUUUCGCGUGUUCUUGUAUGUAGAUUGAGCUAAGUUGCUUGAAUUUGAGGUAUUUGGCCGUUGAAAGCAUUUCAUUUCAUGGCAGGCAAUGGCCUGCCAUCAUUGGGUCGUGUGAAACUUACUGAUAUAGCACCAUCUGAAGGAGUUCCAUCUGAGUCUUUCAAAUUGUCAGUCUCAACUCUGUCACAUUCACUAGCUCAAUACUCUGCUGCCAUCAUUCAAUUCCCUGCUUGUGAUGGGGCUCUUUUAAGGUCUGGUUUAGAUUCUGCGCGUCUCUACUUCCACCAGAGAGCUGCAUGUUCAUCUGCUGAGUUGAUGCAAAGCAAUGAUUCACGAGAGUGGUGCAGAACUUCUGGUUACUAUGUGGAUGCUCAGAUGUGGCAAGAAACAUAUGACUAUAGGCCUGGAUUGACUCCAGUUGAGCCCAGCAAUGGAAUGGAGUUACCACCUGCAGGUUUGCCAGACAUAUUUGCCCUCUAUGGAAAGGCAUCUCGAAUUAUUUUGGAUGCCAUCAGCUUCUAUCUAAACUUGCGGAGCUCUCCUUUCACGGAAAUACUUGAUAAUGUUCCUCUAAGAAGUAGGGAGAUAUCAUCUUCUGUGUUGUCUGUGUGCUGUUAUGGGAGACCCUCAUUUCACGGAGAGCAUCACCAUAAGUUAACUGCUCAAGAGGAUAGCCAGUUGGCCAUGUAUACGUCAGACCAUGACAAUCAAAUUGAUAAAAGUCUUAUUACUCUGUUCAAGGCGGAUAAGGCAGGUUUACUAAUAAAGGAUUUCAAUGGUAGAUGGAUUCUUGUGGAUGGGGAUCUUGGCCCUCAAGAUGCUAUAGUUUAUCCUGGACUUGCACUCUAUCAAGCAACCGCAGGAUAUGUGAAUCCUGCUUUGCUCAGAACAGAUGUGAAUAAUAUUCAAGGUAGUAUGUAUGGACGGUGUUCCUUGUCAUUCAAACUCAUGCCUAAAUCUAUGACUAGCCUCAGUUGUUCAGAAAUGAGAGCUGCUGGCCAUGGGGUAGAUGUUCAGUUCCAGCUUCCAGUACCAGUGGAUGACUUUAUGCAGAGAUCACACUCAACUGACCAACUCUUUAAUCGCCCAAAUUUUCAGAAUUUCAGUUUCUCUACAUCCCAAGAUGGUAGGCCAAAUCUUUUUAUAAUUUCUAAUUUUGGAGCCGAUGAAUGUCAUUUGUUGAGGUUUUUCCCCUUUUUUCCUGUAACCUCCCUUGGUAUGAGCUCGGCUCUCCCUUUUUUGGUAGUUUAAUUACAUCAAUUAAAUUGUUUCUUAUAAAAAGAAAAAGGCGUUUAUUGAGGGUUGAUAAUGCAAUAUUGAUUUUCUUUUACAUGUUAGUACUUAGCAUGAUGCUUGUGUAGGUCGUUGAAAUUUAAAUUCCCCUUCCCUUGAUGUUUUACCUAGACAUAAUGAAGAGCCAUCUGUUUCAAUUGCCAUUUUGCUAUAUGAGAAUCUCUCAUAAUGAAAAAGCGUUGUGAGAAAAUGAUUUAUGUUUUAAUGGAUACUUUUGGGUGAAAUAUGGACUGGAAGCCAUGUAUUUGCAUUUGUUAUUGCUUGAUAGUUUGAAUGCUUGCUUUCCUGAUUAUUUAGUUAUUCAUUCCCUCUUUAUCCUCUUAUUGGUUAGUGUUGCUUCUAUAGUAAUUUCUUAGCGUUAGUAGCCACCUUAGUGAGAAGCUUUCAAUUAACAGGGUGUUGGAUCGAUGAAAUGCUGGUACAGGAUCCAUAAAAAUGAGGAGGAGAAAGAAUAAUUCAAGUACCAAACCUCUACCCCCUUCUAAGAGAUUACGGCUUGAGGCACAGAGAGUUCUGAAGGAGAAAGUACAAGAUAUUGCAGAUAAGAAGGGUAUCAAAUUGAGGUUCUGUAAUCUGAAGGAUUGUGAGAGUCACAUUCACACAUUAGAUAGCCCUUGUGCCAGCACAAGAAUGGAGAUUGGGUGGCCUCCUGGAGUGCCAUUUGUUCAUCCUCACGACCUACCUAAUAAGGCAAAAAUUGGUUUUCUCGAAGCUUACGAGCCUGGUUGGACAGAUAGUCAUGACGUUGAAUUGAGUCUUACUGAACCUGGACAAGUGGGUCAACAGUCAACCAACUGUAAGUGAAUCUCUGUCAUAUUCAUAUAUGCGUGCAUUUCGACUGGUUCUUGUUUCUUACUCCAACAAGUUCCUGCUUUUCAAUCAAUGUGAAUAAAAAGCUUGCUGAUUUUGGUUCAAUUCGAAAAGUCCUUGUGGUAUAGAUACUUGUUUAUUAUAGUAUUACCUUUGGAAAGAGAAAUCAUAGGUGUGCAUCACUAUUUUUCCUAUUGUGUGAAGGUGGGUAAGCACAUAGUUCAAAAUUGUAAGCAUGUAUAUUCUUUCCCAUUACAUUAUUAUUCCCCUCCUUUCCCCUUUCCCCAUUUUUAUCAUCGUUUGCAGAUUCAUGUUUACUAUUAUUUCUCUUCUAUCCCACUGAAACUGGCCAGUCUUUUCUUAAUUUGGCUGCCGAAAAUCUCUGAGAUAAUUUUAUGAUCAAGAAAUUAGGAAGAUUAACAGAAGUGGUUGAUGCAAGAGAUAGCUUUAUUGCAAUGCUGCAUUUGAUGUGCCUUAGCUAUGCAUUUGUGAGUGUAGAAAAUUUGAUAUAUGAUUUGAACUUGUGUCCAUGUCCUUUGUUUCUCAUAAAAAAGUUGUGAUCAUCUCUGGUGGCUGUGGGAACUAUUGACGGAGAUUAAUUUAGUUCACAAGUGAUUUGGAGCCUAAGGUAUAUAUUUCCUAGAGGCUUGAAGAUAAUUGUGUUGGAACUUUAGAAUUCUGUGUCACACAUGUUUCACGGACGUUGGGAGCUCUUUUGAGGAACAAUUUUACAGGCACAACAAUCUCUAUCCCAUUUUUUUAGAAACGAAGGUUAUUAUUAAAAAUGGCCAAAAGCCUCGACAAAACAACCUAAAGGACUAGAGGAUAAGGCAGGGUCACAAAAAGACCUCCAAUCUAAGUUAAUGGCAUCUAUGUUGUAGUUAUAAAACCAACUAUGUUGAGGCCGUAAAACUACCUAUGUUCUGCAUAUCAUGGCUUUAACAAGUUCCUGAUUGUUACAUUGAAAGAGACAUGGCGUUGCUGUCAGGAGCUUGAAAGUUUAGUGUUGGUUAGGCAAUUGCGUAUUCCAUUUUUAGAACAUCAUACUACAACUUGUAGAUUUGGCACUGUCUUCGUUCAGUUUGUGUUGUUGCACAAGCAUCACCGACCCUACCUUUCAGCCUUGCACCUUAAAGCCAAGCUCACCUUUCUCUCGCUCCAAAUAUUUCUUUUUCAUUUUUCUUGAUCUAAGGGCUUCCUGAAUGAAUCAUUUAGUUUUUCUUCCUCCCAUUUUAUUUUUGCUCUACCAGUCUAUCUGUGUCUUCUUUUGCUUAAAAUGUUUGUUUUAGCUCUAUUCUUUUUGGAUGAUGUUAAAAUUAGUGGGCUUAGCCCGAGGAAGGAUUUACCCUAAUAUCCUUUCUUUUAUUUUUUAUCACAAGCUUUAACCUAUUUAUCUUCCCUCUUGUAUCUUUUGUUAAUAUGGGAAAUUAAAAAGUCAAUCGUGGUUUUUCUUUCGGUACUCGGGUUUCUACGUAUCUCGGUGUCUAUUUUACUUUACGCCUUUUAACAUGGUAUCAGAGCAACGUAAAGACGAAACCCUAGACACAAGUGUAAAUGAAACUUGAAACCCAAACAGAGACAGCCCCCGUCGCCGCCGCCAUGGAAAAGCUGCUCCAUCAGCUUCAGAAGACACUGACAAUCAUUGUGGGCCAACCCUCGGAGUCAGCCGUGCUGCCCCAUGGGAAAAACCAGCCACAUGCACUUCAAUUGACCGCCCACACGCCGCCGCCCAACGCCUCCACUACUCAGCCAAUCUACUUCCAUUUGUCCACCUCCGUGCGCUGCCACCGCCCUCGGUUUAUGGACUGCCAUCGUUUCACUCCUCGCUGUCUUUUGAUUCUUUACAGCCACACAUCCAUGGUAUCGGGAUCGACCAAGUCCAUAAUAAAUUAGGGUUUGAAGUGGUGAAUCUUUGGCGCAAUCCAAACCAACCGACUUGCCUAUGUAUUUCAAGAACCCAGUAACUUUGCUCCCUAACUUGGCCUUAAAUUAUAUAACUAGUUCUCUAGCACCAUCUACAGGUGCCUUUUCAGGAGAGGAGCUGAAUGGCCAAAAUUACUUUUCCUGGUCUCAAUUGAUCAAGAUGUUUCUCGUGGGUCGUCACCAAUUCGGUUUUCUGACAGGGGAGAAUCUCUCUUUCAUCCCAUGAUGCCCUGGAACGUUUUUAAAGAUGUGAGGACUCCUUUAUUCAGUCCAUGUUGAUUAAGAGUAUAGAACCACAAAUAGGCAAGCCUUUGCUUUAUGCAGCAACUGUGAAGGAUCUAUGGGACACAACUCAUAAACUCUGUUUGAAGCGUCAGAACGCUUCUCAUUUGUAUACGCUGAGAAAACAAGUCCAUGAUUGUAAGCAAAGAACUCUGGAUGUAACCUUCUACUUCAAUAAACUCUCUACUUUGGCAAGAGAUGGACUUGUGCAAAGAAACAGUAUGGGAUACCUCGAAAGAUGGUUUAUAGUAUGCUUGACUUGAAGAAGUUGAUCGGAUUUAUGACUUCCUUGCAGGUCUCAGUCCCAAGUUUGACAUUGUUUGCGGUUGUAUACUUGGACAGAGACCUCUUCCCUCUUUAACGGAAGUGUGCUAUGAAGUUUAUCUUGAAGAAGACUGUAUGAAUGCCAUAAGUGUGCUGGCUACUCUUGCUAUUGACUUCGCUACCUUCAGUGCUAGAUCUCAACCCUUGAUAGAGAAAAAAUAACGGAAAACCGAUCCCUAGCUAUGAGCAUUGGAAGAAACAGUGGGACACUAAGGAUCAAUGUUAGAAACUUCAUGGUCGUCCCUCAGGAGGUUAGAAACGUUCCUCCAAUUAUAAACAUAAUUCAGGGCAUGCUUAUAUGAGUGAGUCUGCUGGCAAUUCUCAACCAUCUGGCCCUACUGUAAAUCAGAACGUUUCAUCCUGCAUUCUAGAAGCCAUUGCUCAGUUAGGUAUGUCUCAGUCUCUUAGUCUUAUCAGUGUUGAUGGGAAGAAUCCUUGGAUCCUCGAGUUGGAGCUACAGAUCACUUGACAGGUUUCUAUGAGAAUUUUGUUUCUUAUAUUCCGUGUUCUGGUAAUGAGAAGAUCAUAAUAGUUGAUGGUUCUUUAGUCCCAAUUGUUAGGAAGGGACAAAAUUUUCCUUUUGAAGGGCUAUCGCUCCAGAAUGUUUUGCAUGUGCCUAAAAUUUCCUAUAAUUUGCUAUCUAUAAGCAAGAUCACUCCUAAGCUGAACUGCAAAGCUACUUUCUUACCUAAAUUUGUUUCUUUUCAGGACUUGAGCUCGGGGAGGAUGAUUGAUACUGCAUGGUAUAGUAGGGGACCUAUCUCCUUAAUGAUGAUACCUCCGGUAGUAGUAUCUUUUGGACCAGUUUAUUGUCAUCAUAUUUUACUAUUUUUUAAUAAGAUUGUAUGUUGUGUCAUUUUCGGUUGGGCCACCCAAACUUUAAAUAUAUGAAGUAUAUAUUUCCCCAUCUCUUCUCUAAAGUUGAUGUCUCCUCUUUAUCUUGUGAUAUUUGUAUACGGGCCAAACAACAUCAGGUCUCCUUCCCCUCACAACCAUAUAAAUCAACCCAACUGUUCACCCUUAUCUAUAGCGACAUUUGGGGUCCAUCCAAGGUCACUACCUCCUUUGGGAAACGGUGGUUUGUGACUUUUAUUGAUGAUUAUACUCGUCUUCUUAUCACUGAUAAAUCUGACGUUUUCUCUAUUUUCCAGAACUUCUAUCACACUAUUGAACACAGUUCAAUGCAAAAAUUUUGAUUCUUCGAAGUGAUAAUGGUCAGGAGUUUCAAAACCAUACCCUUAGUGAGUUCCUAGCCUCCAAGGGUCGGUCACUAGAGCUUAUGUGCUUACACCCCUUAACAAAAUGGGGUUAUCGAGCGAAAAAAUCUGUCAUCUUUUGGAAGUAGCUCAUUCCCUUAUGUUGUUACUUCCCUUCCUUUAUAUACGCGGGAUGUUUUCACUGUAGUUUAUCUCAUUAAUAGGAGAAAUCUUAGAAUGGAAAUUGAAUCCCCUACUGAUUAGCCAACUCUGGUCCAAGACUCUGAACCUCUUCAAGAUUAAGGUAUGACUAGUCCUAUUAAAUCAUGUGUUGAUAGUAAAAUGAGUGAGAAUGAAAGUUCUGAUAUUACUAUUUAUGAAGAUAUGAGAGAAAAUGACAAUGUUGAUGAGAUUGAGAUCAAAGCAGAAAUUGGUGGUAAUGAGGCUGAACAAGGUCAUUCAGGUAAUCUUGAUGAGUAUGAUCCUUCUCUAGACAUUCUCAUUGCGCUGAGAAAAGGUAUUAGGUCUUACAUGAAACACCCUAUUUGUAACUAUAUUUCCUAUGAUAGUCUAUCUUUACAGUUCGGGGCCUUCACAGCUAGCCUUGACUCUAUCGUGAUAUUGAAAAGUAUUCACAUUGCUUUAUAGAGUCCUAAAUGGAAAAUUGCUGUUAUGAAAGAGAUGAGGACCCUUGAAAAGAAUAAGACUUGAGAGAUCUAUGCUCCCUAAGGGACAUAAAACUGUGGAAUGUAAACGAGUGUCACCCUCAAAUACAAGGUAGAUGAAACCGUUGACAGACACAUGGCGAGGUUAGUUGCAAAAGGGUUUACUCAGAAACUUUUCCCCAGUUGCUAAACUAAAUGCAGUUAGAGUUAUGUUAUCUUUUGCUAUGAACAAAGAUUGACGACGUCUAUAUCAGCUAGAUGUUUUUUUUUAAAAGGAUAUGAAUCUCACUAUUAUUAAUAUAAAUAAAGAGACAAAGCUCAAUGUACAUGAGGAUUAUACAAAGAGCAAUAGGGGAGAGAGGAUUUGCGUUCUUGAAUGGACACUUGGAAGAGGAAGUUUAUAUGAGCCCCCAAGGUUUGAAGCCUAGUUUGGUCAUCGGGUUUAAACUUCAGAAAUCUUUAUAUGGACUGAAACAGUCACCGAGUGUUUGAUAGGUUUACUACCUUUGUCAAGUCCGAAUGGAACAGCCAGGGACACUUGAACAACGCUUUGUUUACAAAAGUCUCCAAGGCUGGGAAGAUCGCAGUAUUGGUAAUUUAUGUUGAUGAUAUCGUUUUAUCUGGGGAUAACACUGCUAAAAUCAUCCAAUUGAAAAAGUGGAUGGGUGAUGAGUUCGAAAUCGAAGUUUGGUCAUUGGGUUUAAACUUCAGAAAUCUUUAUAUGAAUUGAAACAGUCACCGAGUGGUUUGAUAGGUUUACUACCUUUGUCAAGUCUCAAUGGUACAGUCAGGGACAUUCAGACCACGCUUUGUUUUCAAAAGUUUCCAAGGCUGAGAAGAUCGCAAUAUUGGUUAUUUAUGUUUAUGACAUUGUUUUAUCUGGGAAUGACACUGCUGAAAUCAUCCAAUUGAAAAAGUGGAUGGGUGAUGAGUUUGAAAUCAAAGACUUGGAAAAUCUGAAAUAUUUUCUUGGGAUGGAGGUUGCUAGAUCUAAAACAGGUAUCUCCGUAUCUUAAAGGAAGUAUACCCUUGUUUUGUUGACCGAGACAAGUGUGCUGGGAUGUCGUCCUGCUGAUACACCCAUUGAAUUCAACUGUAAAUUGGAAAAUUCAAAUGAUAAAGUUCUAGUUGAUAAAGAACAAUAUCAGUGCCUCGUGGGUAAUUUGAUUUACUUGUCACAUACUCGAUCAUAUAUUCCUAUGUUGUGAGUGCCGUUAGCCAUUUCGUGCAGGCUCGUUAUGAGGAGGAACAUAUGGAGGCAGUUAACAAGAAUCUUGAGGUACUUAAAAACAACUCUUAGUAAAGGAUUUUUUAGAAAGACAAACAUGAAAGCUAUUGAGGCAUAUACUGACUUUGACUUGGCAAGGUCUAUUGUUGACAGGAUAUCCACCUUCGGUUGCCAUACCUGUGUAUGGGGCAAUCUUGUAACUUGGAGGAGUAAGAAGCAAGGAGUUGUGGCCAGAAGCAGUGUUGAGACUGAGUACAGGGCUAUGGGUUUGGGGAUAUGUGAGGAAAACUGGCUCCAGAAAGUUGUAUAUGAUCUUUAUCAGGAUUGUGAGGUGUCGAUGAAAUUAUUAUGUGAUAACAAGGCAGCUAUUAGCACCGUCACAAUCUAAUUCAACAUGAUAGAACUAAGUGUGUGGAGAUUGAUUGACACUUCAUUAAAGAAAAGACUAGACAAUGGUAGCAUAUGUUGUUGAUGUUCUCACCAAGGGGUUUCUUAUACAAAACUUUGACAUUUUUGUAAGGAAGUUGGGUCUCAUUGAUAUCUACAUCUCAACUCAAGGGGGAGUGUUAGAAUUAGUAGGCUUGGCCCAAGGAAGGAUUUAUCCUAAUAUCCUUUCCUUUUUUUAAUCAUAAGUUGUAACCUAUUUAUCUUCCCUCUUGUGUUGUAUCUUUUGUUAAUAUGAGAAAUUAAUAAGAUAGUCAAUCGUGGUUCUUUUCUCGGUACUCGGAUUUCCACGUAACUCUUUGUCUACUUUACUGAACCACUUUUAACAGAUGGCAGUGACAUAAUAUUUUUUUCUUUUUGUUCCUGUUUCUGCAGGAAUCAGUUCAUGUUCUGUACAUUGAUGGAUUCUCAACGCCUCGUAGCUUGCAACUUAAAAACCAGUUCCAUUCAUUCAUGGCGUUCAUCGGCUCAUCAUACCUGCACUCAGAUUGUUGUUUCAAUACCCAAUGCUGACAAAUCGUGCCUGUUCACGUCUCGAGCAAAGACUGUACAUAUGUAUUACUUUCUGGGUAAGCUAGUUUCAUCUUCAUCUCCUUUAACUAUUGGACACUUUCAUAUUAUUUGUUGGAGGACAACUCUUGAAGAAAGGGGUUUGUUAAGUUAGCUAACCAGUGAUGGCAAUGUAGUGGGAAGAACUAUUUCCUUUGAAUUCUAGUAGAGAUUUUUCUCAUGUUAGUCAUACCUUCAUGUUCCUAGACUAGUCCGUAUGAUGUGUAAAAUUUGGGAAAUACCAUAGAGAGCAGAAAUAUACAAACUUAAGAUUCCUGAAGAAGUAUUCCCUGUUUUCUUUCUGUUCCAUUCUUGAUGUUGUUUUACUUAUAUCGCGGAUCAUGACUUGAGCUCUUCACAUUACAUUAAACUAAUUUUUUUCCCAUUUGAAGCUUGAGAUCCUUAGAGCUCAUGGGGAAUUACUUUCCAAAUGCUUAACAUGUGUUUCAUGUGUGAUAUAUAUGUACAAGGACUUGGAAUAUCACUCUAAAUGUCCUUUGUAUAUUAUAAUGGUCACCAGCAUUCUUAACACUCUUUUAUCUCAUUUAGAUUGCAAAACUGAUUGUAAUAUUUUGAAUUCUAUUAUUUACUAUUGUUUGGUGAUAGUUUUUAGUUUCAUACACAUGGAAUGGACUCUUUAAUAUAUAUUUUGAAGAAACUUGGAUGUUACUAGUUUUUAGUUUUACUUCUCUUGCUUGCUUAGUUAUAUUAUAUUGUUACAAGAAACUUAGGAUGUUGAUCAGAUUUUGUUCUUAGUUUUUGCCAAUUUUCUGUGCUUCAUAUUUGAUUUGAUCGAUGGAGUGAUGUAAGAAUAAUAGGGAUUAAUUGGGUAAUUAGUAAUUCCAAGUUAAUUUUCUUUUUACCUCCACUUGUAAUAAAACUCAUAAAUAGAAGUAUUUCCAUCUUGUAUGAAACACCUUAUUUAUUCUAAUUAAAGAUCUACAAUCUUGGUUAUUUGAGGUUUUCUCCCAGAGACUACAUAGGUCAUCAAUUUGGUAUCAGAAUCAGAAUGAUCCCUUGGGCCAACGUUGACUGCUUCGGGUGGAAUCUCAAAAAACUCUUGCUAGCACUGAUCACAAGAGGGAGCGUUGAGUGUUUGUUCGUUAUCUAUUUAGGGAAACCUUUAAAAUUUCAAGAAAGUCUCACAUCUAUUUAGAGAAACCUUUAAAUUUUCAAGAAGGUAAGAAGAAACCAAAGAUUUUGCAAGGAUGAACUGUUAUCGACAAAGAAAAUGUCCAAGAAAAAAUACUGUAAUUUGUAUAGACAAGAAAAUCACUUUACUUUCAAAAAUAGUGUUGGAAUUUUGACUGAAGUGACCUUAAAAGAAGAAUUUUAACAUGAUAAAUUGCCAUUGUUCAAUUUUCUUAAAGAAUUUUAACAUUGACCACAUUGAAAAUUUGGUUCUAGAGACUCUGAAGACGUUUCCAAGACAGUUGGGGAUGGAGACAUAAAAAAGGUCCAAGGAUGCAAUAGAAUCCAUUUUUUUUCAAGAAAUCAACAUAAACAUUGGAAGUUAGAUGAAUUAGAGAAUCACAAAAAAUAACCAAAACUGGAUUUUUACUAUCCAAGUAGAACGUUCUAAGACUCAAAAUGACUCUUUUGGUUUUGCAACAUGAUCAGGAAAGGUUGGUUAAAAAAAUCGAUGAAUAAGCCCUAUAUUUCACUAUGAGAUUGAAACAUAUUCAAGGCUCCAACAAAAUGACUACUUUGAUCCCAUAGUAUUGAAAGAAAAAAAGAAAACAACUGAAGAAAACGUUUAUUGGAGAAAAUAACUCAACAUAUUGAAGAGUUCCAGCAAGAAUCAACUUUGUACACCGUUGAAGGAAAUUAGGGUUUAUUGACUCCUUUUGAAUAUAUUAUGUAAAAUUAUGAUGGUAUCAAAGCAUUAGGUUUGACCUCUGCCUCCAUUGAUUUAAUUAGCCAUCGACAGAAGCCGAACCCACUUAUAGAUCCACUUCGUUCAAAUCCAUCUUCAGUGCCCACCUUCUCCUCCGUUGGACCAGUUUCAUUUCAUUCAAUAUGUAUUUUCCUUUUUCCUUUAUUAGUAUUUUUGUCUCUAUUUAUUAAUCAAUGUAAUAGGAUAUGUAUACUUUGAUUUUUUCAAAUUAUCAUAUACUAAAUAAGAAAUAAAGGAAUCUCAGUUAGAAACUUUUCAAAUAGAAAAUCUUGAAAAUAAAUUUGGACAAAAUAUUGUUAAGACUCAUGUAGUUGACUAACGUAAUUGGGGGAAAAUUCACUCGAAUGAAGUUGAAGAUUAAAAAGAAGAAAUUGAAAAUGUUGAUUCGGAAGUAGUCUCGAGUAGAAAAGAAUAAUCCAAUGAAGAAAAUGGAAAAGUGGUAUUCAACGUCAAAACUCUAAAUGUCGAGGUGGAAAUAAAAAAAAUUGACCAAGAACACCACACCAAUUGCUUCGGAAAUCAAUUGCCACAACAAGAAAAUUUGAAGUAAAUGACGAAGAAAAUAUGAUUCUUGAAGUGUUCUCCUUGGAAGCUAAUUCAUUUGUAAUUGAUCCUUUCAAUACGGUUUUGAAUGAUGAGCUUAAAGGAAAUAUCUUUUUUGGGUUUACGGUCAAUGGAGAGGUUCAUCGUUGGGUAGCAAUAUUUGAUCUUUUGUCUCGAAUCUAUUCCUUUAAUCAUAAUAUUUUUAUCAUACUCCAUUCAACAAGUAUAUUUCAAUUGUUUGCUUCAUAACACCUUUCUUUUUAAAACUUGAGAACAAGUUUUCUUUUUGGAUGACACUCUAAAAUUUCUAUAAAUAGGAUCAUUCCCCUCUGGUAUGAAACACAUUAUUCAUUCCAAUAAAAAGAUUCACAAUCUUAGUUGUUGACAUUUUUUGUUUUCUGUAGCUGUUUUUACUGUUAAAAUUUUAGUUCACUUGUUUUUAAUAUAUAUUUUGAAGAGAAGAGUUAGAAACAAGGGGAUGGAGGUAAGCCUAAGAUUGUUGCUAAUCAACUGCUUUCUUUCAUUCACAUAAACUGCAAGUGGCUGCUAAUCAUUUCUACCUGAUUUAUUCAUUUGCAUUAUACAUACACCAACCAUUUAUUGGAAAUCGUUAAAUUUUUUAUUAUUUUCACAUGUGGAUGAAUGAGACUUACUUAAAUAAAUGAAUGAAUUAACGAAGUAUUAAGAGAAAUAUUGGAAUCAAAUGCUUUUUAUUAAUAUGAAAAAAGGUUCAUUAUGGUAGAACUUUUGUAGAAAAAUUUAUUCAUGCAUCUAUUCGCAUGAACUAAAGUUGGGAUAUAAAUUUUUUCUUUCCCUAAUCAAUUCAAUCUUUGUCAACCAUGCUUAUAAUGAACAGAAGAACAAAAUGAAAAUCAAUUCCCAAGUUAUGUUCAACUUUAGUUGCAUUUUCCAUAGAGAAUACAUGUGGUUCGAUUAGUUGAAAAUAUCUAGAAGUUGAUUUCAUGAUGGUGGAUAUCUGUCAAGCUUAUGUCGUUAACUGUAAAGUUGAUUUGAUCAACAAAACAGAGUAGAAAAGAAUUGGUACGAGUAUUAUACCUCGCCAUAUAUUCACGUCGAACACAAUCUGAAUGAAGCAACAGACAUGAGACAUGACAUCAGAAGAACUAUACCGACGUAUCCCGAAGUCGAAAACGAGUUAUUUAGCCACAGAAUUCACCCACUAGGAUUUCCCUGCUGCUGAAAUGGUGUAUAGGGACUUAAGCUGUCUGCUUAUGAGCUUGCUGUCAUGGAGAGCUAACUGAAGCUGCAAAUCAUCAGACCACCAUUGUUCCAAUCCAUGAGCUUCAAGAAACUUCUGCUUUCCUUUUGACAUUACAAACAACUUUGCUGCUGCCGCCGCUGCUACUGUUCUCCCAUUUGUGGUAUUAACAUUCUCUUUCCCUUCGUUAAUUUUCUCUACUUGAUCUGAUUUUUCAGUAUAUGAACAGCAUAUAUAAUCACUAUUAUUUACAUAUAAAUGAGGAACCCAUUUACCAAUUCCCACCACCCCAGGAUUCUUUAAUCUGUUUAGAUUCGAUACCCAACUCUUUAAACCAGUUCCUCCAUAUGAUUUUUCUUCUUCAGUAUUGCUGCUGUUCACUAUUGUUUCACUCCCUGAAGGAAUCAUUGAUUUGAUUCUCUUCCAAGCAAAUUCUGCUUUUUCUCCAAUGUUUCUCAAACUCAUAGCCACUGAAACAGAAGGAGGAUUGAACAAAUGAGUUUCAACAUAAAUUCCUUCUUUAGCUAAGGCUUUCCCCACUUGUAGAGCAAACCCAGCACCUAAGGAAUGACCAGCAACACAAACAUUGUUGCUUCCAUAACUCUCAGCAACUGAUUUCAAUGCUUCCAAAGCUACAUUAAACCUGACAGAACCCUUUAGGCUUUCCCAAGCGAGGAACCGAAGGUCGUCCUCGAUAUCCCUGCGGAUUGUUGGGCUUUUGAGUAAUGUCCCUCUUAAGGCCAAAACUGCCCUUGGUGCACCACUGGGUCUGAUGACUACUAGAUCAGCCAUGGCUGCAGACCUAUCCCAUUCUAGUAUUGCACCAAAUAUUGAUCCAUCUCUUUCAUCAAUUAAGGUUUGAACUAGCUUGUAUUUGAAGGGGAUCCACCAUUUGGGAGCUAGAGCAUUUUCUUUGUUGCUUCUGUUCUCUUGUCUGUCUAGUUCAAGCAAGUAAACUGCUUGAAUAAAACAGGCCAUAACAGUUCUUUUGUAAUUCCCAUCCUUCCUGCAGCAAAAUUCUUCAUCAGCUUGAACAUGCAUAACAUUAUAAAUUUAUAUUCUUUAACCCAAAAUCUAAAAAUCUAAGCUUAGCUCAAACCAUGGACCAAGAGUUGUAUGGAUCAAAUCCUCCACUACCAUAUUGUUGAACUCAACGGAGGAAAAAAAAAAAGAAAAGUGAAUAUCAAGUUGCACCUUUUAAAACUUAGAGUCGGAUCUAUUCCAAAAAAAUCUAAAAAAGAUGGUAUGAAUUUAAAUUUAAAGCAUGCAUAAACAUAACAAUUCACAUCCCCUUCCAAAUUUCAAUCAACCAAUUUGAUUAGGAAGUUGUUUUAUGGAUUCUUAAAUGUGUAUACUUCUUCAAAAUGGGUUUUACAAAAUAAACCAAUUAGACUACAUGCAUUCACGUUUUCUAAAAAAAAAUUAUGGAUUAAAAGUCUAAAUUGAUUCAUUAACAAAAGUUAAGAGGUUUAAUUAAUAUAUUUAGAAGUUUCAUUUUUUUAAAUGGAAAGUAACUUAGGAUAAUUGAUAUAAUUAUUAGCUCAUAUUUAAAUUGAUACUACAUCAAAGUUUACGGAUAUAAAUUCAUAUUUUUUAUAAAAGAAUAUUAGUUAACCGUUGUAAAUCAAUUAAUAAACCAAAAUUUUCAAACAUUCAGAUUCUCAAAAAUGUUUGAGCAUUCAACAAACAUAUUGCAUACAAAUUUCAAGUCCAAAUACGUACUCUGCCUAAACUCACAAGAUCUAAAUGAGGACUCAAGUUCUUAGACCAUUUUAAGCCAAUUGAUGGAUGUUAAGUAUCGAAAUUAUACUGAGAGCUGUAUUUAGAAAUAACAGAAUGAACAAGAAUAUUAACAAAAGUAUAGCAAAAAUUGAAAAUCUAUCAAUUAUAUCAUCCAUAGAUUAUAAAAUUUUGUCCUAUAGAACAGUAUUGUACUGUAAUUUAUCCUUAUUAUUAAAUAUUAAAAUAUCAUUUUGCUCUUUAAUAUUUAGAAAAUUUUCAAUAUUCCACAUACAACCAAUCUUAAAAAUAAUCAUUGUUGUAAAAGAAAAAAGCAAAAGUUUCUACUACCCUCCCUCUACCUCUAUACAUUUAGCAUACUAUUUUUUUUUUCAGGAAAAUUAUGGCCAUUAUUUAUUUAUUUUUCUUCACAAAUAUUAAUUUGGACGGAACAAAUUUAAAAUUCAAUUGAAAGUAAUUAAACUAAAAUAGAAUGACAUUUUUAAAAAAAAAUAAAAUACAAUACCGUUAUGGUAUUUUAACCUAGGCAAAAUUUAGCCCAUGAUGAAGCUCAAUGAAGGGAAAAAAAAAAGAAAAAGUAGGGAGGAUGAUCAGAAGAAAUGGUUGGAUUUUGAAGUAGAAAAGAUGAAUUAAGUUACCAACUGGAAUUAAUGAGGUCUCGCCAAUUAGGAGAAGUAACAUUUCGAGGUCCAGAUACAUGAAAAGCGUAGGGAUGAGCCUCCGCCGCUGGCACCGCCAUCGUCGUCGUCGUCUUGGCCGGUGUUAGUUCCGCGGCAUCACGACUUGCCAUUAACCCUCUCUUCUUCUUCUUCUUCUUCUUCUUCCUCUGGUUGGGUUUGAGAGAGAGGGAGAAAUGUAAGUAAUUAAGAGAGUGAGAAAAAAGAAAGAGAGUAUUUGAGGGGAAAGUUUGGGGAAUUUGGUUUAUGGGAACACUUGGAAUCGGAUUCUAUGUGGAGUUCUUCAAAUAUUUUCCUUUUUAUUUAUUUGUUCAUUUGAAAUUGAAUUAUAUAAUAUAAUAUCAAAAUGAUGCCGAAACGUCUGCCUUUCCUCCAUCUUCAACGGUCAUAUUUUCAUGUUCCUUAAUUCUCUUCCUUUCCCUUUUCCGUAAAUGACCAAACUACCCUUCCUCUUUCUUUUCUUUUUCUUUUUCUUUUUUCCUUAAAUGUUAUAUCAAUUUAAAUAUAAAUAUGUUUAAACCAUGAACUUUUACUAACGCUUUGAUUUAAACUAUUUAAGCACACUUAUAAAAUAAUUUAGAGUUUAAAUUUAUAUAACUCUUACAAUUUUAGGUUUAAGUUGAUACAAUUAUUAGUUUAAGAUUUAAAUUUAUAUAUCUUCCAAAGUUUAAGGGUAUAAAUUGAUAUUCUACUCUCAUUUGCUCCUCUAGCUUUUGUCUUUUAGUAUCAAUGUUGGCUCAGCAUAGUGCUUUCACUAUUGACGUUCUUUCCGAUCUCUACGCAUUUCACUGUUCCACAAGAAAUUCUCUCUACUUUACCGUAUUUUAGCUUGGUAGUUUCCACCACCUGUCAAGGAUUCAUUUUUUUUUAAAGUAUAAUUGGAGGUAAGGAGAUUCAAGCCAUGAAUCUACUAUCGAUAUACUCAUAUGUCAAUUUGACUAUACUUCUAACCAUUAAAUGGAAAUUUAGUCGUAUAAUUUCUAAAGCUUAAAUUUAGUCAUUUAAAAUUGUUUUUCUUCUUUUUAAAACUUAUAGUUUUUUUUUUCUGUAGUAUCAAUCUUGAGAUUUGAUGUUCAAUUCUCUCGACAUGAAUUACUUUAAAAAUUAUUGAAAAUACAUAGACAAAAAUUUUAAAUUAUAGAAACUAAAAGAAAACAAGAGUAAAAAACGAAAACAAAAUAAUAAUUCUUUUUUUAUUAUUAAAAUUCACUUUUAAUCUAUAAAAAAAAAAAAAACUAAUUUAGCCAUUAGACUUUGAUUUAUAACCAUUUGUACUUUAAAAUAUCCAUUCUUUUAGUACAAAAAUUUAUAAUAAGAUAUUCAAUAUUUUUAGGGAUAGUUGCAAAUUUAGCAAUUAAAUUCAAAAUAAUUAAGUAUUUUUUUAAAAUUGCAAAUAUAGCAAAAUUUGUCAAAUUCUAUCAAUGAAAGAGUCUAUCACUGAUAGACCAUGUUAUAAAAAUUAGUCUAUCACCGAUAAAUCAUACGAGUAUAUCAGUGAUACAAGUCCAUAUAGUUUUGCUAUAUUUGCAAUUUUUUAAAAAUAUUGUUAUAUCCUUCAUUAUUAUUCUUCAAAUGGUCAUCCAUUACAAUUACCCAUAUUUUUAUUAAAUACAUCGUCCACAUCAUAAACUAAUAAUAAUAAUUAACAUUCAGUUUAGAGAAAAUUAUGUACAAUGAAGAGUACAAAUUUAAAACAAUAAUAAUAAAGUUUAAAUACUAAAUUGUUACAAAAUUUAAAAAAUAAUUACUAAAUUAAAUGUAUAGAAUUUAAACUUUGUAUUUUUAAACUUUUAGUGAGUUCUUUAAAUUUCUUCCUCAAUUUUAUAAUUUGUAGAAUAUAAGAAAAUUUUAGAUUUCGAUAGACUUUGAUAAAAAUUAAUAAACAUUGAUAAACUAUUAGUGUCUAUCAAAAUUACUGAUAGAUUUAUAAACACUGAUAAUAUAUAAAAUUUUGCUAUAACUUCUAAACAUUUUUACCAAUUGAACGGUAAAGUCUUGAAAAACAUUGAAGGAAAAGGCUGAAACCACGGGGUUGAGUUCAUUAAUGAUUUCAUUUUAAUCUAAAAAAAAUUAAUUGUCCAAGGAAUUGUGGAUCUUGCUACUAAAAUUAUUAAUUUAUAUCUUAUCAAACUCAUUCUAACUAAGUUCAUAACUAACUGACUUCAUAACUCUUUACUAUUCUUUACCACUCAUAGCUCCUUAAAUUAUACAUACUUAUACCUUUAUUACAAUUAGUGGAUAUAUAUAGAUAUAUAUAUAUAUAUGAAACCUCUAAAAUUUUAUUAGUGUAUUGAUUUAGAGUAGUCUCAUAUAAUUGCAAACCUAGCUAGAUUCAAAAUAUUAAUAUAACGAAAUGUAGUUAUUAAUCUUAAAAUUGUUACUGCAAUUACCCAUAAAUUUUCCAUAAAAAAAUGUGUAUCCAUAUGUUCCAAUGGUAUAUUUUAUUAGUUCAAUAUAUAGAUAUAUGCAUGCAAGAAUUGAUGAAAGAUGAUUGAUUUUUUUUAGCCAUGAAUCUAAAUCGUUGAAAGUAUAUUUAUUUAUUGGCAUUACUAUUAUUUUGUUGCCAUUUUGUAGCUUCAAUUAUUUGUGGUGAAGCUAUUUUGGAUCAUAAUUAUAUAUAUAUAUAUAUAAGAAAAUGAAGUGGAUAUAAAUGCACAAUGCAAAUUAAACAAAAUAAAACAAAAAGAAAUAAGAGAAAAAUCAUAGCCUCCAAAAUCAAGUUCCUCUCCCAGUUCCAGUAAUGGAGAACAGAAGCCUUAGAUUUUUCAUUUGAAAACCAUCAAAUCAUGGCCUCCAAUUUCAUUAUUGGAUUUCAUUGCUCAAAUCCACACUUUUCUUCUUCUUCUUCUUCUUCUUCAAAUCUGCUGCAUAAUAAAUCGCUGCCCUUCAAGUUCCAUUCUCGUUGUUCAUCUUCUUCGAGAAAAUUCGCUGUUUCCGAGAGCGCCGAGGGUAGAGUUAACGAAGAGGAAUUUCUCAUUUCGUCUUCUUCUGGUAUGUGUGUUAAUUCACUGCUUAAAUGUGUAUUUUCUUGAUUUGUUCUUUGUUUUGUCUCUUUGCUGCUUGUUUAUUUGUUCCCUUCGUAAUUGAUUCUUCGUUCUGUAAUUCUAUAGUUUAAUAUAUUCAUUUUCAAUGGAUGAAUUCCUAUUUGUAAAUCUGAAUGGUUUGGGUUUAAAAUUCUAUUUGAGAAUAUGUUAUUAAGAGAAUGGACAUUAUGGACUCCCUUUUGAUGUGGAAGAUCCAAUUCCAAUCCAACUGGUCUAUCUAUACAAAUAUAGUAAAGUAAUGCUCAUCUUGUUUUCCUUGGUUCAAUAUAUUUCUACUUUCUAGGCUUUGAAUAGUAUAAAUCCAUCUGCAAUUCAGUUCGGGUGCUUUUAAAAAAUUUCAUUAUCAUUUUCGGGUCACCAUAAAAUUUGAAACCUAAGAAGCACGUAACAAGGAUACGACGUGAUAUGAACACGACGACAUAUCAUGUUUUAAAAAUCUAGGACAUGAUACGGCAAUGACACACUUAUCAAAAUAUUCACUUUUUAAAAAUAUAUAUCAUGUUUAUGAUAAAAGAAAUUUCAUAUUAAAUAAUUUAAUGCAUUUAUAUGCUUAAAAAACCUAGUUCGAUGUAUUUCAUACUCAUAUGUGUCUUUUUAGUCUACCCAAUAAGUGUUCUAUGCAUACUAACAAGUGUCGGAUAGCUAUCCACCAAGUGUCGACCUAAACACGCUAGCUAAACUAAAGUAUUUGUAUUCUUUGUUUGGAACUAUUUAUUUUUCCUAUUAUUUGUGGAAAUGUUAUCAAACAUUUGUUAAUAGCAAGAAAUAGACAAACCCAGUUAGUAUCUGUGGUUUCAUUAGAAAAAGAAUAACAAAACUUCAUCGGACAAUGUCAACAGCUUGCUAUUAGGACGAAAUAUGAGGGCUAUCGAAGUUUAGAAAUCUACUUGAAACUAAAGUUAAACAAUGAGUCUAAAAGUGUAGUUUAUGUCAUUUUGAUCUUAAUAUUUUGAGGAUUGCUCAAUUUAAGUUUCUAUACAUGACAAAGUAUCUUGAGUUUAGUUCACAGUGAUAGUUUAUUGUUCAUUUUUAAUUUUUUAAACAACUGUGUUAUCUAUGUAUUUUUACUAUAAAUUUUGAAUAUAUAUUCGUAUAUUAUAUUUCUUUAUUUCCUUGCAUGAAAUUUAUUGUUACUCUUUUCGUAAAUUUUGCGAGACUAAAUUUAAGAUUUAUCGAAACUACUAAUACUAAAAUUGAACAAACUUGAAAGUAUUGGAACGAAAAUGUUAUUUUAAUCUUAAUCUUAUUGUGUAUAGAUUAUUUAUCAUUAUUUUUUUCCCCUCAACUGUAUAGGAUCAUCUUCUUCUGCACGCACACAACUCGAUCUCUUGGAGCAGCUCUCUUCUGGUAGCCAAUUAGUUGAUGGUAAGUCAGCUGUGACUCUCUUCUCUAAACAACUAAACAAAGUGAGAACGAAAUAGAAUGGCAUUGGCUUUCUUUCAUUGAACUUGAUAGAGAUGAGUUCACUUGAACUUACUGAGAUUAUGUUAUGUUGUCAGGUUAUGAAAGCGAUGGCAGUUACGGGAAAACUACUAUUCGUGAUCAACUUGCCCAAUUGUUCAGAGACAGAGAUGACGAUUUUACCGUUCCUUUGGGCAAGAACUUGAAGAAGGUUAGUGCCAAGUUUUUGACAAUUUCUCAGAAGAGGAAUAUCAAAAGACAAGCAUACCUUAAUGAAGUAUCUCAAAGAAACGAUUCUGUUUUCUUUGCUACAGUUGGAGCAUUUGUAAUUUUGCCCCCUAUUGUAAUAUUAGGAAUUGCUAUACUAACUGGUUAUGUGCAACUUUUUCCAUGAUAUAUAUUCUAUACAUACAUCUUAUAUAUAUAUAGAAAUGAUUAUCACUUGAUACUGAAGAUUCAUUGCACAUUCUUUUCAUCUUUAUGUGAUUAUAUCAUCUUAGUUCUUUUGAAUGCCAUAUUGUUCCUUCUAUGUUUCUAAUCUUCAACUUCUACUUCUAUAUUUUGGUCACUGCUUCAUAUAUGAUUUUACAAUUUAAGAAUGGUAAGUUUUGAAAUUUUGUUGUGGAACCGUAUGUAUAUGUUUACUAAAUUUUAGUUUUUGAAAAUUAGAAUUUAGUUUAGGUUAGUGCCUCUUUGGUCUAUGAACUUUCAACUGUGUUUGAACAAGUGCCUGAAAUUUCAACUUUGUGGCUAAUGGUUUCUUGAAAAAUUGUGUCUCACAAGUCCUUGACUAUAGUUUUUUCUUUUGGAUAAAUUCAUUUUUUUGAAAAACUUAAUCGAUGUAAGUUUAUAUAAGUUUAUAAGACUUAAUUGUUGGAUCUAUUAGAUAUGGAGAUCUAUUCUAUAAGUUUGAAUUUUAUGUUUAACAGAAUACUAAACCUUCAAUUUUGUGUUUAGGAUAUUCAUAGAUUUUAAAUUUGCAAGUUUAUAGACUAAAUUUGUAAUUUAACUUUUAAUUUAGACCUCGUUUGAUUCGUGACAGAAAGAAUUGAGUAGAAAACUUUCUUUUACCAUAUUCAAAAUUCAAAAUUUGUGUUUAGGUGUGAAUUUGAAAAUGGAACAGCCCAUCCUUUGUUUAUAAUUUCUAAAAGCAAAGGAAAUGACAAUUUAUUGUUUUUGAAAAUGUGCUAUUUCAAGGUUGUUUUUUAAAAUCGAUUUUAGAAAUAAGUAUAUCAAACAAGAUUUAAUUGUACUUUUUGUUUUUGAGGGCAUAAAAACGAAAAUGAAUCACAGACCAAAUGGAGACUCGAUUUCUUUUAUUUUGUAUCAUCAAUCAAGAAUAUUGAGAAUUCUACAAUAAAAAUAAUAUAGAGACCCUACAAUCUUUAUAUGCUAGAUCAACUGCUCCUUUUGUUGCUAAUUUAUUUUGAGACUAAAUCAUGAUAUCUAAUCUUGUGAUAUUAUUAAAAGAGCAAUAUCAGUAUCUGUGCUCACAUCUUUAUUCUUCAAAAAAAGAAAACUUUGUAUCCAUUAUGUGAAAAUCUGUAAUAGAAAACAGAAAAAAACUCACAUUGUCUUAUCAAAAAAACAUCUCCUCCAAACCCAAAAGAUUUUCCAUUUCUUACAAAGACCACACUCUUUUCCUAUACAAAUCCCAAGAAGAAGAGAGAAAUGAGUAAGAAGAAUAACACCAAUCUCAUGUUAGUGAAAAGAGAGAAAAAAAAAAAGAAAGAAAGAAGCAACGUUUUGACAACUCUAUUUUAUUUACUCCUUAAUUCUUCAGCAUGGAUCAGUAGGAAGUUCCUUUUGCUUGUCAUUUGGAGACAGUACUACCAAAUCAUUCCCCAAAGUAACUCCUUGCUUUUGUAUAUACUCUACUUUGUCUUGGAAUAGGUAAAAGAAUGAUAUCAAAGAAAUUUCAACACUAAAAAUUAUAGUCCAAAUUCUUAUACUUUGAGAUGUUUUCUCAUGGUAUGCAAAUAAUCCUGAGUAUACAUUGAAAACUCCUAGCAGAGAUACUGCUGUCCCAAGCAUCCAAUGUAUGAAAAACCAUACGCUUCUUGUUUUAGACCCCCUGCAACAGUCAAUGAAGAGUUUAUUUAGAGUUUAGAAGUCGAUAUCAAUAUCGUCCUGACUGUUUACUCCAUCUAGAUAAUCUGCAGUUGAUUUUGGAGUAAGAAAACUUUGCUCGUUUGUUUGUUUGGUUUUGAAAUGUUCAUCUGUACCCCUCAACCUUAGAGGUUGAAUUAAUUCCAACUUUGAAGUUUUGCAAGUGUAUCCUCUCUAUUACAUUUUGGUGUGUAAACUCCUAGACAUACGUUAAUGAAUCAAUAGACUCCUAAUUAUAUUUUUUUUAUUGGAGAAUUGUGUCCAUACAUUCACUCUAAUAAUCUAAUUUUGUAAAAUUUUACAUUUGAAGAGAAGCUUAGAUGUAUUUGUGCAUCAAUAUAUUGAUGAUUUUCAAAGGUAAUCAUAACGAAGGGUCUAAGUUGAUUGGCUUAUUGAAAUUUUGGAGUUUAAUUGACUCGAAUUAUAAGUUUAACGUAGUAUUGGUUAAACAAAAAUUGGAAAGGGUAAAUUAAUGAAAAAUCAUAGUUUAAAUUGAAAAAAAUCUAAAGUUUAGGGGUAUAAGUUGAUAUGCAGAGUAUUUUUUAACAAAAGAUUUAUUAGAGACAUGAUUGAUGAAUAGGGUUCGCAAAAGUUGUUUUUGUUCAAGUCUUUUCUUGUAUGCAUUGACCAAUUUUUACAACAACCAAUAUUCUUCAUCAAUCCAAAAUUAGGCUCGAACAAACAUUUAAGGGUGUUUCGAGUCAGAACUAAGUAAGACUAAGACUAUUAUACAUUAAAUCCUAUUUAAAAAUUUCACAAUAAACACUAUUUCAAAGCGUUUUAUUUGUUAUUACUAUUUGGCAUUCAUCUUUUAUUAUUCUUUGCUACAAUAUUUAUUAUUUACUUCUGAUCAUACUAAAAUAGUUUAUAGUCCAAACACAUAUCAUUAUAACUCAAGCGCUCUCUUAGUCUUAGAAUGGUUUUGAAUAUAGAACAAGAUAGUGUGAAACUUAAUUUUAAAAAAUAAAAUUGUUAUCAAACGGGACUUUAAUGACUCUUUCCAAGAAACUAGCGAGGCUUUAUAAUCAUAUGAAAUAUGAAAGUUUACCUUUUUGGCCUUACAAUUCCAAUCAACCCCUGUAACCAGAUCAUCCCAUACAAGCCAAUCCCUAUCCUUUGGUGAUUAUUAUUGAAAGCAUUGUUGAAUUUCUUGAUAGACAUGACUGCUCCUGCUGUGACUAGUAAUACAGACACUAUCUGUUCAACAUAAUCAAAUCAAGAUAAUAUGAUAUUAAUGGCUGAUUUAACAACUCAUUGUGAGAAUGAAAAAUACUAGCAUUAUAAUCACUUGAACCACGACUGUUUGAUCUUGAAGUGAGAUUCAUCAAAUUGGACCCCAUCUUUGUGGUUGAAGUAUAAUCAAAAUCCUUCAACUGUCAUACAAAUUUUGUAUCAUUUUGACUUUCCAGAGCUAAAUCUCACCUAACUCUAAUAUUAUAAUCCAUACACCUGCUAGAUUUUCAACAUUACAGAUAUUUGGCUAUGAGUUUCUAAUUAGUUAUGAUGUGAUGAUGCCUGUCUUUUCUUUCUUCACAAGUAUAUUCAUGUAUAAGAUAUUCAGAAUCAGGACCCUUAUAGUUUCUCUUUAACUAUAAUUAAUUUCAUAAAGUAGAGCAAGAAAAAGUGGAUUGUUUGCUUGUUUAAUAAAAAGUUAAAGUUAAUUGCCUUAAUGAUGCUUCUACAUUUAUUGUUUGUUUAGUUAUAAAGGAUUCUUCUUUAUGUAAACAAUAACAAAAACAAAAAAGAACGUUCAUUUUAGUAUUUGAGUGUAUUGUUUAGGGGUGAGUAUCGGUUUGUUGGGUUUGGUUUUCCGACUAAACCGACACUGAAUCGACUGUGAUCGACUUAGUUAAAUGUUCAAACCGAUUCCUGUAAUGAACGAGUACAAAAAAGAUCGGUUGAUUUAAGUCUUUGAAUAUUUUUUAAAAUUGUUUAAACUGACACUAACCUCUCCUCUCCUCAGUUCGAUUAGUUUUGUUCGGCCGGCUCAGUUUUUCAUUCUAUUAUGAUAUUGCUAGAAAAGAUUAGAUGAACUUGCCUGUAGAAUAGUAUGAAUGUAAAAGUAAUAUUUCAGCUUUCUUCCACAUUGCUCUCUGUUAGACAUUCUGAUAACAAGAAUCCCAACAGGCAUAAGGAAUCCCAUUGAAGCCCAUAGGAGAAAUCCAUGGAGUGUGAUAUCAAACAAUAGGCUGGAACUCAUCUGUUGCCAUUAUAUAACCAGUAAUCAAUUUCAGCUUUAAUUACAUUACAAACCACUUUUCUCAUUACAUGUAAAAUAUGAACUGAAAGAAGAAAUGGAAACCUUUUGGCUGUUGUCUUUCUUGCUUGAAUGAAUCAUGUCUUCGUUUUUGUUGUGCUGUUGAGAUGAGCUGACUUGUUGAAAUGUGAGAAGAAGAAAGAUAAAAAGUAUUGAACUUGGAGGGAUGGAUAAAGUAAAAGCCGUCUUCUGCAAAAAUAGCAUUGUUUAUUUGGUUCUGAUGAAAGAAGCACAAAGCAGAAUGGUGAAGCCACCCUUGUAGGUUGUUGCUAUGGAUUUCACAAGGGAUCUUGAAAGCUUUUGUAGCAAUAAGGAAAAAGGAAAAAGUAGAACAAUGUCAGAGGAGGACCACUAAAGGUAGUGAUCAAUAAUGCCCAAAAGAGGACACUGGACUAUGGUACUUGAUUUUUCUCAACAAAUACAACUACUCAUCUCUCUAUCUAAUCGAUUCACCUAAAAGCUUAAGUUAAUAGAUAAAUGUAAAUCGCUCUUCCCAAACCCCCUUGAAAUAUCUGUACUCGCUCACUUUCAAACAGCACAAUUACCCCAAGUAUACAGAAGAUCAACUUUUACAAAAUGAUCCCAAGGUUGGAAGUUUGAUCUUCAACAACUUUCUUUUGACUUUAACAUCAAAAGGUACAUCAUAUACACAUUUUAUUUUCUUUCAGUUUCUCAUUUUCUCAUACGAUCUAGAAAGCAAAAGAAAAAGAAAAAGUGGGAAAUGCUUGAAGUUGGUGAUACUUACAACCCACUUUUUUAGUAUCAAAACAAAAUUCAAAGUGGGGGUAUGGGUAAUAAAUAUAUAUAGUACGUACUAUAGACAGUUUUCAACCAUGUGGGGUUCACUGUGAAAUUGUAUAUCAUUUUAUAUGGUGUGAAAUGAAGAACAAUGUAGUAGUGGAAUUUUACAGCAAAAUAGGAACAAAUUUUGUUGAGGCAGAAUAUAUGAAAGUGGUUUGUUAGUGGAAACUGCUCAAAAGCAUUAUCUUUUGUUGGUUUUUUGUGUAUACUCACACACACACACACACAUACGCCAUGGUCGCCCCACAUACACACAUUCAACAAAUUUGUUUGUUUCCAUUUGAUUGAACAUUAUAUUCACGGGUCUAUACUCUCCUUACAUUCUCACUUAAUUAACUGCUCUUUAUUUAUAUCAAUGGAAUCUCUCUCUAAUUCCUAUCUUUGAUCAUCAUUUUUUGUUUUCAUUGCAUCAUCUUUCACUCAUCUAAUUAUUUAUCGUUGUUAUUUAACUAUACAAAUUAAUUACUACUUCUUCGUCUUGAGGUUAUAGUUGAAUUGAUAUAUGUCGUUACGUGUUGAUUGUAGAUAGAGAUUUAAACAUAUGUUCAGGGUAGAGAUAAUGGUGUCGUGUAGCCAAAUGUCAUUCAUUGUUAAACUACCACUAAGCUCGAAAGCUUUUUUUUCUUUUUAAUGUGAUAACUAAACCUACAUAGAUCCAUACACUCGAACCUCUUCAUAAAUAGUAAAAGAAAACCAAUUAGGUAAACUCAAAAGAAUCCAUAUUAAUUAAAAAAAAGAAGAUGAUUUUAUGUAACUUUCACACAACGAGGGCUUCAAGACAAGAGGCACAAACUUGAACCUCCUCGCAUCGUUCUUAAUCGUCCAUUUUCCCCCAAUUUUCUCACAACCAAGAAAAGCUUAAGGCAUAAUCGACUAUGUAGUAAUUAACUUAAUUAUAUCAAUACUUCGACACCUUCUAUAACAUUGUAAAAAUUCAUAGUAAUUAAAACAUGGUCGUAUACGAUCUCUUGCUCUAAUACAAUAUUAAACCACCACCAAAUCUAAAAGCUUGAGCUAAUGGAUUUGUGCAUAAGAUUAAUUUUCACCGUUCACCCAUCAAUAAAUGGUUGGUUGCACUAGCUUUCACUUUGAAUAAGAUUUUUACCGACUUGAACCAAAUUUCACACCCGAACGAGAAAAGAUUGAAAAAGUUGUUCUAUAGUCUACACUACCAUAAAAUCAGUUAAAAAGUGCAUAGGAAAAAGCAUUUUUAAUUAAUUGGCAAAAUUGCUUAUAGAUUCAAUGGUUGAUUAUGAUUAAUGUAUAAUUUUUCUACUCAUAGACCAAAGAAGAAGCAUGGAGAUCUAAAAAGGUGAAGUGGUGGGUAAGAUAAAAAAAAAAAAAAAAAAGUUAGGAUCCAUCCAAAUUAAUUGUUAUUAAUUACUAUUAUGGUUGAAUCUUUUUCACAAGAUAUAUUGUUAAUUAAUGAUUAUUGCUUUUUGAACCCGUGAUUAUUGUUGCUAAUUAAAGUAAUUAAAAUUAACCCAUUUGAGAUCAUUCAACAAAGUCUACACUAAAGAAGAAAACUUUAGGGUUAUUUUAGUUUCAUAAAAUUUGAUAAUGAUUUCACAAGAGAUAUUAUUAAUAUAAUAUAUGUUAUCCAAAUUGUAAAUACAUAGAUCUUAGGAUAAGUUUACUUUUUAUCAUCAAUUUUCUUCCAACGUUCGUUAUUAGUUAAUAAGUAUAGGUUCAACAAUAAAAAUCACUGACUCGUUUAGAUUAACUUAAGAAAAACAAUACGUUUCAAGAAACUUUUUCUUUUUAUUUAAACUCUUUUGGUGAAAAUUGUUUAAAUACACUUCCAAAACUAUUUUGAGUGUUCAAUUUUUUUCGAAGUAACUUAUUUUUAGAACUUAACACUUAAAAUUGUAUUCCGAAUAGACUCUUAAUCACUAAAAAAGCAUUUGGAACGAGGAGUAACUUGUAAUAGUCUACGUUUGGGAUGCAAACUAUUAUAAUUUCUGUUAUAAUAGUCUAUGUUAUGAUAGCAAGUGCAGACUAUUUACAAAUCUUUUUUUUUUUUAAACAACGACGAUUUGGUUUUUUUACAACGUUGAUAGAAAGUAUGUGACAAUUUGAUAAAUUUAGAGAUGGAAGAGGAGGAGAAAUCAAACGAUUACCCAAAUUAAUUAUUUUUUUUUCCAAAGGUAUUGAAUUAAAGUGGAUAGUAAAGAAAUUGAGCUUCUAACCUCAAAGAUAUUGAAUUAAAAUGCGUUGAUCAACUAUGAUCGUAUUGGUAAAGUUGUAUUAUAUUAUUAUUAUUUGAUGAUAUAUGGGUUAUAAAAUGAAACUAAUUAUAUCAUCAAAGUCAAUGAUAAAAGUUGUAGAUGAGUUGAUAUUUAGUGUUUGAAUUUUAAAAUAUUUCUAAAAGUGUAUUACAAAACAAAGAGAAAGAGAGUACUAUAAGGUAACAAAGUUUUAUAGAAACAAAUAUUAAAUGGUGAUGUGAGUACAUCAUAAUUAAAAUGAGAGAUUAUAAAAAAUAUAUACAUAUAAUUAAAACCAUUGUUAUAUGAUUAAUUGAUUGGCAAAAUUUGAGUUUGAAGCUUAAUCAAGUGGUUUUUUUUUAUAUAUAUAAUUGAAUUAGAGAGAUUUAUAAAAGAGAUUAGUGAUUAGUACUAUCUAACUAAUUAGAAGCCUUUUCUUUCUUUCUCUCUUUUGUCUUUUUAAAAAAGAUAAACCAAAUUAUACUUUAUAUUAAAUAUAAUGCCUUGCCCAUCAUCAUUACUCUCUCUCUCUCUUUAUGUCAAUCUCACAUAUUGAUAUUAUUAGUUCAUGUUUGCUAAACUACCUUCAAUUUGGCUCCUAUAAUCUUUUUCAUACAAAUUUUCUUUUAAUUUUGUGUUUAAUAAUGAUUAUAAUCUAAAGUUUUAAUUUUGUCGUCAAACAAAAGUUAACAAGUAAAGUGAGUUUAGCUUAAUCAUAAUUGACAUAAAUUUUUAUUCUCAUAUACUUUUUUAGAUAUAUAUACAUUAGACUCAGUUUAAAGAAUUUUAGAAUCUUAUUAGCAAAAUUCUAAAAGUUGGUAGUAUUGAACUUUGUAAUUAAAUUUGUUAUUAUAUCAUAUUUUUGUGAGUUUGAACAAACAAAUAAAUUAGUUUAAUUAGUCUCAAAGUUUGAUGAAUGGCUGAGUACAUUAAGUAUAUAUAGAAUAUCCUCCAAAGUGUGAUAACAAAUGAAAAAGGAUUGUAAGAAACAUCCAAGAUAACAUUUAAUCAUUAAGUUUGUCCAAUAAAGCCUACCUUUUGAGUUGUUCUAGUAGCUAAGCUUUUGAGAAAGAAAUGAAAUAAGAAUACAUACAAUGUUGCAAAGAGAAUGGUAGCUAGAGAGUAAGAUUCUUAAUUAUAUAUAUUAUAUGAUGUUGUUGAUAAUAAAAUUUGGUCAAAGUAACCUUUGGGUAGGUAGGAAUCUACUAAGAAUAGCAAUCCAUAGUCAUGUUUUAUAUGUAAGAAAAUGCUAGAUUAGGGCACACGAACACAUAAAUAUCAUAAAUGGGUCGUCUAUCCGAAGGUCAAGUUGGUCUAAGCGUUUAAAGUCGAGGCAAAGAUCUUUCCUAACUAAUUGAAAUUUGUUUGAAAUGAGACAACUUUUCUUAUCUUACACAUAUAUAACCCUUUUUAUAGGUUCAAAAUUACUCGUAAUAUAGGUUACAUGCCAUUGCUCUUUCUUCUCUACUCUACUUGAGUUUGAUGGGGAGAGUGCCAAGAAAGAGAAAGGUCAUCAAAGAAAAUACACAUUUUGGAGAAAGAUUUUGAGAGAUCAUAGCAUAAGAACAAAUGUUGAAUUUUGGCCACCCUUAAGGCUGACCAAUUAAUUUCAUCUCUUCCACUCAUUUUUUUUUUAUCAUAUAUCUUUUGAACAUUAAUUUAAUUUAAAGUAAAAGGGGGAAAAAAAAGAAAGAAAGAAAGAGAGAUAAAGGAAGUUAUAAUUGUGCUAUUUUUCAUUAUGGAGUAAAAGAAAAGUUGAUGCAAAUGAUUCAACAUAGCAUCACAUUGAUGUUUUACCUAGCCUCUUAUCAUUGAAUUAAUGACCUAAACAAUAAUCUUAAUUACAAAAUGACUAUCCAACACAAUAUGAUGAAGAACUUUAUGGUACUAAUUAAUUUGAUUAUCCUAUAUGUUUUUGUAUGUGAUUUUUUGAGAAAAGUAAAAUUUAAUCUAUAAAUUAUGUAAUUAGAAUUUAGUAUCUAUAAUUUAAUCAAAAUUUCAUAUAUAAUUAAACGGUGUAUGUUUUAUCAAGUCAUGAAAUUUGUAAUUAUUUUAUAAUUAUGAAAAAUAUCAAUUAUUUAGGGUCCGUUUGGUAACGUUUUUGUUUCCUGUUUCUUGUUUUUUGUUCUAUGUUUCCGAUUUUUUGUUCCUUCUUAUUUUAGAAUAAGAAAUAGGAAUGUGUUUGAUAACUGUUCUUGUUUCUGAUUUCUUGAAGAAAAAAAAUAGAAAUAGAAAAUGUGUUUGAUAACUGUUUCUUGUUUCUUGAUUUUCUUUAAUUUUUUUUUUUUUUGUGUUUUAUUCACAUUUAAUUCAAUUAAACAUGAAACAAAAAUAUAUGUCCUCUAUUAAACAUAAAAAAGAAAUAAAAUUAUCAGACUUAGACAGGAAGAUUUUCUUAUAAUCUUAUGGAAAACGAGAUGAAAAUUGAGAUAUGAAGAACAGAGUCGACGAGAGGAAGACAAAAACCCACAACGAAGAGGAGGACCGGAACCCAUGGCAAAGAGAAAGACAAAAAAUAACAGCUAAAACACAGAUCUAAGAAAAACCCACAAAUUCAUCAAAAAUUCACGGUGAAAACACAAUUCACGCAAAGAGGAAGAUGAAAACCUAGAUCCAACAAAGAGAAAGUUGUGUAGAGAAAGAUGAUGAGAGGCGAAGAGGAAGACAACGAAAACGAUGAGGGGAAUAGGAAGACUACGAAGACGAUAAGAGGAAGAGAAAGAUGGUGGUUAUUUGGGAAAGACAAUGGAGAUAAGAGGUAGAAAAAGGAAACCACGUGGAGAGUGAUUAUUUGGAAAAGAAGAUGGAAAUAAAAAGAAGAAAAAGAAAAUCACACCUAGAAAAUAGAAAAGGAAAAUUAAAUAGAAAAAGAAUUGAAAAGAAGGAAGGAAAACCAACAAAAAGAAUUGAAAAAAAAAAUGAAAGCAAUAGAAAUAAUUGAGAAAAAGAAAAAAAGAAAUCAAUAGAAACGAUUCAGAAAAAGAAAAAAGAAACCAAUAAAAGAAAAACUAAAACGGAAUAAACUACUUCUUUUUGUUUCCAAUUUUUUCUUUUUGUUUUCAAUUUUUUAUAAAAUAAUAAACAUUUCUACUUCUUUUAGAACGGCCCUAAUUACAUAAGUAAAUUUUGCAAUAUCUAAAAUGGCCCCAUUUUGUACUUUCAAAUUGGGCCAUCUUCGCUUUAUGGACCUGUCCAAAGAUAAGCCCAAUGAUUUAAACCCAGAGAGGAGGGCUUAAAUGGGCUUAUUAAUGGGCCAUUCGUUGCCCAACCUCAAUAUCAUGCAUCUUCAAAAAGCCCAAUCUCGGCCCAUUUCAUAUAAUUUGAAGUUUGAUCGGUCUCUCGGUCCCGUUCAUCUGCCGUCGCCAUUGAUCGGAAUUCCAUUGCCGAUUUUGAGCUGCGCGAUCUGAAGAGGUAGGUUUUGUUGAUAACCGAAUGUUUAGACUUAAACGAUCAGCUUGAAGAGAAGCUCAAUCCAUUUCGCCAACCUUCUGAAUUUUUCUCUGUUCUUGUUUGCACUUUUUCUGAUACAGCAAUUUAUCUUUGGGGUUUGCUAAGUGCUCUUUGGAAUUGGUGCUUCGUUCCGUGAUUUUCUUUGCGUGAUACAAGUUGAAUUUCCGUGCUGAUUCGUUUUGUAGUUCGUCAGUUUUUGGAAUUGCUUGUUUAUCGGCAAUUUGCAGAGAAAAUAGUGGUCAGUGAUGUAUAUGUCAAGUACAUGAUUGUGGAUUACGUGGAACUCGUUUAAUACAGGUAAAUUGAGCUUGUUUUUUGGAAAUUUGCGCAUAGCUCAUUGCUGUAAAUUUCAUUUUCGUAUCGUCAGAAUGGAGUAAUGUGAAUUAUCGUUCUUCUAAUUCGUUUCGCAGAGGACUGAAAUCUUGUAAAAUUUCCUAGCCGUAGUCGUUCUCUCAUGGCCAACGUUUCAGUUGCUGCGGAAUGGCAGCUUCUCCACAAUCGGUACUACCGAAAGCCGGAGCUUUAUCCUAUGAGAUGGAAGCACAUUGACCUCGGGCGGAACAAGGUCGCUUGUGCUCCUUUCGGCGGUCCCAUUGCCAUUAUUCGUGAUGACUCGAAGAUCGUUCAGCUCUACGCUGAAUCUGCGCUCAGGAAGCUACGGAUCUUCAACUGUGCCGGUAUUCAGCUGGCAGAGACCGUUUGGCGGAACCCAGGAGGACGGUUGAUUGGUAUGGCGUGGACCGACGAUCAAACUCUUGUCUGUGUGGUGCAGGAUGGCACUGUGUACCGCUACAACAUUCACGCCGAGCUUCUGGAGCCAAACUUUUCAAUGGGUAAGGAGUGUUUCGAGCAGAAUGUAGUGGAAUGUGUGUUUUGGGGGAAUGGAGUUGUGUGCAUAACCGAGGCGAACCAGAUUUUUUGCAUAUCGGAUUUCAAGAAUCCGAAUGCAUGUAAGCUUUCAGACCCGGGAAUUGAGGAUUUGCCACAUUGUAUGGUGGUAAUCGAGCCACAAUACACCAUGUCAGGGAAUGUGGAGGUGUUGCUCGGAGUUGGGGAGGCUUGUGUGAUAGCAGUUGAGGAGGAUGGAGUGCAGCGGCUUGGCGAGGGCAUACUCGAUGGGCCGCUGCAGAGGAUGGCUGUCUCCUUAGAUGGAAAAUGGUUGGCAGCAUUUACUCACGACGGGAGACUUUUGGUUUUGACUUCAGACUUGCAAAAAAUUAUUCUGGAUCGUGAAUGUGAGGUUAGCAAUGUGUUUUUGCAACUUUUGAUUGUUUUUACGAAAUGGAUAAAUUUAUACAAGAUGCGAGUACUAGUCUACUCUUUUGGUUGUACGUGCAUGAUAACAACUGUUCACUUUAAUAGAUGUUCAAUGUUUGGGUUUUUUUUUUUUUUUUUUUGCAAAGAAUGUUUGGUUUUAGAUGUUGAUUAGAUUAUCCUUGCAUUUGAUGUCAAGAUAAUUCAUUGUUUCAUCUUCUUCCCCAUUUUCCCAGCAUGAAAAGCAUGGUGGACUAAGAUAAUUAGUUUACUCAAUUUACAAGCAUCAUUCAUUGGGCAUUUUUCUGAAGUUCUCCUCCCUAUGUUAUUGCCAUCUAGUUGUAAUUUGUUUUCUUGGAUGGGCUGGAAUUGGAUCAUUUUUAAUCAUGUUUUUUUCUUGUUUUCUGGCUUCAGUCGGCUCUUCCUCCACAGCAGUUAGCUUGGUGUGGAAUGGACAGCGUACUUCUUUAUUGGGAUGAUAUGCUUUUGAUGAUGGGUCCAGAUGGAGAUCCUGUUCGUUACUUCUAUGAUGAACCAGUCUUUCUUAUCCCUGAGUGCGAUGGUGUGAGGAUAUUAUCUAAUACAAGUAUGGAAUUUCUUCAACGGGUUCCAGACUCCACUGUAACAAUCUUCCGGAUUGGAAGUACCUCUCCUGCAGCUCUUCUAUAUGAUGCGUUGGAUCAUUUUGACAGACGUAGUGCAAAGGUAAUGUUAACUUUCCCCUUUCUUGUGGAAACAUCUAGCAUUAACCAAGCUCUAGAGGAGAGUCUCCAUUCGGAGAUAUUUGCUGAGGAGAGUCUACUGGCAGAAUCCAACCAAAAGAUCGUCUUUUAGUCUUUCUUGUUUAAAAUAUCAUUAUGGUCGAGUCUGGACUUGUUCCAUUUUAAUUAUUGUGUCAUUGUACUUUAAAAUUUUCAAUUUUAGUCUAGGUACUUUCAAUAAAUCCUAAAAGCAGUUCUCAUUCUUAGUUUGAAAUUAUUUUUAUUGAACACUUUGAUUAAAUACUAAUGAUAAUAAUAAUUUUCAUUCUAGAAAAGUCACAACGACUAAAUAUAACAAGUUUCAAAUACAUUGACCAUUUUUCAUAUUUAUUGCAUUGAUAAUUGUAGUCUUAUUGAUGCUCAUUAAAACAAUUUUCUAUUUGUGAUAUUUGAUAAUGAUAAGAAAACAAUUAAAGAGGGAAUGUUUUGUAAUUAUCCAUGUUGGCUUUUGGAAUUUUAGGCCUUUGCUUAUGUGGACUUUCAUUAAUAAAAUAUUUUUUUGAUUCUACAAUUUUAGUUCAUGAACUUUCUAGUUUGUGUCUAAUAGGUCCAUGAACUUUAUAAGUAUUUAGUAGGAUGUUAAACUUUGUUUCUUAUAUAGGUUAGACAGGGGAGCCAUUUGGUUUGCAAUAAUGAAGGGAUGGGGAAUAUGUUUAUAAACCUAUAUUACUUCACGGACAAGAAAUAAAAUAACAUAUUUUAUGUCCAGACAUUGUCAUCCUUCCCAACAAUAAAUGGAUAUAAAUAUGAAUCACACUUACCAAUUUUGUUCUCAUUUGUUAAACUCGGGCAUCCCAGCAUCCUAUUUCUAGGCUUCACAUUCCCAUUCGGGUGUGAUAUACCCUUCAAGAGGAUUUUUUAGGAUAGAGUUACAUGAAAGAAAAACUCAAUGGCAUCUGUGCUUAUUCUUUAUUUUUCUGAAAUAGAGGACCACAUUGAAAGGUUUUGGAAUAUGAGCUCGGUGUUAGCAUGUUUUACAAUGGGAUUUUCAGUUAUAAUUUAUGAGCUACUCGCUUGUAGCUAGGCGUGCAUGUAAAUUCAUAUUCUUGUUGGCAUAUUAGUACCUAUAGUGGCAAACUGGCUAUCUUCUUGUGUACUUGUUUUUUGGAUGCCCAUUUUAAUUUUUUUUUCAAGGUACCAGUACCUAUAAAAUUUCGUGAAAUAUUUUCCAUGAGUUAUUAUUCACCUUUUUUAAUUUUCAAUGCUAUGUUUCCCAGGCAGAUGAAAACUUAAGACUGAUACGCCCAUCAUUACAUGAGGCUGUUGAAGCAUGUGUAGAUGCUGCUGGCCAUGAAUUUGAUAUUUCUCGGCAGCAGACCCUGCUAAGAGCUGCCAGUUAUGGCCAAGCCUUUUGCAGGUAAGUUAUUAUAGUGUUACAUUUUAAUUCCUUUUUAAUGGUGUUUCUUUUUAUUUUCUUUUUAUUUUUCUUUAUAAUUGAAAUUAGUAGGUGGCAGCCAUUUUUAUUUAUUAUUUGGUAAUAACAUAGCUAAGUGGACAGCUUGUUUAAGUUUUAAGUAUGCUUUAAAGAAAAAAAAAGAUAAAAAGAAGAUAAAAAAGGAUUCAGUAUGAUGAUUCCUCUAAAAAAGUACAAGCUUAGCUUAUUUAACCUGUUCAUUGUUUGGGACACUCCAAGCUUUUCAUUUUUUUUGUAUACCCUUUUGAUUUGUGUAAACUGAGGUAACACCGUUGGCUAGGUUUUGGGAGGAUGUGUUAUCCUUAACCUUUAACAAAUGUCACCCUUUAAUGAAAUCUGUUUCUUUUUAAAAAAUGUAAAGAUUUUUAAUGUUAUCUCUGAUUUUGCUCUCCCAUAAUGAUAUCCAGUUGGCUUUGGCAGCAAUUUUAAUCGGGAACGAAUACAAGAGAUGUGCAGAUUAUUACGAGUUUUAAAUGCUGUUCGCAACCCGGAGAUUGGCAUCCCUCUCAGUAUACAACAGUUUAAGGUCCUCUGCUGACAAGAGUUUCCAGUUUCUUGUACUACAAGGAAUCUUCAUACUAAUACUAAAUAAAGUUGUUUCUUUCAGCUUCUUACACCACCUGUUCUGAUUGCUCGCUUGAUCAAUGCCCACCAACACUUGCUUGCAUUACGGGUUUCUGAGUACCUUGGUAUGAGUCAGGUAUGUAUAAUCCUAUAACCUGUGGAUCGAACCAUAGAGUGGAUUUUCUUCUCACUUGUAUUUUUGUUUAACAUCCCUAGCUGUGAAAGUAUUAGGAAGUAACCCCUGGUUUUAUAAGUUUUAUUCUUUUAGAACUUUGGUUAUGUAGAAAUUAUGUUAUUCAUUUUAGAAUAAUAUGCUAAGAUGAAUUCUUUUCUUGUUUCUUACAAUGAUAAUAAAUAUGAAAUUUGAACAUAAAGAUAAAAGUAUAGCGGAAUAGUUUUCAUUUAUGAAGCAAGGUUCUAUUUGAUAUUUCAUCUUUCAAAUGUCUAGAAAGAAAGAUCUUUGGAAUGAAGAAUUGGAAUUUUGCUGGGAAGCUAACUUCCUUUCGUGGUUAACUCCACUCUGAAGGAAAAGUAGGUUCCUUGAGAUUUUGACUUUUAAUCAAAUGUUCCCUGUCGAUAAAAGAUACUUCAGUCAAAGUUAGAUGCAACUAGGCUCAUAAAGAAGAAAAUAAAUGUGUGAUUUGAGAAUUCAACACUCCAGGAAGUAUAGGAAACAUACCCUAAUAGUACUAGUGUUAUUUUGCCUCUAUUUUGGUUGUUCCUCAAAUAUUGAAUAUUGUCAGCUUGGUGUUAAUGAAGUUGGUAUAACUUUGAGAUGGUUACAGCUGGAAAAGUGGUCAUUUUCUUUUAACUCGAUUUCAUGUCUCUCAGUGAUCCAAUUCAACUGAAAUCUAAAGCACUAAAUGUUUGGAAUACUCGUACCCAUUUGUUUCUUGUUGCCUGUGUUCUCAACAAGAUCCAUAUAUCUUUCAUUUUAUACAGGAGGUGGUGAUAAUGCACUGGGCAUGUUCAAAGAUAACAGCUUCAGCAAAUAUUGCUGAUGCCACCCUUCUUGAAGUUCUACUUGAUAAGGUUUUAUAUUUGUCAAAUAUCCAUUAUUGAGAUUCUGUUCAAAAGUAUCGUGCAAUGGCCACUGAAAUGAACACUUGUUAAAUCCAGCUGAAGUUGUGUAAAGGUAUAUCAUACGCUGCAGUCGCUGGCCAUGCAGAUAAAAUUGGUCGCAGGAAAUUAGCUGCUAUGCUUGUUGAUCAUGAACCACGAUCCUCCAAACAGGUUUUUAUUUUUUUUAUCUCAUUUCUUGUUCUUGGUUUCUUUUAUGUUUGGGCAUAAGAAGCAAGCAUUUAAAUCAAGAGAAGUAUAAGAAUGUACAGCAGUAGAAACAAGGACUAGCCAUCCAAAAUAUCCCUACAGCCAUUUACCAACCAAACUAGAUAGUGCUUCCCCAUCUUCCCUUGAGUGUAUUCAGUACUAGAGGUUCAGGAUUUUUUAAAUAGACACGAUUGGUUUCCUUCCACUUUCCAUUGUUGUUGAGAUAUUAUUAUAUGCACUGAAUGUAUAUUGAUAAAUUUUUGUAGCACUGAGGAACUGUAGAUGAAAGAGAAAUAAAUCACUUUUGUAAACUUGUUCUCUUUUUUUUGUGUCCAUUUAGGUGCCUCUCCUGUUAAGCAUAGGAGAAGAAGACACGGCAUUAAUCAAAGCAACUGAAAGUGGCGAUACCGAUCUUGUUUAUCUUGUUCUUUUUCAUAUCUGGCAAAAGGUAGUUUUUCAAUAAUAUCUAAUAGAUACACAGCUUCUUAUCAUGUGUCUGCAUAUUGAGUGAGGGGAUGUACAUAAACAAGAAGCAGUAAGUGAUAUAAAUUUUGAUUAGCAUUCAUAAUUCGCUUUGAUGCAGAGGCAACCAUUGGAAUUUUUUGGAAUGAUACAAGCCAGAACUCAGGCUCGGGACUUAUUCAUUACUUAUGCUCGGUAUGUUUUAGUCCUACCAAUGACAAAUUUGAUACCAAAAACGUAGUGCUUUAUUUUCAGACUAACAGAUACUUCAUUUGUCAUGGAGAGCAAUUAUGCUUCUAUUUAAUCUGAGUAUGUUUCUCUUUGCUUUUAUCCUAUCUUUUAGAUAGUGGAUUUAUCAUCCUUCACAAUUGCCUAUACUUCUUUUUUUAUGAAACUCUAUCUUCCAUUAUGAAAACAGAAAAUAAAAUAAAAAAUUGAUGAGGUCUGCAAAUCUUUGAUCCAUUUCUCUUCCUCAUAUACUAACAUUAAACUGUCAUUUCUUAACAAUUACAUCAUAUUUGGGGAGUUUGGAAACAACAACAGCAACAUUGUAAGUGAAUUUGGUCUGGAUUCCUACGGUUAGACCAACAAGAACCAACCAAUGUUAUAUGAAGUUAUGAACUGCUUACAAAUUGUUAUUAAUAGCUUAUGUAAGCUUGCAAUUGAGAUAUCAAUUCUCUUCCUCAUAUUCCAACGCUAAACUGUCAUUUCUUAAUGAAAGUUGUUUGUAUCAAAGAAAAAUAUAUACCAUUUCUCCUCCUCGUUUGCUUACAGCCUGACUAUAAUCAUUAUGAACAUCAUACACAAGAUCUGCCAAUCUUUUUGUGUUUGUUUAGUUGGCUGUUGCUUAUAAAUGGAAUGGUUUAAUGGGGGUAUAGGCACAUGACUUCAUCUCUUGUUUGAUUCUUGAGCUCGUUUCUUGGUUUAAAAUCCAUUUCUAUAUGACACGUCCUUUCUAUUUGCUUAACUGAUUAUGUUACUUCCUUCAGGUGCUAUAAGCAUGAAUUUCUGAAGGACUUUUUCCUAUCAACUGGACAGCUUAAUGUAUGUUUACGUUCUCAAUAUUUGGUUGCAUCUUUCUUUUUCACACAUCUCACGGGUUGUUUCUUUUACAUUUAUUUGAAAAUGUCCCGUUGUGUGUUGUGGGAUUGUAUCUUCAGCAUGCAUUGAAAGAGUUCCUCCUCCCCCGAACCCCAAUUGCAGACCUUGAAAUCCUAAGCACUCCCUUCCUCUUAACUGGUGUUUUUUAUCUAUAAAUUGGGUAUUCAAGCAUUGGACCACCUUUUCAUUCUUUUCAUUCGCUACCACCUCCUCGUUCCAGUUGUGACCUGAGGCUUUUGGUCAUUGGUUUGGACUUGGGUUGAUGUCAUCUGCGUGAAUUGCAUUGCACUCAGCAUAUCAGUUUAAUGAGACAAAAAGUAUCUUAUUUUCUUUAUAGACCAAAAAGUGUGCCGACAGAAUUAUCUUUUAGGAUGUUAUCAGCCACGUUGAUCCCUUCAGGAUUACUAAACCAAGGACCAAAAUAGAAAACACCUUUAGUACUGAGUUGUGAGAUGAAUGAAAAGGGACUCGGUGGAAAAUUCCCGAGUCUUUUAUGAAUCCAAAAUCUCCCACUCUCAUUCUGGUUUAUCUUUUUUCUUUAACAUCUCAAGAUGCACCUUUGAUCACAUAAGAUAGUUGAAGGUCAUCCAUAAGUUUUCGUUACCUAAUCUUUCUGGGAGCAAUAUUCCAAUCUCCAUUCUCCUUUUAUCUAUCUGGUUAGACCUAUGCUCAUGAAUCAUGAUACAAUUUUUGUAUUUCUACAGGAGGUAGCUUUUCUUCUGUGGAAAGAGUCGUGGGAGCUAGGGAAAAAUCCAAUGGCUAGCAAGGGAUCUCCACUCCAUAGUCCACGCACAAAACUUAUUGAAAAGGCCCACAGUCUUUUCGCAGAGACCAAGGAACACAUUUUUGAGUCUAAAGCUGCUGAAGAGCAUGCAAAAUUGUUGAAGUCAGUGCAAAUUUAGUCAUUUUGUUUGUUUGUGAAUAUUUUUUUUUCUUAAAUUGGGGGAAGAUAAACGGUACUGAAUCAUUCUCUAAUAUCUGUCCACAGAAUACAACAUGACCUGGAGGUGAGUACAAAGCAGGCCAUUUUUGUUGAUUCAAGCAUCAACGAUACAAUUCGAACAUGUAUUGUGUUGGGAAAUCAUCGAGCUGCACUAAAAGUUAAAACAGAAUUUAAGGUGUGUUAAUUUCUUUACUAUUGCCUUGAGUUAUUUAAAAAAAAUGAUGGAAAGAGACAUUGUAGUAGCAAGAAGCGGUUCUCAUCCUUCCUGGAAAUCUUAGAUAAUUCCUGUGUCUUCCUAUUCAUUUUGAUUUUUGUAAAUCCCUACUCUAAUUUUAAUGUUAUACCCCAGGUUUCUGAGAAAAGAUGGUAUUGGCUUAAAGUUUUUGCUUUGGCUACCACAAGAGAUUGGGUUGCACUGGAGACAUUCUCAAAGGAGAAAAGACCACCAAUAGGUAAAUUUCCUAUUAUUGGAGUAUUAACUUUUCUGCAUUCAUAGAGAAAAUCACCAAUUGGGAAACUACUUUUUCAUUAGGGUUUAAUAGGAAAAUUACUUUUUCCUAUCAAUAUGUGACACUCAUUCCAUGCUAUUCUCCUUGUUCUUCCUUGAUUUUGAAAAUAAGACGCAAACCUUUUCUGAGGUUGAUUAAACGUCUUUUACUUUAAUGAGAAAUGUUGUAGAAAGAACUCAAUCACAAAAUAGACAGGUGCCGUCCCUUCUUGUUUUGUUAGAUUAAAAAUAUUAUAUUACCAAAUUUUCAUAUUGAAAUAUUAUAGAUGUAAUGAAAGAUUUUGUGACUGUCCCUCAAUGAAAAGAUUAGUUGAUCUUUGUGUGGAGUGACACUUGAAUCGCGUUUAUUGCUGUUAUUCAUCAUCAUUUCAACAUAUGUUGGUUACGUUCUAGCUACUUGGCCUUAAGACAUGAUUUCAUUUGUCACCUUUAUUACCAACAACAGUAACUUCCUUAUAAAAUUUUUUCUUUUAUUUCAAUAAUUGGAACAACAUAAUUAGAAUUAUAAUAAUAUUGGAUUAGCCUUUUAUUAUAAUUUCUCUCUUUCUAUUGUUUUUCUUUUAACAGGUUACAAGCCAUUCGUGGAGGCUUGCGUUGAAGCAGAUGAGAAGGCUGAAGCAGUGAAAUAUAUUCCCAAACUUGCAGAUCCACGAGAAAGAGCUGAGGUAUGUAUCAUAUUUAUAACAUUCUAACGCAUGCUUUUUUAUUUUGUUUUUCUUCUUUUUUUCCUUUUAAGAAUUAAACCACUGUGGGGGUGGAGCACUCAAACUUUUGGUCUCAUCAAGUAUUUGGUUGAUUUUUCUUGGAAAAUGGGGAUUUUUCAAUCUUGCGAAAGAUAAGUCCCCCCCACCACUUGGUUUUCGGUUCUUGAUCUUUAAAAAUUGUGUUUGUUUUCUAAAUACUUCUCUCUAACAUAGUUUUCACCUCUCCCAACUAAACAUUUGUAUUCUCAGCCAAACUUUCAGAAAAAGAAAGAAAAACAGAACAGAACAGGGCAAAACAAAAUAAAAUAAAACCGGUUAUCAAAUGAUAGAUAAUGAAACAAAGAAAUCAACAAGGGGAAGUAUUGUCUAUAAGCGUAAUUUUUAAUCAAAUCUGGCUAUCAAUUGGGGCGUAAAAUUUUAAAAUCAAUUCGAGACAAUCCCUUGGAUGAGCUGUGUGUGAAUUAAAAAACCCUGAGAGGAAUCUCAUUUUACAGGCUUAUGCUCGGAUUGGGAUGGCAAAGGAAGCGGCGGAUGCUGCCUCACAAGCAAAGGAUGGAGAAUUACUAGGUCGAUUAAAAUUAACGUUUGCACAAAACUCAGCAGCUUCAUCAAUUUUUGAUACUCUUCGAGAUCGGUUAUCCUUCCCAGGGGUAUCAUAGUCUAAUCAGACUCCACUUUCUUUCCUCUUUAAUCAUAAGUUGUUUCCCUCCUACCUAUGCUAUGCUCUGCCUGCUGUUUUUUUGUUUGUAAUACAUAUAUGUAUAUGAUUGGAGUGUACAUUACCUUGAAAAUGCAUCACUGAAUUAGACCCUCGAUUUCCUUCCUAAGCUUCUGCUGCUGUUUUUUUCUCUUUUUUUUUUUUGUGUAAUAUUUAUUUCAAAUUGAUGUAUAUGGAUUUAUUUAUGACAAUUUUCUUUAUAGAGUGCGUUUGGUUAGUAACUUUGAAACAAUAGAUUUGAUUCUAAAAUAUAUCGCAUCUCUUGUACCUUUUUUUCUUUUUCUUUUUCCUUUUUUAAGUUUUUGAGCUAACUACAUUUGGUUAUAUACCAACUGCAAUACUGCUGAUUGAUUCAUUGAACUUUUUACAUUGUAAAUUACAAUUUUGAUUGACAAUAUUAAACAUUAUGUAAUCAUGAUAAAAUAGACAUAAAUCGUAAUCUAUCAUAUCGUAGAUGAAUUGAUAUUUUGCUAUAUUUGAAAAUAGUUUUAUUUAUUAUUAUGUUAUGAUUUACCAUGUAAAGUUCGGUAAACAAAAUAACAUUAGUACAACAAAAUUUGUAAAUCACUGCUUUGCAUGUAAAUAUGUAAUGGAUUAUAAAGGGAAUUGUUAUGAUAGGCGUAAUGAGGCAGCUGAUAAAAGAAGAUUAUUCCAACCGUAACAGCUACUGCAGAACAUGAGAGAAACUUUGUAUUGCAAUUGCCAUUGCAUUACUCACUCCGUUUUCAUAGUUCCAUAAAUUGAAUCUUCAUAUUUACCACUCCACCUGGUUUCGAAUAAAAAACAAACAAACAAACUUAUCAUAUUCUUCAUCAAUAUGGCUCACUAAAGUUGGCUGUUAGAAGCUGAGAAUUCUGCAUUGUAAUUGGUACCAACCUCUGUUCGUCGUCUAUGGGUACUUGGAGUUCCAAAUCUUCCCCGUAAGGCUGAAAUACUUCAUUUAACCUAUCGUCGUUAACCUUCUCGAGAGAUGGUGGGUCCCACUGUAUCCAGUUUAAUAAUUUUUAGUUAAGAAGACAGAACGAAACAAUUUGUGUAUUUGUGUUGCACACAAAGAUAGAGAAGAGAAAACCUUAGGAGCAUUGUCUUUGUCGAUGGUGAGAGCUCUAAUACCCUUUGGUCAACAGGAAAAAGAUUAGUUUAGAAGUGGCCACGUCUAUUAUGCUUGUGAUUAUCAUCUUACGAUUAUAUUGGCUAUCAAUGAUCGUAUUACCUCAUAAACAUCUCCAGAGAUAAGGGUGCGUAGAAUGUUCAUUGUCAGCCUGAAUUCCUUCUUCAAACAUUCUUGCAGUGUUAGUAAUCGACCUUUGCGUAUCUGGAAAUGGUGAAGUGAGAAAUUAGCAGCAAACACACAAGAGAAGCUACUACAGCCAUCACGGGUUGGAUAAAAGAAAUAACAUGGAGAGUUCACAAUAGUAGAAGACAGCAGUUGAAAGUAAAAAGUUUCCAGAAAUUUCCCAUUUGAUAAUGCUAAGUUACAAAUAAAACUGAUAGUAAGCAAAGAAUCUUCAAGUGAAUGGAAAUUUUGAAGUCUGUUCUGAAAAUUAAGGAAUGGAAUAACGUUGUCAAGAAGAAGUGAAUCAUUUGCAUUCGUGUGUAAGAGUUUGGAUGUGGUACCGAUUUUAGAGUUAUUUUCAGUCCUGUAGGGGAUGAUCUCUUUAGUCCCUUCAGGACGGGAACUAUCCAACCAUUUCCUUCAACGCUUGCCUCGGCCUCCUGAACAAAAUAAAUGUUCACAGAUUUAUAGAAGCCCAGAUGCUCAGAGAAAGAGAGAAAACAGCAGGGUAGGGAGAGAGAGAGAGACUUACAAAGGAGGUUAUUAUCUCUUCAACAGUUUCCUUUGAAAAGCACUUGUCAAUCACGGAUUUCCUGGAAUAUUCCCAGCAGUUAACUUCAGGUAUUUGACUCAUUAUGAUCUCAAAUACAUUAGAUAUUCAGUAUGAAAAGGAAACUCUUCAUCUAAUUCCAUUCACAACCUUUUCAAGACACUAUCUUCAUCCAGCUGAACUUCUAAAGAAAAAUCUUCAAUUGCAGAUCGAACUGAAUUUUCAUCAUGGGAGUUCAAACUAACCAAACGUGUCUCUAGUUCAUCCAAUUUCUGCAAUAAACAGAUGAAGGCUUCGUCUUUCACAUAUAGCAUUUCAAAUAGAACAAUGCAGCAGAACUGAAGCAAACUCAAAGUGUGAAAUCAAAACUAAAUAAAACUCGACUAUAAAUGAUGCUUUUUACUACCUCGCAUAAUUGAAAGAAAAUGGAACCUUAUGGAUUAUAGAUGGUGGUAAUUUUUAUUUCUUAUACAUGUAAGCUUCUGGAUGCUGCUUCAGAGACAUAAAUUUGAAUUGAAAAUACGGGAACAAACUUCAUGUAAAGAACGAAAAACUAAGGAAAAGUAAUAUGCUCUAUAUUAUUUCUAGUGCCUUCAUCGCCUGGAUUGUAUUUUUCUUCCCUUGUAAAAUGAAUUAAUUAUUUUUACUAAUUGCAUUUAAUAUUAGUCAACAAAAUCUUGAAAUUGAAACUCCUAAUAGAAGAUCGCAAAACUUACCUCAGAAGGGACAAAAUGUGUUGCAAAUCCAACUGCAACCAAUUCUUUGCCGUUCAACCUGGACCCAGUCAAGGCCAAGAAUUCACCUGUAUAUGUCCACAUCCUUGUUAAAUCAGUCGAUAUGUUUUUAAACCAUCCAAUGAACUUUUCUCACUGCACUGUUACCUAAAUAUCCCGGAAGGCGAGAAAACAUAUACGAGAAACCACAGUCAGUGUGAAAUCCAAUACUUGCUUCUGGAGUGGCAAAAACCUAUAUAAAAGAAUCCAUGACAGAAAUCACUGCAGAAUUACUAUGGAAACUGAAACAAACAUGCAAAUUACGUUAACAUUUAAGAAGGCAGACAAAAAAACAAAGAAAAACCCACAGUUUUCUCUGUGACGACUGAAAAUUUCAUUGGCACCAUAAAUGAUGCACCUCCUCCCAUUGCAAUUCCGUGUACAAGUGCAACCUGUGAUCAGAUGAGCAGAACAGGAGCCAAACAUUUAACUUUAUCGAACUUUUUAAGGAAAAAAGACCGACAAUUCUUGUAUAAUGGGAUCAGAGAAAUCCUCACGUGGAUUUUCUUAUAGGUGUGAACAUGAUAGCAGAGCCAAUACAUUCGGUAGACAACUUCAAGGCAUGAAUCCUCUGUUAAAAAGAAUGCAUUAGGAACUUAACUUAGUGAUCAUUGAAAUUUAAGUAUUGAAUUCGUUGUUCUCAUUCUGAUAAAGAAUGGGAUCCACACUGUUGAACGUGACAAUGUAGACUGUCUCAUUUUCUACAGUUGGGCCAACCAUGAUGGUUGGGGAUGGAUAGAAGUCAAGUUUGGUAACUAUUUGGUUUUUGGUUUUUAGUUCUUGAAAAUUAAACCUAUAAACACAUCUUUCAUCACUAAAUAUCUUGCUUUUUCUAUCUACAUUUCAGUUUUAUCAUUGUUUAAAAAAAAAAAACGAAGCCAAAAUUUAGAAACUAAAGGAAGUAGUUUUUGCUUUUGAAAUUUGACUAAGAAUACAACACAUGUAUUUGUAAGAUAUCAAUCAUUGUAAGAAAUUGGAAGAAAAUAGGCCUAAUUUUUAUAAUGAAAAAAUGAAAUAGUUACCAAACCUAAUUGUAACAUGUACGAUUUUCCAUGUGCAUUGAAGCUUCACUUCUCGUAUUAUGCUCAUUGCUCAACUCACUAUUCUUAAAGAGCUAUUUUACUCAUGUGGUAAAAAGAAAACAAACACCUACUUUUAUUCCUGCCUUCAUAGAACAUCCUUAAGUCUCCACCAGCAGAAAAGGCUCGACCAGCUCCCUGUUUAAGACACAUGACAAAGACUAAUUUACAAAGCGAAACCCCAAUUCAAAGAGUUAAGGUUCUUACUUCUUAUUUAUCAUCCCUGCAGUUUGGAAAAGCUAAGAGCCAAGACCAACUGCAACUAAGCAAUAUUUCUAUCAGGCAUCGAUGACAGAACUGACCUUAAAGAUUAUAAGUUUCGCUUCAUCAUCUUUUUCCCAUUUCUCUAAGUAUCCAGCCAACAGAGAAACCUAAAUACACACGAUAUAGAGAGGAAAGUCCUUGUUCAUCCCUUUAUUCAAGAACAUAAGACCAAUCAAUAAUCCAGUUAGAUGGAGUUAAAAUUUUACACACCACUUUAGAUGAGAUGACAUUCAAUUGCCUUGGCCGGUUAAACGUAAUCAACCUGGCAUUUCCAACUUCUUCUCCCAGAACAACCUGAAAAUUUGAAUUCGGACAAGCAUUAAGUGAAUGAAAGAGUGAGAAACUCCCACAAAAUUUCACCCGAGGGGAAAAUUCUCAACUACAAUGAAGCAAGUAAAAUGGUUAAAAGAAAUUACAUUAAAAACAAAGGGUCGCAUUCCAGAAAGUUGGAGAAGCAGUAAAGAACUACCUCUUCCUCUGGUUUAACAACUUCCAGCGCCAUUCCGAAGUCGAAAUUCUGGAUUGAAGCUAGCAAAAGGAGCAAUCAAAAUGAGAGCAGCAAAUCGAAAGAACUGAAAAAACCAAGCCCGACGGGUUUUCAAUCUGAGCAGCGGAGUGAAAUGAAAGAUGAUCAGCAGUGAAAACAAGUGAAAUUGCAAAGAAGUUGCUUAAAAAUAGACCAAAAGUAGAGUCUAAUCGACAGCAUUUCUCCUCCCACCUACCACCAACCAUUAAAAUCCCACCAACCAAAGAGGAAAUUGUAGUCCUAAGGUCAUAUUUAGGUGGCUACUGCUGGUGAAGCAAACAGAACUAAAAUCGACUACCAACCCAUCUUUGUUUUUCAUAAAAAGACUAAAAUCCAGGAUAAUUAAACGAAGAUCGAUUUAACCCAAAAAAAAAAAAUCAGCAUCAAAAUCGAAAUGCUUAUGAAAAUGAUAUUAGAAUAAAGUUUUUUUAAGAACAUAUUAAACAUAAAUAUGAACCUGAUUGUGGGGUAAUGGCUUCCAAAGUGAAGACGUCGACAUUCAACAACGAAUUUUGUCGCGACUAGACUCGAGUCUGAGUUAAAAUUUGGGGUACAGUUUUCAUAAAUUUCUUCUCCACUGUGCUGUAGUUCCGUAUGGUUAUUUGCUGACAGAAACCUGCCCGAUAAGAUUGCAUUCACACUCGAAGGCGAUUCUCAGUAGCCUCUGCUGCAUUUGUUCAUUUAUCAAAAUGGAUACGAUUUGCAGUUUUUUUCGCAAUUUAAACCAAUCGAAAUCAAUUUUUGGAGUCCCAGUUCUUCCAAAUUUACACGGAGUCGAUAAUCGUGGUUUGGAUAAAUCUUCGUGUGAUCAGAUUGUCCGGGGAAAAGGCCGAAGUAGAGUGGGAAAAGCACUCUUUGAUUUCUCAAACACUUCAAUUCACAAUAAUUUGCCAAACAGACCUUAAUGUAUAGUUUAGUUUGUCUUCAGAAGUCAAGAUUUCAUCCCUCAGCCUCACAUACAAAAAAAAUAAUAAUAAUACUUCAAUUGCUCCAAAUAUUUAGAUAUUAACAUUAUUUGUUAAUCAAAGUCGGUCUUUCCACCAAACUGCUCUUCAACUUUUGACUGUCGAGGAGUCUGCCAACUAAUGUUGCCCUAAUUGAUGGAAUAUGAAACUCUAUUAUGUUUCAUAAAUAUUUUAGUUCAAUUUCAUAUUAUAAUAUAUAAUGUACUUCAAAAGUGAAUUUCUUUUAUAAAACAAGAAAGAAAAAAAAUGUUGGAUCCAAUUGAAAAAAUCAUGUUGCCUAAUACAUUUGAAUUUUCAAAUUUAAGAAUUAAGCUCCAUGGUUAAAUUUGUUGUAUAAUUUAGAAUAAUUGUAUAAUUUAUAAUAAUAUUUUUAUCACUAUUAUUAGCUUAAGAACGUCAUUUUAACAACUUUAGAAGUUUCAGCAAUGUUUCUAAUUUAAAGUGUAAAAGAAUAAUUACAACUAUCAUCAUAUUUUAUUUAUUAAUGAUAUUUACAAAUUUCUCAAAUCUAUUUAACUUGAAUUACAUUUUUUAUAAAUAUAGAUCGGAACAGAAAUCAAACUUGUUUGUAAACAAUAAAAACUUUGAUUAAAAAAAAUCAUGAUAAGAAACGGAGUUUUUCAAAAUUUUGAAACUAUAACAAAUCUUUUAACCUUAUUCUCAAAUAAAUUUGGAGCUAGAAGACUAGAAAGCAUGGAUUUGUAAGUGGUUUUUCCAAGUAAUUUUAUUACAAAUAACAAAUCACCAACCAUCAUAGAGGGAUACAUGAUGGAAAAUAACUUACAUAAUAACAAAAGAAAGAAGUUAAACUAUGCAAAGAGCCCACCAAGGCCAAUAAAUCUAAUUUGACUGUCACUCCUAAGACUCAAAUUUUUACUUAACUACUUCAGAAAUUAAAACUUCAUAGAUAGAUAGAGUGUGUUUGACAAUACACAAUAUUCAAAAUGGAGUUUGGAUAAUGGUUCGAACCCAACACAAUAAUUCAAGACUACAACUUGCAACACUCAAGAAAAAAAUGCUUCAAAAACAGAAAUCCAAGAAAAUUUGAUUUAGAUAUUAAUCCAAUCAAAAUUGGCAAACUCAUCUCAUGAACUCCAUAACAGAGGAAUAAUUGUGCUGGAAAAAUGAAUUGUUUCGAAUAAAUUGCAUCUACUUCUCGAAGUUGCUAUUAAUCUAAUCAAUAAUAAUCUAAUCAAUAAUAAUCAAGAUGAUGAACAGAAUUACAUGAACAAGUUGGGCUUAGAUGCUUUGUAUGUUGUCUUGAGCUUCCUGGUGGGUGGCCUCACCUUCUUGAACACCAACGGGAAUUUGAUCUUUGAGUCGUGGAACUGUUUCGUACUUUCCCUCUUGCAGAGUUUCGCUGGAACAGUUGCUGUCUUAAUGAUUUGGAUGCACGGGCACCUUACCCUAUGGCGAGAGGCCAUCUCGGUAUACAUUUGCUCAACGGCACCAUUCAAUGUUGUGUCACGGUACUCCUUGUACAUGUUGUGAUAACCAGUUCGGCUCUGAUAUCGCAGCCAAAUACCAUAGUUCUUGAUCUUUGUUGGGUUCUUUUCAAAAAUCUGCAAGUUGAAAAAUAAAUGUGAGAAUAUUACUAAUUGUACCAUGGCUUAGAACAUUGAGGCAAGAGGGGAAGAAUUAAGGAGGAAAAGGUGUGCUUAUGUGCAGGCCAGAAUCUUACAUGAUAUUACUUGAACGAAGUACACUACUGUAUAGAAAAAAAAAGCAAUCAAAUAUAAAUCUAUACCACUAAAGUUGUCGAACGUCCAUCAGACAGUAAAACAUUUUUGCAAAUAACCAUUCGCAAAGAACAAAAAGGUUCAAACGUACAAAUAAAUAUAUCUAUAAAUACUUGCACAAGUAGUGAUGUAGAAAUAGAUAUCCAUAAACAUACAUAUACAAACAAAUUCAAACAACGCAUGAAAACUUACAAAUAUCAUGUCUAUAAAUAAAAUAGAAGAUUUCAUAGACAAAAGAAACCAGACGUCUGGGUUAAAAACCAAAGAAGCUGGAAAUAGCUCUCAAUUAACUACCGUCUCAGUCACACGAUAAAGGCAUAAGAGUGUAGAAGCAUGUUCCAGACCCAAUACCUCAUUAAUGGCAAGAAUUUGACCAUUGCUUUUCUUAACUUUCUUCAACUUCCUCAAAAAGUACCUAUCCACGCAAGUAUCAAGAAAUCAGGAUACAAACUAAGCUAGCUUCACACAAUUUCUUUAAUGUACUUUCCACAUUUGAAUUCUCACCAAAAUUUAAAUUUUAGAAUUUGAAAACUAAUUUUUACAGUUUUUCAAAUAUAGAAGCAUGUUCCUGACACAUUUAUUGUUAUCAUAUUAAAAAAAGAAAACAAAAACAAUAAAAAAACAGUUUCCAUCUGUUGAGUCAAACAUUCUAUGAAGGCAAAAGGGACAAUGGAUAAAUCUUAAACUAUUGAACUAAGACUAUAGAAUCAAAAUAAUCAUAAUUAUACAAAACCAAAUUAUAUCAAUAGAACUAAACCCAUGAAUAAAACCUCAUUGUGCUGCUGUAAAAAUUAAAACUGCUGGAUCAAGCCAUUCAUAAAAAUUAAAACUGCUGUAAAAAUUUCUUUAAUCCCUCCCGAAUUUUUAGAAAGAAUCACGUUGAAAAUGUCAAUCCACUCAUAAAUCUUCUAACUACAUGAACCAGGAUCAUGAAAGCAACAUAGAGUUCAUUUCGAAACGGAGUAGGAUAAAACACCCUUAUUCGCCUUCAUUUUCUAACAAGUAACCAAUCAAAAAGAUAAAGAAACAUCGACGGAAAGGAUAACAACACACCAGAACUUAGAUUUGGCACGGACUUCGUUGGUAGCCCAUAGCUUCAUCCGAUAGAUCUUGGGAUGCUCAUCCGAUUCAGAAGGAAGAGCCCUCCCCACAACCUGGUACUGGUGAAACUGCAUCCCGAUAAAGCAAUUGAACACAAAGUGAACAAAAAAAAAAUAGAUCAAUGUCUUGCAAACUCACUUCGAAGUGGAAGAAGUGAACCUAAUGAACAGCUAUAGUACAUUCGAAUCAGAAAAAAAAAAUACAAAAUGUAACGUACAAAACAAUCGAUCAGAUAAAAUUCCAGCGUUCAUAAAGCAGAUUCUUACUCUGAAUGUAACCAUUUUGAAACUCGAAGAUCUGAAAGAAAUCGGUGCUUCGAUUUACCUCUCGACGGCCGAUAGCCAAACUGCCACGAAUCGUAAAAGUCGUGCUGAGAAUGAUGAAGUAAAACCCUAAACUGCUGUUCCGCAACUGGGCCGAGGACCGGCCCGGCCCAAUUGAAAUGCCUCAAAAAUAAUUCUGAAUAAAUUUUCAUAAAUGUUGUUUUGUUUAUCAAAAGAAUAUGCAUUGAUAUUUUAGUUAUUGAUUCUAAAUAUUGUUUCUUGGUGUUAAUUUGGUUAAACUUCUAAUGUGUAAACCAUAUAUUUCAUGUUUAUAUUAAAUUUUAUAUUAAUGGUUUUAAAUUUGUAACCUAAUAUUUGAUAGUUUUGACCUAGUUUUAAUGAUUUAGUAAUUCACAUAUUGUUUGUAAAUUAUUUUUACCCAUCUAGAACCUAUACAUAUCAAAUGAGAAUGAUAAUAACACAGUGUUUUCUAAUAAAACAAUAGCAUUUUUAAAUAAAAUAAAAAGAUUGUUAUGUAAAUUGUUAGGAUAUGUUAACAAUGUAAGUAUAUGUAUUAAAUAGAUAAGCAUUUUGACGAGUAAAUAGAGCUAAAAAUAUAUUUUGAUGUAGUGUUAUACCUACCAUGCUCUAAUGUUGAGAUCCUUUUAAUAUUAAGUUAGAUUAGGAUGGUUUAUGUACUUUGUUGAUAGAUUUCUAAAUUGUAAUUGCACUCACGUUCACUAAUUCAUUUGUCAUAAUCAUACCUAUAGUAACUUUAACACUUACCUCAUAAGUCAAAAGGGUAGGAACAAGUAGCUCGAGUGAAGGCAAAUCUUGAUAGUUCAUACCCUCCAUAUAUGGUUAGAGUAUUCUUCCUCACAUCAGCAUUGGAGAAUUGGUGUAUAGACUUCAAGGUCUCUCCAUAGUGUAGAUAAGAACAAAAUGUGCAUGCACGAUGUAAAUUUCAUUUAAUGUGCAACUAUAUAGAAGUUUCCUAAGAAAUUACCAAAUCACACGACUAAAUUGAAAUUCUUAAAACUAUUGGUCAUAAAGACAAUUUAAUUUAUCCAUUUUGCAUAUUGUUUUCUAGCUUUAUAAAUUUGUAUCCUAAAUUAAAUACAUGUACAGGAGGAUCUAAAUAUUAAAGACGAGUUAAUUUGACUAUAACGACAAAUUUAAACUAUUUAUUAGUUGAAAUGAUUGUAAUGUGAUUUGAUUGAUUGAAUCAUCUAUACUAUUGUAUAAAAAGAAAUAAAGUCAUAUUAACAUGUAGCAAAUCAAAUUCAUAAAAAAAUUAAGCACCGUUUGAUUAAAUCUAUGGCAUUGCCUAGUAUUUAAAAAUCAACCUUAAAUUUUUGACUAUUGAUUAAUUGGUCCACCAAAUAAAUUAAAAUUUAAUGACCAUAACCUCAAUCUCUUUUCUUGAGGUUGAAUAAUUAAUCUGAAUUCUAAAUAAACUUGUUGUCUACCUAAUUUGACUAUAAAAUCGUUUUGAAUUCCUGUAGAUAACAAUCUAAUUAUUUUUUAGAAAUUUAGCAUUUUGACAAAAACUAGAGAACUAUUACAACGUUUUUUAAUUAUAAAAGUUGGAAUAAUUAGUGAACAAUUCCAAUAUUAGUCAAAGAGAAGACACUAAUUACUGUUUUAAAGUGAAUGUGGUUGAACUUUACGUAUGAAUUUUGAGGUUCGAAUAGCUUAGUAAACUUCUAAAAAAUUCUAGAGAAGAAAGAAAAACAUUUAAACUUUAGAUUAUUUAAGUUCAAAUAGCAAAGUUCAAUCAAUAAAUUUUGUACACAAAAAAAAAAACCAUAUUUAAGAGAUGAAAAAUGAAAAUAAAUAAGCAUUUUUGUUUCUCUUUUUUCCACUACAAAAUGAGUCAAUAUGUGUAUGCGUUUAUGCUCCUCUUUUUUUCUUUUUUGAGGAAAAAAAUUAAAUUAUUUAAUACAAAAAAAAAAUAAUAACAAUAAUCACAAUAUUUUAAUGAUACAAUGAAGACUUCUUGGUGCUAAUAUGAAGAUUAAGUUUAAGAAUGAAGUUAGAUUAAACUUCAGCGCAUCUCAUCGGCGCGUAGCCCAGUCUUGAAUUCUUCGUAUCAUACAAUAUGUGGAAAUUCUGUUGUUGAUAAUUUCCGAUGAUCGACAGUGCUGAUUUUGGAGUUCCUAACAUCGCUAAGCAAACGAUAUCUAGUUGCUGGAUUCUUAUGAAGUAAUUCUCCACCGGAAAGUUCCACACGGCGCCGUCCGCGAACUGGAUUAAGAAUUCUGGAAAAUUCAGUUCAUCGGUGCCGGAGACGUUGUAGCAAGGAUGUAAAAUAGGAAAAUCUUCAACUAGUUUAUAGCCUUUCACUUUCCUCAAGAAUGCUUCCUUGAUGAUUCGGUAAGCAGGAUCGGAGAAAUAGCUGAGAGUUGUACCGGAAUCGAUGAUUGUUCCUCCGGCACCGUCGGCGGAGAGGUUCCAAUUCUCCUCUGGAAUUUGGAGUUUCUCUCCUCCGACAAAGAUCGAUUUGAUUUGCAAGUAGUAGAAUGUAUCGACUGGAUUUUCCUUUCCGGCAAUCAGAGAUGUGAAAUUCAGUUCUGGAUGAGUUAAUAAAUCUUUGUCUUCGCCGAAAAUCAAUUUGCUGCUCACGCUUGUGUCGCUGUCUCGAUCGACGAGACAGUAGGAGAAGGAAUGUCCGUAGAGCGAUUGAAGCUGUGAAGAGAAAGAGAGGGGUCCUCGGCCAAGCCCUAAUAAUCCGGCGGCGCCAUGGAAGAGACCUCUGUUCCAAUGGCCGCAUCCGAACAUCACAUUCUCCACUCGUCGGAACUCCGAUUUCCCCGUCGUCGAUGAGGUGAGAUUGACGGUGAACGUUUCGAGUGCGAAAUCGCCGGUGGUGUUGGAACUGUCGCCAUACCAGUAGAAAUAAGGGCACGAUUGCGUCUCGAAUUUGCACGGGCGCGGAGGAUCUGGAGAUGAAACUAAUUGACAUCGAGGAUCGUUGCACGUAAUGUUUCUGAAAGAAAUUGAAUCUUUAGGAUCGUAGUAAGGUCCGUUUUGCUCAAAACAAUCGAAGCAAGGGACACAUUGAAUCCAGUUCAAAUCGCUUCCAGUGUCGAGAAUCAGGGAGAAGUGUUUAGGCGGAGAACCGAUGAAUACGUCGAUAAAGUACUCACCAGAGCCAAGACUGACGCCGGAUUCCAAAGUCGCCAUAAGCUGACCAGAGAAGUAAUCAGCGUAAGAUUCCGGCGAUUCAGCCGGAGAAGAAACCUCCUCCAUCGGCUUCUUCCGCUCGACAUUGCUCUUCUUCAACCUCGAAGUCGUAUCUUGAUUCUUCCUCUCAGUGAUUCUGGUAUGCAGCGUUUGGAUUCUCGCCAAAUCCCUAACUGCAGAUUCAGUAAUCGAUUCCUUCGGCUUGUUCGCUGUAUUCGUUGACCGCUUUUUGAGAUGAAGUUUCACCGAUUGCUUCACUGAAUCCGCCAUUAAACUCUCUCUCUCACCUUCUUCGCCUUCAUUUCCGAAGCUACAAGGAGCACUCGCGGAUGAAGAAGCAAUACCAGAGCUAAGAUUUUCCGGCAAUUCGAUUCCGAAAACACCAGAGCGAUUGGAUUUGUGGAAUCCUUGAGGAAUAUGCGCUUCAACAAAAAAAACCGUAUGAAAUACGCCAGAGAAAAGUAAAAGGAAAAUCAAUGUAAGAAACAGUUUCCAAUUCUGAAAUCCUCUGCUACUUCCCGCUUGGUUACCAAGAAAAUCCAUUACGCAUCACUUCAAAUGAUGAAUGAAGAAUCAACUAAUUGAACAGAAAUCACAGAAAAAAGAAAUCGAAUCGAAGUUAAAUCAGAUUCCACAAAAAUCAAUAAGAAACCAAACAGGGAUUGUGAAGACCAGGAGGCGGAAUCCCGGAAAAGAGAAGCGCGAAAUCGGGGAGUAGAGAGAAAGAGAGAGAGAGAGAGGAACAAAAAUGAAAUGAAAAGAGAAAAAGAGAGGGAUUUGUGAUAAAUAUGGGAGAGAGCUUUGAAUGAAGGCGCAGUUCAAUUCAACGCGCUUUCAUAUUAAAAUUUCGAGAUAUUCAUUCUAUAUAUUUAUAGUGUCUUUUUUUUUAUAUAUAUAAGAUUUUUCCUUUUUCUUUUUCCUUUUUAUUUUUUUCUUUUGAAGGCAUUACAAUGGAAGUGUAAGAAAAGAAAAUGAAACAUUAUAGAGUUGAUAUUAGAAACAAUAUUUCAAUUAAGUUAAAUUGACGUUGAUUAGUCUGUCUUGAUAAUGCAAAGUUGUAAAAUGUUUGACUGGAGUGAGUAAUUGUUUUUUGAUAGAAAUAAAUAAAUAAAAGAAGGGGGAUGUUGGUGGGGUAUUUGUGGAGUGGGGGGAAGGGGAGGGUUUGUGUGUCCUCGUGCUUCCGCCACACGGCAUUAAAAUAAUAGCCUAAAAGCUUACAAAAGCUGCUUUCUAUCUCCAACUCCCACGUAACUCAAAUUAAAUUGAAUUAAACUCUUUUUCCUUCCCUUCCCUUCUCCCCCGGCGCCCUCUCAAGUUUGACCCUUCCUUCUUUUUUUCUUUUCCUUUGACCCCUUCCCUUUUUAUUUUCACUCUCUAUUUCUUAUAAUAAUAAUAAUAAAUACUAUUAUUAUUUAUAAAUUUUAAAAUUUGAAUGGUUCUCGUCAUUGAAUUCAUAUUCUUUUUUAUUAUUAUUAUUUUAAUAAUGACGUGGUAUUGUACAUUAAAUGGAUUUUUCAUACAUAAUUGAAAACUACAUCUUUACCCACAUUUGAUGUUUCAAUGUCGAACUAAAAUGAAUUUUAAAACGCACUUACAUGACAUCGACAAUAAAUUUAUUUUUUAAAAAAUAACAUGACUUACAAAGCAGUGAAGUUUUGUUUUAAGUGUUUUCAAAUUUAAUUAUCUUAUAAUAUAAAUAAAUCAUAUAUAAGAUUCUUAGGUUUAUGUGCUGGUUAUGCAAAAAUUUGGCUCAUUCAACAUUGGAGUGCAAAGCCAAAACCAACGGAACAUUAGGUCCAAAGGUCCAACUUCCCACCAUCAGUCCACCAUGACCUUGUUUGUCUUGGUUUCGAUCUCGUAUGUCUUUAUUUAUCGUCAUGGUUUAAAAUCACCCAUAACAAGUAAAAUUGAUAACAUUUUUUUUUAAUGUUUGUCGUUAACAUUGAUUAUAAAUCAUUUUUCUUUUUUGGUAAUGUUUAUUUGGUUAUUGAUGUAGAAGAGAUGACAUUAAAUGGUUUGCUCACCUCUUUUUCUUACGUCUCAUGUGCUCCCUUUCAUAACAUUGACUCUUUUUCAUUAUUUUUUCUUCUUCUUCAAAUACUUUUCACACUAGUAAAUUCUAAAUAAUAAUAUAAUAAGUGGUGAAAAUAAAAUAAGGAAAAUGUAAUAAAAUUUAGAAAGCAUGUGACCAAAAUAAAUAAGAGAUUGCAUUAAACCCUAUCCAAUUAUAAGCACUCCACAACGUUGUUGAUAAGUUUUGAUGUGGACCUUCAACUAAUUUAAAUUCCACAAUUUUAUGAUUUUAGGUUUACAAAAUAGAAAAGAAACCCCAAUCACAUUAUUAUUUCACUAUUAAAAGGAAUAUACGUUCAAUGGUUCUCGUUUAAUUAGCACGUGUCAAAUAAAAGAGUUAAUUUCACUAACACUAAUUAAAUUUUAGCACAUAUUUAAUUUCAAUCAUUCGACUUUUUUUUAAAAAGAUAAAAAGUAGAUAUUGAGAUUGUUAUUACUAUCACUUCAACUCAACGAUUUAGUUGGGUUGUAAUUAAACUUUCACACGAUUAAGGGCUUUUUCAACUAUUACGCAGGAACGCACUUCUAUUUUUCCUUUACUAGACUAGCAGUGUCCCGUGGUUCCUAUACCACACUGUUUUUUAGUCUUUUUCUUUUAGUGCUUCAACCCAAAGUAAUAGCUUAACGCUAGUUUAGUGGAUUAAGAUGGCUACGCUCCAAUUCACUCAAGAAUUGGACGACAAUGGUCCGUCAACAAGCUUAUUAUAAACUUGAAUGCAAUUGAUGAUUGAAACCAUCAUCUACCCAUAAUUCGUAUAUCAAUACGGAUAUUAUUCAAUUAACACAUGGUAUAAUAUAUAUCUUCCAUUAAAAUGUUAAAUAUUCAAAUGGGACGUCAUGGAAAAGUGAUUUGGUUUGUAAUGUAAAUGAAUUUAUGAUAUGAAGAAAGAAGGGAAAAGAUGGCUUCUAAAAUUGGAGUCCAUUUUCCAAAACUACAAUACAUGAAAUGUCCACAAAAUACAAAAAGAACCAAAGAAAGUGCAAAAGAACCAAAUAAACUAAGAAAGGAAAAUCCUUGGCUGUCUGCCAUUAACAAAUUUUCUUGAAAUGAACAAAAACAAAAUCUCAAUCCAAUCCCAUGCACCCUUCAAAUAAUAUCCACCAUCUAUUGUUCACAUGAACCUAUGCUUCUCAUUGCUUUUUCUUACAACUAACUUGCUUAUAUUCGAGUUUAGUCAAAUAUAUAACAAUUCAAGAUUCAGUGAAAGUAUGCAAGUUGAGUUUGAUGUUUAAUAAAUAUAUAACCUAUGCUUUAAAUAAUUUUAAAAUUUUCAUUAACUAUGUAUCAAUUAAUCUAGUUGUUACAUUUUGAAAGAGUUCAUUUUUUAUCCUUGAAUAUUUUACUUUCAUGAAAAUUAGAAUAAGGCGAUCAAAAUAAUCUAUUUUAAAAAUGAGACUCAAUCAAAUGAAUUAAAAGUUGGGAGUUCAACCAAAGUUGUAAUAAUUUUUUUCUAAAACCAAAAAUUGUCUAUAAAAAUUAAAAGAAAAAAAUUACAUUUUUAGUCUUUAAGUUUUGAUGAAUAUAUACGUUUGGUCCACAAGUUUUAAAAAUUGAUUUUUUCAGUCCUCAUGUUUAUAAGAAUAGACUCAUUUGGUGUCUAAGUUUUUAAAAAUAGAUUUUAAAAGACUCAUCAAAUAACUUUAUACAUUUAUUUUAAAUAAUUAUACAAGAAUUUAAAUUAGAAGAAUAAGUUCUAAAAAUAAAAUCAUCUCUAAAACUAAUUUUUCUUAAUUUUAAAUAUCAUAUAAUUGUGUUUUAAAAAUUAAACAUAAAAUAUUUAUAGAACCUAUUGUUAUAAGAUUAAAAAUGAGGGAGAAAAGUAGAUAUUGAAGGAAAGUGGAGGAGCAAAAAAGGUAGUUGGAGGAAAUUAGAAAUAAUGGAUGAAAAUAAAUAAGUUAGAAGGAGUAAAAUGAAAAGAAAAUGGGAUUUAAAUAAAGAGAAAGGAGAAAUGGAAAUUGGAGGAGGGUGGGAACCAAGGGCGUUGCCGCCACGCACUAAAAAAGAGUCUUGAGUUUGGCCUUCCAUAGGGGGGAUUGGUUUACGAUAACCGUCGGAUUGAUGGAUGCGACCGUUGACUAGGAUUGAGAAAAUAGGAAGGUCAGUGGCCACUGGGUGGAAGAAGUUGGCUUUACUGUGGGAACGGGUGCACCGGAUCUUGUAAAGUGUGGCCCACUUUUUACGUUUUCUCUUUAUUUGACUUUGAAAGUUGAAAUUCGUAAUGAAUAAAAUAAAUUAAACGAAACCCUAAACCGGACCUUAUUUCUUUCUUAUUCUUCUCUUCCUUUACUCUCUCUCUCUCUCUCUCUCGUUUCGUUGGUAGAUGACCAUGAGCUGGGACCCACUCAAUAUAGUUUUAAAAGUCUUUGCUCUAAUUAAUGAUCCAAUUUAUAAUGUUUGUUUCCUUUUUUAAAAAGAUAAUAAAAAAAAAGGUUUAGAUUUAUUUAUUACAUUAUCUUAAUUCAUUUAAUUAAUUCUGUUGCUGAAUACUAAGGUUUUUUUUUUUUAUAUGGGUUCCAUAUGUGUUGAAUGGUGGGAGGUCGAACGUAUUUAGUUUAGAUGGUUAUUACAUAUAUUACUACGAUGUGGAGUAGUAGAAUUUUCUAAACGUCUUGAAUCAAAUACGUAUAAAGGAUGAGUUGAUUAUGUACAUAUUGAUAUGGGUUGAUUCAAUAUUAUGGAAUGUUGUUUAUGUCAACAACUUAUUUUGAGAUGUAGAAGAAGAAAAUAUAUAUAUUCUUAGUUUGUAUGUUAAUAAAGUAUCUAAGUUUUGUGUGAUCAAGUGCAAGAGCUAGUUGGUUGUGAUCAUUGAGAGGAGGAUUUGGAAGGCCGUAAAUAAUUUGAUGUUUUAAAAGAUGUUUAUCUCUUUCAAUGCAGUCGAGCGACUUGAAAGUUAUUAAUAUAUUGAAUGAUGGUUCUAUAGAUGUUACAGAGUCUCUUUUUGAUCUUUAACGUUCAGUCUUAUGCAUAGGAGUUGGAAAAUGUUCCUUUAUUUUUUGUUGGUGAUUAUAUAUACAUAUAGUUGAAUUCUUAUUUGACUUGAAGGGAAAAUUAAGUCUUUUUUUUAAUGACAAUAAAUUCAUAAUUAAUGUAAAAGGAAUUAUUGGCUAAUACAUUUAGUGCCCAAACUUCAAACAUUUAAUAACCAUUAAGCACUCAAAGUCAAUUAGAUAAUUUAGUUUGAUUAAUGUUAUUUUUAACCCCAAAAAAAAGUGUAAAAAUAAAAAAUAAGUAGAAUGAAUUUUUGUGUUUUUAGUGAUUUUUUCGAAAGUAAAUAGUUUGUUUUUAUUAUUAUUAUUAUAAUAUAUUUUUAAAAAAAAUCCAAUAAUAGAAAGAAAAAAAACCUAAAAUGUUGCAAUUAAUUAGUUGAAAACUUGUAAUGCUAAGGGGGAAAAAAUGGUAUAAGGGGUUCUCAAAAUAAUAACUCACUUUGUGUAUAAAAAUUCUUUAAGGGUAGGGUUUUAGUUUUAAGAUUUAAAAAGAUAUUGAAAUCAAAUAAGGAAUGAGAACGGUUUUAAUUGAUAUGAGUAGGCUUUGAAUAUGUGUACUUUGAUAUUGUAUAUUUCAUAACUUAAGCAAGCAUUAGCUCCUGGUUAGUAUCGACUGUACGUAUGUCAUAUUUUGUGGUCUCGUACCUAGUGAAUAUCAAAUUAUGUGCCAGUCAAUGUUGUCUUUACGUUCAUGUUGAUCGUUUAGUCGAACUAUUUUCAUAUUAGUAUUAUGGUCUUGGUGUUGCAUGCUUCCAAACUAGGGUCCAGACACAUGUAUGUGUUCUCAACCAUAUUUGACGGUCCAUACUCUAGUGAUGAUCGACAAAUUAUGCAUUGACUUUAUCUGACCUACGUUCAUGUUGAUUGUUUAGUUGAACUUUUUUCAAGUUGUCACUGGUCCCUUUCUCACACAAGGACGUUCAAUUAUGCAUAACCAGAUUAUGGUCCUAACUCUCAUGUACUUUAGUGUUUGGACCGCAUCACUAACAUUGAUUUAUUCCAUAAUAAUUAUUAUCGUUAUUAUUAAUAUUGUAGUGUGCAUAAAGAAAAUAUAUAUACAUACACAUAUAUAAAGAACAUAUAUUAAUGCAUAUGAAAAACCUAAAAUCCCACUUAUCAUAUUUCAAAGUACCAUUAUGAAAACAAAAUUAUUGAAAGCUUAAUGAAUAAACCACAUGUUACGUAUUAGGGUUUAUAUUGAAUAUAUUAUGCCGGGAAAAAAACCAAUUAUAAUAUGGUGUAUUAUGUAUAGUUUAGAGACUAAAAUAAAACGUUUUCUCUUUCGAUUAACACGUCUUCUUAACUAUUAGUCAACAUCUAAUAAUAAUGAACCACUAAUAGAAUGAUGAAGAAGGUCGUAUUUAAAAAGCAUUGAAUUUGGAAAAGAAAAAUAAAUUGGCAAAAAACCAAUUACGUUUUCCCCUAAGUUUAAUCAAACAAGCAUGAGCCUAAUUUUUGACUUUUUAAAAUGGUAAUAGUUCGUCCAUGAAAACAAAGCAAAAAGGUAUGCAAAAUGGAUGUGAAAAAAUGUGUUCCAUUAAACUUAGAUACCAAACUAAGCAAAGUCAAUGAUAAUGAAUUCCAUCUCCACUAUAUAUUUAUAAAGUAAUUUCAACAUAUAAAGAAAUAAACCUAAAUUGUUAACUUUUUUUUUUUUUCUCUAUAGAGUCAAAAACCAUUUUCUUAACCAUCAACUAAUUGAAUUGUCAAUGGCCAUCAAAUUUUGAUGGACAUUUUAGACCAUGGUGUGUUCAUCACACUUGUCCCAUUGACAAAGAGUCAUAAUGCCCCAAUUUUGAAUUUUAGGUAGAAGUGCCAAUUAAAAAAGAAGGAAAUAUUGAUCAAUAAUGUUAUAAUGUUACUAUAGGGUAUUUUAAUUUGAAUUCUAUUUGUGCUUUUGGAUUGAAGGCUUAUUUCUAUUGUGAACUCUAAUACAAUAUUAGAUAACAUGACAAAGUGGAAAAGAUGGUUGAGUUGAAAAUGUGGAAACAUAAUUAAUUUAGUUUUACAAAAUACAAAUUUUAUAUGUCUUUCCCUAUUUACUUGUUGUUUAUGUUUUUCAUUUUUCAUCCACCAUUGUGUGAGUCACCUCAGUGCUUUUUUAAUUGUAAUAAUAAUUUUUUAGGCAAGGAAAUACAAUAGGCAAUAAAAAUGUUACACAUAUAUUACAAAAAAAUAGUGGUAAUUGAAACUAAAUUCAAGAGGUUUUAAAAUUAGGUAAUUGAAUAUAGAAAGAAAAAAAUGUAGAUUGGUAUUUUAACCUAAGAAGCGAAAGCAGGAAGGUGGUGUAUGGCGAGGUGGAUUGUUAUGGAUGUGGGCUCAGUUAUUCCUCAUUUUUGGGCCCAAACCCAAAUUACCUGACUAACUUACCCGAGACAGAUAACAGUGAGAAUGACAAAAUAAUAAAUAAUAAUUUGAAAAAUAAUAAAUUCUAAAAAUAUUUUGAUUUUUAGCCAGAAAAAAAAAAAAAACCUUUGGAAGUAGAUAUUUUUUUACAAUUUUUCAAUCGAUUUUACCCCUUCAUAGAUUGAAACUCACUUUUAUCGAAUACAGUGUAUUUGUGCAAAGUAAAAUAAUGAAAUAUAAUACAGAAUUACAAAUACAGUGUAUUUACAUACCAUUUAGUUUUAUAAAAAUAUUAAAUAAAUAUUUAUUUUCGAGAUUAAUCUCGCUUAAUCAACAUCUCCUAGAUUUAUGCUUUCAAUUUAUAUAAAAUUUUUGAAUUUGUAGGAUUCAAAUCAAAUGAUUAACAAUUUAUUUUUAUUAAUAUAUAUAAUAAUAGUUAUUUAAUUCAUACACUUUUUACUAUCCAUGAUUGAUAAUAUAAUUCUUUCAAUAUACUUUUCAUAAGCAAGUUAAUUCUUAGUAGUAUUGAUAAUAUAAUUUAUUCAUUGCAUGUUUGGUUAAUUCUUAAUAACAUUUUAUUAUAUCAUACAAAUACACAAUUUUUCAUAUUUAUCUUCCAUUGUUUUUUGAUUAUAUAUAGUGAUAAAUAUUUAUUUUAUCAUUUUAUUUUAAAAGUUUAGUUGGAAGAUCUCUAAAAUUUGAAUUGGAAAUUGUAUCUUUUCCUAAAAUUGUGUAUUUGAUAUAAUAACAAAUUUCAUAUUAACAUUGUAUACUCCUUGUAAUUAUGCAUGUAACAAUUAUUUCCUAUAUUAUAUCAAUGUCAUUUGAUAUAAUAACAACUUUAUAUUAAGAUUGUAUUUCUUCCUAUAAUUAUGCAUUUAACGAUCAUUUCAUAAAAUGGUUCAUUUAACAUAAUAAUAAAUUGAAAUUAAAACUUCCAUAAAAUGAUUCAUUUAAGGAUUUUUCCAUAAAAUGACUUUAUUUGUUAUUUCCGAUGCAUUUGACAAGGAAAGUUUUCAUUCCAUAAAAUGAAAUAACAAUUUUCUAAAUAGUAUCAUUGAAUCAUAAUCACGGUUAUUCAACUAACUAAACUUUAUAAUAACCAAUAGAAUUAAGAUUUUCCAAAUAUAGUAUUUGUCAAAGUAUGAGUAAUGUUACAAACAACAGAUUUGGAACACAUAAAAAGGUAAAAAAAAUUGAUAAUCAAAAUAUAGUAUCAUUCUGGGUAUAAGAUAAUUGAUAUAUUCCAAAUGUAGUGUAUUUGAAUAACACAAAAAAGUAGACAUUAUGUUGGAAAAGGCGGAAAACAAUAUACUUUACAAACAACAUUCAAAUUUGUUAAAUCUUAACUUGCGAUUUUGUUAUAUGAGAUUGCAACAAUCUCCCCUAUAAUAACCACAAAUAUGUAUACAAGAUUUUCAAAUUUGUUAUCUUUUAAACAAUUUAUUAACCUUUUAUUAAAUAAUACCUAAUAUAUAUUUUUAAUAAAAAUUUGAAUUUGAAUUUAAAUUUUAGAUUUAACUGUGCCUCAAUCACAUUUCUUCAAUUAUUUGAAUUUCUUUUUUAGGUUUUAUUAGAUAAAAAAAAAGAAUAAGAUUGAAAGAGGGGGACAGCCGACGAGAGUCAAACACGGUGAGAGAAGAAUUGAAGAAAAAGUUCAUUGUGUCCCCAUUGUUUCCACAAGUGGUGAAUUCUUUGAUGAAUUGAAGAAGAAACGGAUGAUUUUAGGUUUAAGAGGUUUUGACCCAAAGAAAUUUCGUCAGAUUUCAUGAUUUCUUGUGAGAGAUGAUUGAUCCAUGACUCUCUUUUGUAUUUUUGAAAAUUGAAUUAAAAUAUUGUGAAAUUGCCGAUAAGGAUAAGAGAAAGAGGAAGAUGAACCGAUGAAGUUUUCCAAUAAUGACACAUUAUUUAAUCUUUAUAUUUUUGUAUGAAUUUUUAUGUAACAUAUGUUAUUUCAAUUACAGUAUAUUUUGGGUUUAAGUGGACAAUUGUAUUCUUCAUAUUUAAUAAGAGCAUUUGAGAAAUUAUUUUAUUUAUUUACUUUUCUAAUUUUUAUGUUUUGCUAUUCUAAUAAUUUAAAAUUAUUUUUUCUAUUUGUUCAAAGUUAAAAUUCAUAAUUUGCUAUUCUUUUUUACACGCCUACUUUAAAAACCUAUUUUAAUCUUUUUAUUUGACAAUAUAUGAAAGUGAAAGAUUUAAACCUUGAUAGGUAAAAGGUAGCUUAUUUGUUUUAUUUUUUCAAAAGCAUAUAAAAGAGAAUGGUAAUGCAUUUUAUCUUAAGGUUUAUCUUCUUCAUAAACUUCUACAAAUGUUGAGUAAGAAAUUUUGGUCAAUUAAAUUAUAUCACGUGAUGAUUAUAAUUUGAUUGGAUUUUGGGUAGUCACGUUUUCUCAUAUCCAACCCAAUGCAAGCUUAUAUCCAACCCAAUGCAAGCUCCUAAUGAUAAAUCGAACCAAACAAGGAGUCCUAAGCUUGCCAAGAAAAUGAGUCCAAGCCCAACAACCAAAUGGACCCAAGUCCAAGCCCACCAAGUAAAUGGGCUCAAGGUCACCUAAAGUCCAUGAAAUUUUUUUAUAAAUAGAAUCAUUUGCCCCUCAUUUAAGGAGAUCUUUAGUUGAAAGAAGAAUUUGAAACUCUUAAAAAUUGAAGAUUCAUCAAACUUUUACAAGUUCCCAAGACGUGCUUGAAGAUUCAAGAUUCAAACUUGAUCAACAGCUUCUAAUUCAAACUAGCUUCUAAUUACCUUGAGCUUCUAAUUCAAACUAGCUUCUAAUUACCUUGAGAUCAACAAUUUAGUACAAUUACCUUGAGCUUCUAAUUCAAACUAGCUUCUAAUUACCUUGAGAUCAACAACUUAGUACAAGUUCAUAUCAACCUCGAGAUCAACAACUUUUAAUUCAAACUUCUACAAGCUACAAGCUCUCAAACGUGCAAAUUCAUAUUAACCUUGAGAUCAACAGCUUCUGAAAGAACUUAAAAGAUUAAACUUUUCUUGGAUUCUAGAGAUCGAAGUUGAUUUUCAUCCAAAUUUAUUAUUGACUAUGAUUAUCGACAACCAAAAUCCAUCACCAACAUUGUGAUUAAAAAAGAGAACAAUGGGUUAUGAUAAAAAAAAGAGGAGAUUUUAGGACCAGAAGAUUCCCAAAAUCAUAAUUUCAAUUCAGUGAUCCUUUAAUCAUCUUCAUCACCUACCUGAUCUCUUGCGUAAUGCCUAUGGGGUACUUAAAUAGUAAUCUUUUGGAAUAUUAGUAUAUAUUUGUUGCGAGAGAACUCAUCAUUCAAAUAAAACUGGCUUCAAUAAAUGCACUCUUCAGUGUUUAUUCUUGAUUUGGAGUGAAGACAUGCUGAACCAUAUAAAAUUGGUGAUGGGAUUAAAGACAGAAGCUUGGAAGAGCUUCAGAAUUUGUUAAAGAUGGAGAAUUAUGAAGAAACAAUUAAAGAGGGAGAGUAGCUGUGUCUCAAUUUCUGGAUUUGAAGUAUGUAAUUGGAAAUGCAAAUUACAGAUCUUGUGUUGCAAGGAGGUGUGAAAUUCAAAUCCCUCUGCACAAUUAUUGAACUAAGAAAAGGUAACUAUAAAAAGAAUUCUAAAUUGAGCAUUGUUCAAACCCAAGUUAGAAGAAAUCCUAUACACGCAAAGCUCGCGAUUCAUAUCUCAACCAUAGCACAUAUAGUUGUCUAGACUGAACAAAUCAUUUGGAACAGUGAUAAAAAACCAUGGUGGUUCAUUCUACCAAAACUAAGUCUCCAAUUUUCAGUUCUAGAAUUAUCUAUUAAAGUUGCCCAAAAGGAUCAUAUAAUUGUAAGAUAGAAGAAUUGAAAAGAAUCAUCAAAAGAUGGAGAAGGAAUCAUACAUAAAUAUGAUAUAGAACACACAAAUUGAUGGGUGGGUGAGGGAACAUAAUUGCUGUCUGAGAAAAUUGCAAUGAAUUCCAAAGCUUGAAAACUAUGGCAAUUCCAGUUUUAGUAUAGCAAACAAAUAAAACUCAUAGAUUAAGAAAAAUGGCUCAUGAAAGUCUCCAAAAAGAAUGCAGGCCAAAUCUCCUGUAUCCUCCCCACCAACCAAAA
rnacentral:lncRNA from 1 species